AAAAAUUGGGUAAUAGGGUUGGUCAAAGGCCUAGCCUUUCCCUCAUCUUCCUUCUUAUCUAGAUCUUCAAUUAUAAUAUACCUACAAAACACUUACCCCUUAUUUUUAAUCUAAAAGAGCUUCAGAUUUUCUCUAUAUAUUUUUUUCACUUAUAAUCUUAUUUUCAAUGACAUUCUUCAUUUUAAUAUAAACAAAAAUAAAACUUUAACAAAUUUUUUCUUACUCAUCUUUCCAAUUGAGAUAAUCAACCAAAAAUAUGUCCCAACAAUGUAUUAAAAAAAUUAUAAUGAGUAUUCAAAGUUUAUAACAUUCUCUUCAAUGGAGGUUGUCUAUUGUUAUCAUAAAUGUUAGACCUCCUUUUUCUUUUCUUCAAGAACUUAUGGGAGUUUUCAAAAUAUGAAAUUUCAUUCUUAAAAAAAUAGAAGAUAUUUUUAUUAAGAGUAAUUCUAACAUUUAAAAAAAUGGGAGAGCAUUUUUAUAUAUAUAAUUAAUUUAGAGAGAAUUUUAAUUUGAUAAGUUGUAAAAUAAUCCGUUCAUGCUCUUCUAGACAUAAUUUGCCCUUCUGUUAGAGAUAUCAUUUAUUAUUUUUAUAUUAUUUGAAAUUAAAUUUUAAUGUAAUUUAAGAAAUUUAUUAUUAAAUCUUAAUACUAAAUAUAUAAAAUAUUAUUCUUUUUUAGCAUUCAUCUUAAAAGUUAUAUUUAUUAUAAACUUAUGCUAUAUCACUUAAAAACCAUACUAAUUUGAUCAUAAAUAUCUAUAUCAUUCACAAACCACACUAAUUUAAUCAUAACAUUAAUUCGAUCAUAUAUAGUAUUAUGUAUUAUUUAUAAUUUUAUCAUUCUUUAAAGUUAUAUCCUAAAUUUUCAUAUUUUAAUUUUUUUUACCAAUAUUUUCAUUAAUAUGAAUAUUUUAAUCAAUAUUUCAAGUUUUUUUUCUUUAUAAAAAAGGUGUACUAUUUAGUUCAAUUACAUAAAAAAAAGGUUAAUUAUUAAGAGAAAGAGAUAGAAAUAAAUAAAUAAACAAAAUGGAGAUUCAUUUUUGUCUUCAUUUUGCAUCUAAAAAUAAUUAAAUUCAAUUUUCNAUAUUAUAGAUAUUCUCAUACUAAAUUACUUUUAUUUAUAUCUAAUCAUAUAUUACUCUAUAUUAAAUCAUAUACACUUCUGAGUUAUUUCUUAUAAAUAAAUUCUACUAAAUACUUUAUAAAAUUUAUUUUUUCAAUUAAAAAUUCCUCUAAUUUUCCUUUGCAAUUCCUUGCAAUAUUUAUUCCAACUAGCACCAAUUUUUUCCUUUUAAAUUAAAUAAUACUUACCAUGUUUCCUUAUUUUAUAUUAUUUCUAUUCAUAUUUAUUGCUUUUAAAAUUCACAUUUUGGUAUUAUGUUUAUUCUUUUUUCAACUCUUUUAUAAUUUAAUUAUUAUUCACCAUAUUUUAUUAUCUAAAAUUAAAUUUUAAAUUAAUUUGAUAAAUCUAUUAUUAAAGAUUAAUAUAAUGUUCUCAUAAUUUUUUAUUAUUUUAAUGGAAUAUCUUUUUCAAUAUUUCCCAAAAUAGUAUAAGGAAAAAUAAAAAAAUAUGAGAGAAAACGAACCUUUCCAUCAAAGAGCACUACAUCUUCCUUAGGAGUACUGAUAUGUUCCUCAUCUUCAACUUUGUACCCACAAUAUUUGAUGUAUAGGAAUUUAAGGUUCUGAAAAGCCGUGGAAGAAAAGAAAAGACACCUCACGCUAUCAUUUUUGUCCUCAUCCUCAUUGCAUACGACACGCCUCAACUUAGGUAGUUCAUUUAACUUUAAGGAUUCUAACCUUGGGAGAAUCCUAAUAUUUCCAUCAAGUCCUUGAAGAUCAAACACAUGUUUUAGGACUUCACAAUUAUCCACCUCUAAUUUUUUCAAAUUGUCGAAUCUCUGUAUCAAAUGAGAUGGAAUAAGAUUGAGUAGGCUUGGACAAUUGUAUACUUCUAGGAUUUGCAAAUUGUAAAAGGACUCAGGUGGAUGUUGGUGAUGCCAUAUCUCCCUCAAUUUGGGAAGAUAAUGAAGUAUCAACUUCUCCAAAUUAGGGAAUGAAACCUGAAAUAUAAUACAUGACAUCAUCAAUUAGAAAGUUGUGAUUAACAUGAAUAUGUUCCUUUCUUUAAAUAUAAUUCACCAUCUUCCAAAUAUUCACAUAUUCACUUGAGUUAUGUUUUAUGUUUUAAAAAUCUAAAACAAUCAAGGAGGACUAAAAAAAAUCAUGUGAAAAUCUUGGAAAAUUUCACAAAAAAUUAACUAGUUAUCAAUGGAGAAUAUAUUGGCUCCACUUCCCACAUAAUAUUAGUUAUUUAGUGACGUGUUUUUCGUUAUCUUUUUGUUAAAAGAACAUAGGGAUGACUACAAUGGUGGCGAAGGUGUACUAUUUAUAAAAAGGGUAUUUAUGAUAUACUAGUUGAUGAAAUAUGAAUAUUUUCAUCAAUUUUUCAAUUUUUUUUUCUUUAUAAAAAAGGUGUACUAUUUAGUUCAAUUACAUAAAAAAAAAUGUUAAUUAUUAAGAGAAAGAGAUAGAAAUAAAAUAAAUAAAUAAACAAAGUGGAGAUUCAUUUUUGUCUUCAUUUUGCAUCUAGAAAUAAUUAAAUCCAAUUUUCCCUUGAUUAAUUUUUUCUUAUCAAGCCUUUUCAAUUUAUUUAUAAAACUUAUAAAAUACUAACAAUUAAUAAUAUUUCAAGGUUUUUAUUUUACUAAAUUCUCCUUCUCAUCUUUAUGUUAUCUCCAUUUAACAAAAUUUUUAUAAAAAGUAUUUUCAGAAAAUCGGAAUCAAAAUAUUUGAAAAACAUGAUUACUUUUUUAUUUAUUAAAUUUAAAAAUAUUAAAAUCUUUUUUAUUUAAUGCAAAAAGACUUUUAUUAAAACUUAUAUUUACGGUGUUUUAUUUCAUAGUAAUUUUUUAUUUUAUAAAAAGUAAAAUACAUUUAUAUAAAUAUAUAAAUUAUCAAUUAUUAGUUGGCCUAUACAUAUAUGUAUAUAUAUAUAUACUCAUUAGUUAAAUAAAAAAUCAUUUUCUUUCUAAACAAUUUCCCUAAAAAUCAAGCAACUAGUACAUCAUAAAUACCUUUUAAGAAAUAUAAUUUAACUAAGGUUUUAGAAGUAAAUAAAUAAAAUACAAAAAAUUCAAAGUAAAUAUAAAAUUACAAAAUGUAUACCAUGAGUAAAAAGUUCUUGGAUUUGCUUUUUAAAAUUAGAGAAAUUACAUUAAUUUUAACCUAAAACUAAAAUAACACAUAAAUUAAAGAAAAGUAAAGGAGAAAGGACAUCUAAAUAAAUAAAAAAUAUAGGUACAUGCCUAUAUAACAAUAUUCACAAUUGUUUUAUUUUUAUUUUUUAAAAUUUUAUGAAAGAAGGGUAAUUAGUUUCCUUAUAUGAAGUAAAUUAUGUUCCACUAUUUUUAUUUUUCAACCAUAAAAAUUAAUAAUAAUUUUUCAAAUAUAUUAACCAUCUUACACAUUACCCAAGUUUUUUGAAAUAUUAUUUAUUUUAAAUAUUCUUAAAUUUAGAUAAAAUAUUAGGAGUCUAUAUUAUAGAUAUUCUCAUACUAAAUUACUUUUAUUUAUAUCUAAUUAUUUAUUACUCUAUAUUAAAUCAUACACACUUCUUAAUUAUUUCUUAUAAAUAAAUUCUACUAAAUACUUUAUAAAAUUUAUUUUUUUAAUUAAAAAUUCCUCUAAUUUUCAUUUGCAAUUCCUUGCAAUAUUUAUUCCAACUAGCCCCAAUUUUUUUCUUUUAAAUUAAAUAAUACUUACCAUGUUUCCUUAUUUUAUAUUAUUUCUAGUCAUAUUUAUUGCUUUUAAAAUUCACAUUUUGGUAUUAUGUUUAUUCUUUUUUCAACUCCUUUAUAAUUUAAUUAUUAUUCACCAUAUUUUAUUAUCUAAAAUUAAAUUUUAAAUUAAUUUGAUAAAUCUAUUAUUAAAGAUUAAUAUAAUGUUCUCAUAAUUUUUUAUUAUUUUAAUGGAAUAUCUUUUUCAAUAUUUCCCAAAAUAGUAUAAGGAAAAAUAAAAAAAUAUGGGAGAAAAUUAACCUUUCCAUCGAAGAGCACUACAUCUUCCAUAGGAGUAUUGAUAUGUCCCUCAUCUUCAACUUGGUUCCCACAAUUUGUGAUGGAUAGGAAUUUAAGGUUGUGAAAAGCCGUGGAAGAAGAGAAACGACACCUCACGCUAUCAUUCUUGUCAUCAUCCUCAUUGCAUACAACACGCCUCAACUUAGGUAGUGCCUCUAACCGUAAUGAUUCUAACCUUGGGAGAAUCCUAAUAUUUCCAUCAAGUCCUUGAAAAUCAAACACAUGUUUUAGGACUUCACAGUUAUCCACGACCAUCUCUUUCAAAUUGUCCAAACUCUGUAUCAAAUGAGAUGGAAUAAGAUUGAGUAGGCCUGGACAAUUGUAUACUUUUAGGAUUUGCAAAUUGUGGAAGGACACGAGUGGAAGUUGGUGAUGCCAUAUCUCCCUCAAUUUGGGAAGAUCAUGAAGUAUCAACUUCUCCAAAUUAGGGAAUGAAACCUGAAAUAUAAUACAUGACAUCAUCAAUUAGAAAGUUGUGAUUAACAUGAAUAUGUUACUUUCUUUAAAUAUAAUUCAUCAUCUUACAAAUAUUCACAUAUUCACUUUAGUUAUGUUUUAUGUUUUAAAAAUCUAAAACAAUCAAGGAGGACUAAAAAAAAUCAUGUGAAAAUCUUGGAAAAUUUCACAAAAAAUUGAUAAGUUAUCAAUGGAGAAUAUAUUGGCUCCACUUCCCACAUAAUAUUAGCUACUUAAUGGUGUGUUUUUCGUUAUCUUUUUGUUAAAAGAACAUAGGGAUGACUACAAUGGUGGCGAAAGUGCAACCAUGGAUUACAUAGAUUCUUAUACAACAAAUUAUUUUUAUUCAUAGCCAUCAUUUAUUAUUUUAAAUCAUAUGAACUCUUUAAUUUUUUUUUCCUAUUAAUAAAUUCUAAUGAUUUCAUUUUUUAAAUUUGGCCUUUUCUUUUAAAAAAUUGUAUUUCACUCUUAAAUUUAUUCCGGUAUGUUUUCCUAUUAACCUCAAGUUUUCCUUAUUAAUUUUUUUUCCUUAGUUUUAUAUUCAUUCCUAUUAGUAUUUAAUUAAUGUCUUUUAAAAUUAAAAUUCCUUUAACCUUAUUCAUUUUUCUACUCCUUUAUAUUUUUUUAUUAUUCAUUAUUUUUAUAUUAUUUGAAAUUAAAGUUUCAAAUCAUUUAAUAAAUUUAUUAUUAAAGACUAAUACUAAGUAUACAAAAUAUUAUUCCUUUUUUAGUAUUCAUCUUGAAAAUUAUACUUAUCAUAAACUUCUGUUAUAUCACUCACAAAUUAUGUUAAUUUAAUCAUACAUAUCUAUAUUAUUCUCAAAUUACACUAAUUCAAUUAUAAUAUUAAUGCAAUCAUAUGAUAUUUAUAUAUUAUUUAAAAUUUUAUAAUUUUCAAAGUUUUAUUCAUGUUUAACAAUAUUUCCAUAUUAAGAUUUUCAUCAAUAUUUGAUAAAAUGGAAUCACCAAAGCUUUUUGGUUAGAUAAAAAUAAAGUUAAUUAUUAAUGGAUUUUAUUACGUUAUAUUAAUUAUUAAAAAUAAGGGAACUAUUUAACAAAUUUCAAACCAAUGAGAAUUAGAUGUAUUUAGCCAAUAAUUUAGAAGAUGCAAGUGAAAUUAACCCUAAAUUUUAUAAAAAUAAAACAAUUAUUUUUUUCUCUUUUUCUUUCCUUUUUUUUAAUUUAUAUGUUAUUUUAUUGUUACCAUCAAAAUUAAAUUUGAGAACUUUUUAUUGAUAGUUUUUUCUUUGCAUUCAUGAUUUAUUUAUUUCAUAUUUCUUAAAAAGUAUUUAUUUUAUAAUGGUUGUUUGAAUUUUGGGAAAUUAUUUAGAAAUUAUUAUUAUCGUCGUCAUCAUCAUCAUCAUCAUCAUCAUUCACUUUAUUAUUUAUAAUAUUAAUAUUAAUAUUAAAAUAUUGAUAUAAAUAUUUUUUGUUUUCAAUAAUAAUAAUAAAAAUAUAAUACAAUAAUUAUAUUAUUAAAGGUGAUAAUUAAUAUUAAUACAAUUAUUGAUAACAUUUUACUAAUAAUAAUAAUAAUAAAUAAAUAAAAUAAAAUAUGUUAUUAAAAAUAAAUAAUAAUAGUAAUAUUAAAAAUAUAGAAAAUGAGGAAAGGAAAAAAUAAAGAAAAAGACAAACUAAUGGUAUUUUUGCCUUUUUACUCUUUAUGGAAUUUUUAACAAUUUACAAUUAUUUUCAUCUUCCUUCUCAAUUAUAUCACUUUCUCCGUCUUAAAGCUUAAUUAUCCUAAAUCAAUUUUUUAGAAGGAAAGUGAAGAUAAAAAUGAAUCACCAUUUUAUUUAUUUAUUUAUUUAAGUUUUCUUAAAUAGACAUACAUUUUCAUUUAUAAUCUUAUUUCAAUGACAUUUUUCAUUUUUAUACAAACAAAAAUUAAACUUUUAUAACCAAAUAUUUCUCCCAACAAUGUAUUAAAAAUUAUAAAAGAACUUAUGGAAGUCUUCAAAAUAUAAAAUUUUCAUUCUUAAAAAAAUAGAAAUAUUUUUAAGGCUAAUUUUGACAUUAAAAAAAAAAAGGAGAAAGUCUCUUUAUAUAUAUAUAUAUAUAUAUAUAUAUAUAUAUAUAUAUAUAUAUAUAUAUAUAUAUUAAUUUAGAGAGAAUUUUAUUUUGGUAAGUUUAUAAAAUUAAUUUAAAAAUAAAAAACACAAAUAGUAAUCCUUCCAUGCUUUUCUAAACAUAAUUUCCUCGGGAAUAUCAUUCAUUAUUUUUAUAUUAUUUCAAAUUAAAUUUUAAAAUAAUUUAAUAAAUCUGUUAUUAAAUAUUAAUACCAAAUAUACAAAAUAUUAUUCUUUUUAUAGUAUUCUUCUUGAAAGCCAUGCUUAUCAUUACUUAUGCUAUAUCAUUUACAAACCAUACUAAUUUGAUUUGAUCAUAUAUAUCUAUAUUAUUGACAAACCACACUAAUUUAAUCAUAACAUUAAUUCAAUCAUAAGUAUCCUUAUAUAUUAUUUAUUAUUUUAUCUGUUUUAUCUAAAAUUCUCAUAUUUUUGUGUAUUUUUACCAAUAAUUUCAUAAAUAUGGAUAUUUUCAUCAAUAUUUUAAUAAAAGAGAAUCACUAAGCUUUUUAUCUUUGUAAAAAAAUUGUACUAUUUAGUUCAAUUAGAUUUAAAAAAAAUAAAGUUAAUUAUUAAGGAAAAGAGAUAGAAUAUUUCUUAUUAUGUUAUAAUAAAUAAUUGUAAAAAACAAAAUCAAAUAAAUAAACAAAAUGAAGAUUCAUUUUUGUCUUUAUUUUCCUAUCUUUCCUUAUUAAUCCUUUCAAUUUAUUUAUAAAACUUAUAAAAUAUUACUACAAUUUUAAGAUUUUUUUAAUUCAAACUAGACUUUUUCCAAAUUUCAAGUGCAUCUUCAAAUAAAAUAAUUUACUAAAUUCUCUUCUCAUCCUUAUGUUAUCUCCAUUUAACAAACUUAUAAGGUGCAAUUAGAAAGUGCAUGUGGACCUUACCCAAUUUUUCUUUUGAUAUAUUUAUUAAAAAAAAGUAAUAUGAAAAAAAAAAAAACUAUGGAAAUUAGCUAUUAAUUAAACUUAAACAUACCUGAUAACUGAAAAAUGGCAUGUGGAUAUCAGGAUUGCCUUGGGAACACAUUCCUUGCGAUGCCGUUUCCAAAUUAGAGCCGAAGUAGUCAAAAUUCAUGAGCUCUGGUAGAUCCCUAAGUUUCAAAAAUUGUAAUUUAGGGAGCAGUUGCAAGUCGGUCCCAACAUGAUCAACUUCUUUUAUUUCGAACUCCCCUUCCCAUGUGAUUAUUUGUUGCAUGGCAUUGCAAUGUUUUAUUGUCAUUUCUUCCAGUUGGGAAAGGCCUCUGGAAAGUAAGAAGAGAAAUUUCAAUCCAUGACAUUCCUCCACAUGUAAAGUUUUUAAGUUAUCCAAAGACCUUGGGGGAAUUGGGCCACGACAUACUUCUUCCAAAUUACUCAACUCUAGGUCUUCAGUUUUCUUCAACAACUUUCCAAUUCCAUCCCUUAAAAGUAAAUCAACCUGUCUCAGCUUUAAUUGUUUUGAUGUUUUAUACUUUCUUUCCCAUGAAUAAAAACUGCCAUCAAAUAUUGCAUAUCUUGUCAAGUUCUCAAAGAACAUGUCUUCUUUUGGUAGCAACUCGACAGCUGGCACUUGUAUCUCUAUAGUUGUCAAAUGGCGCAAAUGAUUCAGCUCCGAUAAACAAGCAUUGCUUUCUCCAUCACUAACUCCUUCAGCUGCCCAUUGAGUAAAGCUCCGUUUCAUGCACAAACAUUCUAAUCGAGACAGGCUUGAUAAGAUAUUUCGUGGAAUUACAUCAAGCUCCCAACAAUCGUUCAAAUCCAACAACCUUAGAUUCGUCAACUGCCCCAUUUCACUAGGCAAUUGUUGAAUAUCGGAACCCACCAUGCUAAGAACUUGUAGUUUCUUUAGCUCUCCAAUUAGAGCUAUGUCUCCCAACUUGCACCUGUCUAGACGUAAUGUUCGAAGAUUUGGAAGGGAAUGAAGCGUUGAAGGUAGUGUUGUGAAAUGCAUUUCAGACAAGUCUAAAACUUUGAGUAGGUUCAUCCCUUCAAAAAAUGUGUGUGGGAUAUUCAAGGUAGGACUGAUGUUCUGCAAUAGUAAAAAUUGAAGUUCUGGACAUACCAACCUGUGAGGAAGCUCAUGCACAUCUUCGCAAUUUAAAGAGAUGUAUUUGGAUCCAUCAGUCUUUGACCAUUCUUCAUCAUGUUCUCUAACUACAAAUCGAUGAGGAUCCUUGGAUGCAAUAUUUCUGGCAACGUCACGAACAACAUCAUGCAUCCUGACAGACUUGUUAUCAGCAUCCAUGAAAAGCAACCUUGAGGCUCCUCCAAUACCGUUUCUAUGAUCUUCACCGUCGAGUAACAAGCUUGAGGCUUUGAGGGUUCUCACCAAUGUAACUAGUUUAUUUCUUGCUUUCUCCAAUGAGUUGAUGUGGUCAAACAAAUCCAAACCCAUCGCAUACUGUAACAAUUGAUGCAUUGAAAUAUCGCCAUAGCUCAACCAACCACAAAGUAAGAACAAUGACUUGACUUCAUCACCUUUCAAAUGGUCGUAGCUCCACUUCAGACAUCCGUAUACCUUGUCAUCCACUCCGCUGAUGUUUGUCGGUGCAGCACUCCUCAGUUCGUCCAAAGCAUUCUCCCAUAUGGCCACACAUUCACCUUUUAAUGCAUUUGCAAUUGUUACAAUUGCAAUUGGUAGACCCCCACAUUCGUUAACCACCUCAAUUGCUAUGUGUUGCAGUUUAUCCCCCUCCACAGAAUCACCUGCUGUCUUCUUAAAUAAAUUCCAAGCUUCUUUUUCUGGUAAAUGUUGAAGUGGAAAACAUUCUUUUGCGCCCAUGUCUUUGCGUAAUAGGUCUUCAUUUCUAGAAGCCAUCACUAUUUUGCAUCCUUUCUGGUCAUCUUUAGAAGGAAUUCCAACUUCCUCCAAACUAACUUCCUUCCAAAUGUCAUCUAAGAUGAUAAGGAUCUUCUCUUUCUGCAGUCUCUGCUUCAGUUCAGCUGCUCUUGUGGAUUCAUCCUUCCCCUUAAAUUCCAAGCCUAACAUGUCUGCAAUUUUUUGUUGAAUUUUAGCAAUUCCAUCUUGAAGUUUUUCCGAAUCUCGAGUCCAGGAUACAUCUACGUAGACUCGUGUGAUGAACAGCUUCUCAUCUUCAGCUAGUUGAGACACUUGUUUGACCAGCGUGGUUUUGCCCACACCGCCCAUGCCCCAUACCCCAAUCUUGUUGAUCUCAUCAGCUCUUAAUGCAUCCAUAACUUUGUUCACAGUCGAGGCUCUUGAUUCAAAAGGUUCAUAAUUUUUAAAGGUUACAUUCCGUAGAGGGACACAAUAUGCUACACCAUCGGGGAAUUUGCGGUCUUCUUGAACUUUAUCAAUAACCUGCGCCUUCUCGUAUGCUUCCCUGCUUAGCAGGUACCGUGACUUGAGAUUAGGACACCACCCAUUGAAACAGCUCUUGGUUCUUUUCUUUUCAUCUUCCAUGAAUUUCUUUGCCUCCCCUGUAUUCUUGUCUGCCCGAGUCAGCCAGUCUUGAACAAUAGGUCUGAUUUCAUCCCCUCUUCUAAUAGCUUCAUCAACAGUAAUCUGAAGGUCAUCCUUUGCAAGCCCCAACUCCUGAACCUUCUUGUUGAGAUCAUCCAUNNNNNNNNNNNNNNNNNNNNNNNNNNNNNNNNNNNNNNNNNNNNNNNNNNNNNNNNNNNNNNNNNNNNNNNNNNNNNNNNNNNNNNNNNNNNNNNNNNNNNNNNNNNNNNNNNNNNNNNNNNNNNNNNNNNNNNNNNNNNNNNNNNNNNNNNNNNNNNNNNNNNNNNNNNNNNNNNNNNNNNNNNNNNNNNNNNNNNNNNNNNNNNNNNNNNNNNNNNNNNNNNNNUUUUUUUUUGGUGUGUGUGUGGUUUUGUUAGGGAAAACAGAAGGGAAAUGAUGAAAAAAAACAGAAACAAAUGAAAGCAGGAGCAAAAGGAAACUAAAAUAAGAGAGUGGAAGAAAUGGAAGGAGCAGAGUAUUUGUUCCAAGCAGAGAGACGCUCACCAACAGAAUGAAAAGCAGAAUCAGUAGCGAAUAUGAGUGAAGGUAGAAAAAAUGUGUGACAAAACGAGAACAAAGGAAGUUGGUGUUUUGCAAGCAGAUCCUGAUGUGAGACCGAAUGUGAAGAGUAGAUUACCAAGCUAUGAAGACAGAUGGUGGUUUUUUUUUUUUUUGGGAAUUUGGUUAUGUUGGAAAACAGAUGGGAAGUGAGAAAAUAAGAGGAAAUUAAGAAGAGGCCCGAGGAAAUGAAAGGAGCAGAGUUUGGGUUCCAAACAGAGAGACGCUGAAGGAAUCAGAGGUGAAUGAGAGCUAAGUUAGGAAUGGAUGAUAAAAUGGAAAGAGGUAGUGAGUCGAAGAGAUGGGGAAAGACAAAAGGAUUAAGCAACAGCAACAAUGAAGAGAGUGGUAUUGCAAUUAGGUGUGGAAAGGAGCAGACUACUUUUUAAUUAAAGCAAAAUGGAAAUUGAAUGAGAUCGAGUGCAUUUUCAAACCAAGACAAAAAUAUGCAGCCCAAGGGCUUCACACGGAUCCCCUGUUGUUGUUAUUAUUAUUAUUAUUAUUAUUAUUAUGGGACCCAUGUAUAUGCAGUACAGAUUAACGUGAAUCAGUGAAAACAGCUGUAGCAAUGAAUGUGAGCUGUGAAUGACUGCAAAACUUAUUUGUAUGAUAUGGGACGCCUUUGGUUGGAUUUUUUACGAGGGUAGGAUAGUUUUAAAAAAUAUCUUUUGGUAGAAAAAUUAAUUUUAAAUUUAUAAAUAAGUAGAAAAAAAUUACGAUUAGUGACUUUAAAUUCCAGCGUGUGUCAUUCACCGGUUGCAUGUGACUAUAUUAUAACUCAUUCAAGUUUCAGUCUCCUUGGGUUGUUAAAUUAUUUCCAUUUUAAUAUCUUCUCUAACUAUAAAAAAUAAUUACAAUUUAUUUAUCAUACAUGUUUUAAGAUAUAAUAUAUGCGAAUCGUCCCACUUAGUUACUUAAAUUCAUUUUUGCCUUCAAGGUUUGGGCAUAUGAUCUAAUUUUAAUAUAAUAUUAUAAAAUGGAUAAAUCCCCAUACAAGCUUCAUUUAGAAAACAAACCUACAAAAACAAUUAUUAUUAUUUUAUAUUGUUUCAUCAAGUUUAUUAGUAUUUUAUAAAUAUUUUAAGAUAUUAAUAAUAAUAACCUAAAAUAUUACAUCAUAUAACUUAUAUCAAAUUGGAUAUGUAAUAAGUAUGUUAAAAAAAUAAAAAUUAGAUUGAACAACAUCUCAUAUUAAUUUUAAUUUUUCUUUUAAAAUAAGAAUAAGUGAUAUUAAAACUCUAUGAAAACUCUUUUAAUUUUUUUCUCUUUUUUAAAAGUUUUGAUGUCAAAAAGCUUAAAAUUAUUUCAUAAUUACUUUUUAAAUUUGAUAACAAAAAGUUAAGAAUGAAGGUAUAAAAUUUGUUUGAUAUCUAAUUUAAUAAAAAGGAAAUGCAUAAUCAUCGCUCAACUCACCCGUAUCCUGUUCUUAUCAAACCAACAAUGUGGGUGACAUCAAAUAUUUCAUAAAAAAUAAUUAAAAAUUUAUCAUUUUUUUUAUUUAUGAAAAUAACAAAACAAAUUAUAACCAUCAAAUAUAUUUAAUAUUUAUAAAAAUUAAAAGAAUAAAUAAAAUUAUUUAUUUAUAUUUUAAAUAUUAUAGAAAUAUUCCUUAUCCAUUAAUUCUAUUUAAUCAUAUUGCUUUAUAUCAACAUCUUUAAAAUUCAAUUAAUUAAUUAUGUAUUACUUUAAUAUAAUAUUUAUUUGAAAAUUUAUAUUUAUAUAAGUCUCAAUCAUUUAGAAGUGGAUCAGUUUUACCAAUAUUGUGUUAACCGAAAAUGCAUUUAAAUUUAUAGAGGCAAUAAUUUUUUUUUUAAAGUAAAUUAAGCAAAAUGUGAGAUUGACAAUAUAAAUUAAAGGUGUAAUAUUAAAUAAUAUAUAAUAUUAUUUAAUAUUUUAAAUAAUAAUAUAUAACAUCCCAAUGCCUGAAUUUUAAAAAAUAUAUAUUAUAUUAUUUAAACAUUUCUUCAAAAUUAAUUUCUCAUUUUUUAUUUUUUAAAUCAAAAUUUCAAAACUAAUUUCGUAAAUCAUAUUUGGUAAUGUAUUUUACUUUUUACUUUUAAAUUUGAUAAGAAAAAAUUGAAAAUAAAGGUAUAAAAUUUGUUUGAUAUCUAACAGGCCCUUAAUUUAUACAAAUACUUUUGUAAAUAAUUUAUUAUUAUUAUUAUUAUUAUUAUAAAUGGUUUUAAAGAGAAGCAUUCUAAUGAUUACAUGUUUGGCUUAAAAAUGAAUAUUUAAAUUAAAGCAAAAUAGAAAUUAAAUGAGAUUGAGUGUGAAAUGUAAACUGAGUCACAAGACCCAGUCAUAUCAUGCUUGCAUUUUCAAACAAUGACAAAAAUCUUCAGCCUUUGAUUCCUGUACACGAAUUCCCUUUUGCAAUACUGAAGAGGGCUUCCAUUAUUAACGUGAAUCAGUGAAAACAGCUGUAGCUGUAGCAAUGAAGAAAAUAGAAAAAAAUGAAACAUGAUGUGACCUCUGAAUGGAGACAUAAUUUGAGGGAUGUGGCUGUCAUUCCAUGUUCAAAACACCUCCAUGUGAUGUGACUCCCACAACCCAAUUCAUUAGUCAAAUGUUGAGAUAUAAAAAAAAAAUUAUAUCUUAAUUUUAAAGAUAUAAAUUAAAUCUAUUUAAAUAUAUAUAUAUAUAGAAUUUAUUAAUAUAUUCUAUUUAAAAAAAGAAAGAAAGAAAGAAAGAAAGAAAGCAACGUAUCAAGCUAUAAAAUUUGUUUCACUUCUAUUUUUUGUUUUUUUUAACUUUUAAAAUGGGAAAUUAUCACCUAAUUUACCUAUUUAUUUAUUUAUUUACUAAACCAAUAAUAAGGGUGUCUCAAUCUCAGCUAUAAUCAUAAAAAAAUUCAGAAAAAAUAGCAAAAUUUUAUUUGAUUUCCUUUUGAUGAAAAUGAAAAACAAAACUAUAACCACCAAUAAAUGAAUACAAAUACGUGGCAUGUAACUCACAUGAAAGUGGGCUGUCAGUUUUCAAUAACAAGGGCAAAUAUCUUUCCUUUACAUGAACCAUUCUUAUAUCUACAGAAAAGGGGCUCCCAUCCAUUAUUACUCUCAAUAAGGCACAUAUGAAAUCACAAGCAGCGAGAUUCUAAAUUCCAUGUCUGCAUUUGACUCCCACAACACAUUCAAGUUUUGGUCUCCUUUGGCUGCUAAAUUAUUUCCAUUGAUCAUUGAUCAUUGAUCAAGUCUUAAAGACUCUCAAAGUAUAAAAAAUUGUGAGGUUCAAAUAUAUGGGGACUUGGAUUCCUUAGGAGAUAUUAUCUAUUAUGGACCCGAUGAGCUCAAGUUGGUACUAACUUUAAUUGGUGAAAGCAACUACACAAAUAAAGAAAACAAAGAAUAAGAUAAAAGGUAUUAAAUCCAUGUCAAUAACUCGGGGUUUGAAAAUUCAAAGGUUUUGAACCUUUCGGCUUACUAAAAUUAUUACUUUUUAACAUCUUAGGUGAGUACAAAAGUGAUCAUUCAAAAAAUGUAUAUGAAUUAAUUGAUAGAAGCUAGUUAAUUAAAUUUAUUUUUAUAUACAAAAUAUGUUAUAUGAUGUAAUUUCAUUAUAACAUUAUAAAAUUAGUAAAGAUUCGGCUAAGCACAAUCUACACCAGGAAGAAUAAUAAAGUAAACAAAAAGUUCGUCCCAAAGAAAACCAAGAAUAGUGGAGAUUUUGCAUAUCCUAUCAUUAUAACCAAAAUAAAAUUACCAGUAUUUUUAAGUAUUAACACUAUCAUACAUUUCAUGACUCUACACAUUAAUAGAGAAUAAUAAUUGUGACUUAUUAUUUAAUCAAACUUAUUUGUAGUAUUAUGCAUAUAAAAAAUAUAUUAAUUUAGGAUUUUUUUUUUUGUAUUUUUAUAUUUUUUAAUAUUAAAAGAUUUUAAAUAAUUUCAAAAUUCAUGUGACUAAUAUAAAAAUAUUUUUCCAAGAAACAAUUUUGUUAAAACUAUUGUAAUACUUUUACGACUAUCAUUUUUAAAAAAAUUUUCCCAAUUUCCUAUAGUAGUUAAAAACCCAAGUUGUCCUUUCUAGAAUCAAAUCUCAAUAAGCCAUCAUCUCAGUACAUUCUCGUUGAUGCUUUGCCGAUGACACACCACUAAACUAAACAACAAUAUUUGAUUGAAUACUUACAUUUUAUCUCUAAUAUCCAGUAUCAAUUUGGAUAUGUAACAUAUUUUAUAUUGUGCUAAUAUUUAAUUUGUUAAAAGAUUAAAAAUUAAAGUGAAAAAGAUAUAGUUUAUCACAAUUUUAAUAUUUUUAAGGAAAAAUAUAUUACAUAAAAAGAUAUCAAGUCUCUUUUAUUUUUAAUAUUAUUUAGACAUCUCUUUACAGUUUACUUUUUUUAAAUGUAAUUUUAAAAAUAAUUUUAUAAUUCACGUUCUGAUAACCUAAUUUUUACUUUUUAAUUUUUAAAAUCUAAUAAAAAAUAAAAAUUAAAGAUAUAGAAUUUGUUUGAUUUCUAUUUUUUUUAUAAAAAAAAUUUAAAUCCCUCCUAUAAGAAUAAAAAAUUUCAUCCAUAAAUAAAAAAAAAUGAUUAUAUUAUUUUUCUUUUUUUAUUAGAUUAACAAACAUAUUUUACUUUUUAUUUUUUAAAAAUAAAAACAAAUUAUAAGCACCAAAUAUAUUUAAUAUUUACAAAAACAAAAAAUAUAAUUGACAGAUCGUGAAUAUUUUGUGUUUGAAAAAUUGUAGAAAUAAAAGUGUAUCCAAAUGAUAUCCUAUCUAUUAAUUCUAUUUAAUUUUAUUAAUUUGCAUUAAAUUUAUGAAAAUUCAAGCAAUUAAUUUUAUAUGACUUUAAUAAAAUAAUUCAAAAUUUUCUGCAAAAAAAAAAAGUAAUACUGUUCAAUUUAGAAGUGGAUACAUGUAAGAUCAUUAGUACUGCCCGUACUUAAAAAGUAGAGCAAAAUAUCAGACUUGGUGGUAUUCAAUGAGAUUGAGUACGAAAUGUAAACAGAGUAACAAGACCCUCUCAUGCUUGCAUUUUCAAACAAAGACAAAAAUCUUCAGCCUUGGAUUCGCUCUACACGAAUGCCCUUUUAUUAUUAUUAUUUAUUGUGUGGGACCCAUGUAUAUGCAGUGCAGACAAGGCCUUCCCGUUAUUAACCACACAAUCAGUGGAAACAGCUGUAGCAAUGAAGACGGAUAGAAAAAGAUGGAGACAUUUAUGAGAUAUGAUGUGACCUGUUAACGGAAACCUUGCGUUUAUCUCAGCGAUUCUAAAUUCCAUAGCCUGCCAUUUCCACCUGCGUUUGAGUCCCACAACACUUUAAUAUAAUAAUUAAAAAAUUUUCAAAAAAUUAGUACUUAAAAUGGAUUACCAUUCUUGAUUUAGCCCUUUGAUUUUCAUAUGUUUAUAUCUAUCAACGCUUUCUGCUAAGAAUGAAAGUGGACAAACAUUUUUGGAUACCAUUGAUCAUGUGUUUAGAUUCUCAAAAUCUAAAAAGUUGCAAGGUUUUAAUUUGGGUGUUAUUAUUUUGAUUUUUAUGCGUUUACAUCCAUCAACACUUUCAACUAAGAUCAUUGAUCAUCUAUUAAGACUCACGAACUCUAAAAAAUUGUAAGGUUUUGAUUUUGGGUGUUCUUACUAAGAUGGUAGUGCUUUUAAUUCCAAUGAAAACAAAUAUCUUGAAACGUGGAUUCCUCACAUGAGCUAUUAUUAUCCAAUGUGGAGCCCGCCCAUGUCCGUAAAGGAUGAGAUCCCAUUUGUAUCAAUUUAAUUGGUGAAAGCAAUUAGACCAAUGAAAAAAACAAAGAAAAUGAUAAAAGGUAUUAAAUAUGAUGUGAGUUGUGAAAUAGUGACGAUAUAUAUGUUUAUAUUAAAGGAAUACUUUUUCACAAAACGUUAAAUGUGGGGGGUGGGUAGAAGAUGAAGGAUGGCGAAAGGACAUGAGAGCUUACAACUAUACUUCAGUCAUUGAUAGAUGAUGCCCCUUCAAACAUGAGGGAGGAACAAUGUGAAGCUUGUCUCAAAUAUGUUGAAAGCAAGUGAUUGAGAGAGGUGAAGAAUUUCUCCAACUUCAAAUAUGUUAGAUCCAAUUAUAAGAAUAAAAAUUUUUAUCUAUAAAAUUAAAAAAAAAAAUCAUUAUAGUAUUUUUCCUUUUUUUAUUUAAUUAACAAACAUAUUUUACUUUUUAUUUUUUAAAAAUAAAAACAAAUUAUAAGCAUCAAACAUAUUUAAUAUUUACAAAAACCAAAAAUAUAAUUGAUAAAUCGUUUAUAUUUUUUGUUUUGAAAAAAUUGUGGAAAUAAAAGUGUAUCCAAAUGAUACCCAAUCUAUUAAUUCUAUUUGAUUUUAUUAAUUUGUAUUAAAUUAUGAAAAGUCAAUCAAUUAAUUUAUAUGACUUUAAUAUAAUAAUUUCAAAUUUUUGAGGAAUAAAAAAAGAAAGAAAAAAAAAGACAAAAGUAAUGCUUGUACAAGUUUGAAGUGGUAGAUGAGUGAUAUUUUUUUAUUUAAGAUUUAAAUUGAAAUUGUGUUAACCCCUACCUCAGAGUCUGAGAGGCUAAAACGUAAGGAAAAAAAAUGGGGAUAUCAUACCCCAGAGUCUCACCGAUAUUUUCAUGUAGUUUCAAUUUUCAAACACAGAAAAAAGUCUUCAGCGUGGGGUUCCUUUCCACGAAAGAGCAAUAAGUGAAAACGGGUGUAGUAAUGAAGAAAGUAGAAGAAAAAGGAGACAGAUAUGAAACAUGAUGUGACCUCUGAAUGGAAAGUAGAAACGGAUGGAGACAUAUAAUUGGAGGGAUGCGGUUGUCUUUUCCAAAUUCAAAUGCCCUGCAUGUGACUCCCACAACCCAUUCAAUAUUCAGACGCCUUUAGCUACUGAACUUAUUUCCCUUUUAUCUUCUUUAAUCACUACAAAUUUACUUAAUCAUAAUUCAUUAUACAUGUUUUAAAAAUAUAUACCAAUUCAAAUUACAUAUAAUUUUAAAAAAAAAUUAAAACAAUAUCAUCUUUUAUAUAAUAUAUUAGAACUUUUUAUAUGUUUAUAUUGAAAAGAUAAAGGUUUUAGAGUUGAGAUGUCAAAAAAAAUUUUAUAUCUUAAAUUUUUAAAGAUAUAAAAUAAAUCUAAUUUUUUAUAAAAUAUUGAUUUUGUGUAUAAAAUUUAUUAAUAUAUUCUAUUCUAACCAAAAAAAAAAAAAGAAACGUAUGGAAGUAUAAAAUUUGUUUCACUUCUUUUUUUUGUGGAAAAUUAUCACCCAAUUCACCCACGUUUUUAUUUACUAAGGCUAUGUUUGGUUCUCAGAAAAUUUGAGGGAAAAUGCAAGGGAAAGAAAAUACAAAGGAAAAAUAUAAAGAAAGAAAAAAUGAAGGAAAAUAAAAAAUGGAUUAAAAAUUGAUAAGUUAUUUUUAUUUUUUGCUUCAAACUUAUUUUAUUUAUUUUAACUCAUUAAUAUAAAGAUUAAAUAAUUUUAAAAUACAUAAAUUUUUAAUUAAUUUUAAUUAUAUUUAUUUAUUUUUAUUUUUUUCAUAGGACAAUCAAAUAUGAAAAAAUCAUUUUUCUUUGUAUUUUUUUUUUUUUACAUAGUAUUUUCCUUGGAACCAAACAUAACCUAAACCAAUAACAGGGUAUCUCACUCUCGCCUAUAAUCAUAAAAAAUAAUAAAUUAUUUCAUUUACAUGAACCAGUACGAAAAAGGCGCUCCCAUUAUUAGGCUCAAACAGUGAAAGAUACUUACUGUAGCAAUAAAUAAAAUAAAGAAAAAGACAGACACAUUCAAUGACUCUAAAUUCCUUUGUGCCAUUCACGACCUGCAUGUGACUCCCACAAGUCACUCAAGUUUCAGUCUCCUUUGGCUGCUUUAAUCUCUUCUUCUUUGACUAUAAAAAAUAAUCAUAAUUUAUUUAUCAUACAUGUUUUAAGAUAUAAUAUAUGUGAUAUGAUCUAACUUUUGCUAAAUUAUUUCCAUUUAAUCUCUUCUCCAACUAUAAAAAAUAAUCAUAAUUUAGUUAUCAUACAUGUUUUUAAAUUAUCAAAUAGGUGGGUGGGCAUUCACAAUGACGAUCACUUACUUAUCUCAUUAAAACAUGCUUUAAACAAAAAUCGUAAGAUCACUUACAUCAAAUUCUUAAAGUUCUUUAUGUUGUUCUUUAAUAAUCAUAAUUUAGACUUUUUUUUUGUCAACUUAAAAAUAAUGCUUAUACAAAUUAGAAGUCGAUUUAUUUCCAAACUUAUAACAUCAUUAGUAUUAGUAUUAUUAUUAUUAUUAUUAUUAUUUGAAAAAAAAACCAAAAUAGAUAGGUAGUUUUCCACAUCAUGACUGGCAAGUGUACAAAUAUUAAUUAUGGGAAUCACCCACUUAGUUACUAAUUCAUUUUUGCCUCGAGACAUCCCAUCUUAAUUUUAAUUUUUUUAAAUAAAAAUAUAUAACAUCUCAAUGCCUGAUUUAAAAAAAAAAUAUAAUAUUAUUUAAACAUUUCUCAUUGUUUAUUUUUUAAAUAAAAAAAUUAAAACUAAUUUCGUAAAACAUGUUUGGUAAUGUAUUUUACUUUUUACUUUUAAAUUUGAUAACAAAAAAUUGAAAAUAAAGAUAUAAAAUUUGUUUGAUAUCUAACAAGCUCUUAAUUUAUACAAAUAUUUUUGUAAAUUUUUUAUUAUUAUUAUUAUUAUUAUAAAUGGUUUUAAAGAGAAUCAGUUUAAUGAUUACAUUUUUGGCUUAAAAAUGAAUAUGUAAAUUAAAUGAGAUUGAGUGUGAAAUCACUGAAAUGUAAACAGAGUCACGAGACUGAAGACCCUGCCAUAUCAUGCUUGCAUUUUCAAACAAAGACAAAAAUCUUCAGCCUUGAAUUCCUUACACGAAUUCCUUACAAUUAUUCUUGUUGUUGUGGAGGCCAUGUACCUGCAAUAUUGAAAAGGGCUUCCAUUAUUACCAUCAAUUAGUGAAAACAGCUGUAGCAAUGAAGAAAGUAGAAAAAUGAUGGAGACAUUUCUGAAAGAUGAUGUGACCUCUGAAUGGAGCCAUAUCAUUCCAUGUUCAAAUCACCUGCAUGUGACUCCCACAACACAUUCAAUACUCAGGCGCCUUUGCCUAUUGAACUUAUUUCCCUCCUAUCGUCUAUAAUGACUACAAAAGUACUUAAUCAUAAUUCAUUAUACAUAUUUUAAGAUAUAUAUGCGAAUUUAAAUGUAUACCUUUCCUAUUUUUUUUUUUAAGAACAAAAUAUUAAAAUAAUAUUAUCUUUAUAUAACGUAAUUCAGAAAAUACUUUAUAAAAUCACUUUCGUACUUUUAUUUUUAUUUAUCAAACCAACCAUAUAUAUUGUUCCACCGAUAAGAAUAAAAAAUUUGUUAAUAAAAAAAAAAAAUUAUAUCAUUUUUCCUUUUUUAUUUAAUUAAUAAAUAUAUUUUACUUUUUCUUUUUUAAAAUAAAAAAAAAUUAUAAGCACCAAAUAUAUUUAAUAUUUACCAAAAACGAAAAAUAUAAUUAACAAAUCGUGGAUAUUUUUUGUUUUGAAAAAUUGUAGAAAUAGAAGUGUAUCCCAAUAAUGCCCUAUCUAUUAAUUCUAUUUAAUUUUAUUAAUUUGUAUUAAAUUUAUAAAAAUUCAAGCAAUUAAUUUUAUAUGACUUUAAUAUAAUAAUUCAAAAUUUUCCUGUUCAUUUCCAAACCUAAAAGAUCAUUAGUAAUAUCUGUAGUUAAAAGUAAAACAAAAUAUGUCAUUUACGGUGUGAAGAUAUAAUGGUUGAUGAGUGGUAUUUUUGGAUAUAAGAUUUAAAUGGAAAUUAUGUUUAUCCCUAUCUCAAAUUCUUAGAAGCUAAAUAGUAGGGGGAAAAAUGGGUUAAAUUAUGUAAAAUUUAUAUCACUUUCCAUUUCUUAAAUUUUUUGGUAAAAUCUACAAAAAAAAUUUCAUUACUAAUCAUUUAAAAACUUUUGAUACAACUUAAAAUGAGAUGGUUGCAAUCUUUAAUUUUUUGUUAAAUAAUAUAUAAGUGUUGUACCUCUGUAUUCUUAAAUUUGCUUGUAUGUAAGUUCAUGGUUUAAAUUUUUCAUUAAUAAUUCUCCUAUCCUUAAUUUACAAUUAUGUCUACAAAGAAGAUGAAAUCUCAACCACAAUUCAUUUGAGAAUGAUUUUAACUACGUCUAAAAAGUGGACAAUGUUGAAAUUAUAAUCCAACUUGAAAUAAAAAAUCUCAAUCAUAAUUCAUUUGAGAAUGAUUUUAGUUAAAAAUACAUUUAGAGUGCAUUUAUGAAACAUUUGAUGGGCUUACAAUUUGAGGGAUGUGGCUGCCUUUUCCAUAUUCAAAUCACCUGCAUGCGGCUCCCACAACCCAUUCAAUAUUCAGACCCCUUUGCCCACUCUAAUCAUUUCCCUUUUCUCGUCUUUAAUGACCAAUCAUAAUUCAUUAUACAUGUUUUAAAAAAUAUAUAUGAAUUUAAAUGUACACCCUUCCUAUUUUUAUUUUUAAUAUAAAAAAUUAAAAUGGUAUUGUCUUUUGUAUGAUAUAUUAGAACUUUUUAGAUGUUUAUAUUAAAAAGAUAAAAAAAUUUACAAAAUUGAAAUAUAUAUAUAAAAAAAGAUAAUUUUUAAGAUAUAAAGUAAAUAUAAAUUCCAUUAUUACCCUCAAUAAGUGAAGCAACUGUAGCACUGAAGAAAAUAGAGAAGAAGACAUAGACAUAUGGAGUCACACUCAGCGAUUCUAAAUUUCUUGGUCUGCCAUAUUCCACACCUGCAUUUGACUCCCACAACACAUUAAGUUUCAGUCUCCUUUGGCUGCUAAAUUAUUUCCAUUCAUCAUUGAUCAUGUGUUCAUAGUCUCAAAGUCUAAAUAAUUAUGGGGUUCAAAUAUUUUGAGACUUGGAUUCCUUACCUGACAUAUUAUCCAUUGUGGAACCCAUGUCCACUAAGGAUGAGCUUCCAUUGGUGCUAACUUUAAUUGAUGAAAGUUGCUACACAAAUAAAGAAAAUAAAGAAUAAAAUAAAAGGUAUUAAUCAUGAUGUGAGUUGUGAGACCCAUGUCAAUGAGUCGGGGUUUGAAAAUUGAGAGGUUUUAGACCUUUUGGCUUACUAAAAUUAUUAUCUUUUAACAUCUUACGUGAGUACAAAAGUAAUCAUAUAUGGUUUAUUAUGCAUAUUCCAAAAAAUAUAUGUGAUUUAAUUGAUACAAGCUAGUUGAUUAAAUUUAUUUUUAUGUACAAAAUAUGUUAUAUGAUGUAAUUUUAUCAUAAUAUUAUAAAAUUGGUAAAGGCUCUACUAAGCACAAUCUACACCAUAAAGAAUAAUAAAGUAAACAAAAAAAAAAAAAAUCUAAAAGAAAACCAUAACUUACUUUCAAUUUAUUUAUAUUAAACCAACAAGGUUUCAUACUUAUAGACUGAUGAAAAAAUUCUUCAAAAAUCAUAAGAAAUAAUCAUAACAUAUUUUCUUUAUUUUUAUUUCAUAAUAAUAAAAAAAUAUUUUUAUUCUACAACUAGAAACCAAAUUGCUACUAUAAUGGCUAAUAGUCAUAAAAAUUAGAAAUACAAUUGAAAAAUAAUUUAUUUUUCAAUUUUUAAAAAUAGUAAAAACAAAAUUAUACACUGUUGACACAUUAAUUAAUCAUUUUAUUUUAAUAAGAUAUAACUAAUUAUUAAUUUAUAAUUUUAAUAGAAUAGUUAAAAAUUAUAAAUAUUAAUUCUUUUCUCAAUCACCACCAAAUAGAAGUAUUACCAAUUUUGUGUUAUUUCGUGCAUUUUCUACUGGACUUCACAUUUUUGUGCACAUAUUCCAUCAUUUUGUGUACAGUAAUUAUUUUUAUACUACAACAAAUGUAGGGUUUUGCCAAAAAUUAAUUUGUGAUUUAAAAAUAGUAUUUGUGGUAAAAAAAUUUAUUUGUGACAAGUUUGUUGCUAUAAAUCUGUGUGCUAUUAUUUUUAAGCAUAAAAGUUUAUUUUAUAACAAGAUAAAUAAUUUUUCCAAAAAAAUAGAAGAAAAGUGACAAAUUACCAUUUUCAACACAAUAAAAGCAUUGAUAAGUUUAACAACUGAUUUUCCAAUUCUCAAAUUGUGGAUAGUUGAAACUAGAUUUCAAUUCUUCAUGAAUCUCAAUUUUUAAUAAUUUGUACCAUUUAUUUUUUGUGAUGCAUAUUGGUUGUUAAUUAAUUUGUCUUUAUAAUUGGAAUAAACUGAACAUUAUAAAACAAUAUCAGAUGUAUUUUGAUUUCAUAAAAUAAAUGAAACAAAUUUUCUUAAUCAAUUAAACAAAUAAAAUAUGUAAAAUGCAACACCUAAAAAAGAUAAAAUAAAAUAAAUUUAAAACACAUACCAACCCGUUUGACAAAAAUUAGAACUCACAAAUAGUAGUAAAACAUAUAUUAUUAUUAGAUCCUUGACAUGAUCUAUUACACUUUCAAGGAGAGCUGCCUUGUCCAUCAACAGUAAGGAAAUAUUGAUCCUUUUCAAAUUCUAACAAAGAAUGUGUAGUAGGUUGUUUAACAUUUUUCAGGACUAACCAACCAAACUGUUUUUGACCACUGAUCCUCGAGAUAUUACCUGAAAAGAUGCAUAGACACAAAAAUUCCAGACAUCAGCUGAAUCAAGUAAUCCAGAAAAAAAGGGAUGAUUGAAAGUUUCAAAAAAUGCCAUCCCUUUUCACACUUGAUCUACUUUCAUGUGGUUGAGCAAGUGACAAUGGUGUUGGGCAUGGAUAUUGAAGACUUUGGGCUUUGUAGGUUUUAGCAAAAGUUUAAAUAUAGUAUGCAAAGUUACGAAGGAGAUAGAAAAAAGACUUGUGUACAUGACAUGGUAUUGAUUUUCAAUCUCAUCUCAGAAUAGAAUGAGAGUCCUCUCUUACCAGGGAAAAUACUCUGAAAAAUUCCACUUUUGCUGCCUGUAUUAGCCAAAAUAAAAUCAAGCUGAUGAGAGUUGAAUGGAAACAUGGAUUCAAACAACACAAGUAAUGAUUACCUGAUAUGCAUCUCCAUGCUCAUGGUCAUUAUUUGGCUUUUUCCGUACCUAGAGUGAUUAAAGUGAAUCAAUUGUCAGUUUAAGAUGAACUUGAAGCACCAUAACAUUUUGGUCACAUGCAAAGUUGUAGUCAUUUUCUCUUCAAUUACAAGAAACAAGUCAGAAAAAAAAAAAAAAAGAAUAAGUUAAUCCCCAAGUCUGAAUUCUCACCCUUCUCUAGAAAAACAAAGGAUAUGAAGACAAUGAGAAUUGAGACUCAUAGUUUGGUUGAUUCUGGUGGUACCGGGAGGUGUAAUGGCACCAGUUAAGGCCACCACACUGCCGCCUUCUUUCACUAUCUUCACUGCCUAAUUGAUGUAGAAAGGAAAAAGUUUUGUGUUCAUCCACCAUCAAUUCACUCUAUCAAGCAAGACCCAAACAGAUAUGGAGCAGGGGAAUUAAAUUUCAAUAAGUUAAAGUGGGAUAAGGGGCAUUUCAAAUAAAGGAUAAUAGUACAAUAAGUGACUCCUCAAAAUGAGCAAUAAAUACAAGAAUUUACCAACUGCAUCAUAAACUACAUCGAAUUUCUCUGCCAAAUCAGCUCCCAAGCUCUUCAUUAGCUCCAGUUUUCCUGUGCUUGAAGUAGCAGCGCGACUAUUGAGGUACCAAACACUUGUCUUGCAAUAAAAAAGGAGGAAAAAUGGAAUUAUUGUUUCUAUAUCAUACUCAUUUGCCUUAUCCAAAUUAUUUAGGGGGCAAUGGUAGCACAAGUUUUGUUUUGUUCACUCUACUGAGAGCCCCUAUCUCGAUUUUUAACAACUAAUAAAUGGAGGACCCCCAUCUAAUUGCGAAAGGAGGUUUAUAUUUUAGGUACAAAAGAUUUUUCUCCACUACAGGCCAUGAAUAGAUAACAUUUAAAAUGGAAAAUAUAUAAUUAGGAACUGAAAUUCAAAUGCCUAGAUGACAAGGCUUCCAACUCCACCAACACCGCCCAAAACAAGAAUAGAUUUACCAGCAGAAAAUCCAGUCCUUCUAAACCAUCAUAGGCUCUCUCAAUUGUAAGAGGAAGUCCAACAGCUUGAACAAAAUCCAGAUUCUUUGGCUUUAGAGCCAACAGUUUCUCUUCAAUAGUAGUGCAUUUUGCAAAUGAGCUAAACUGCUUAGGCUUGUCCAAUGUUUUCUCAUUUAUGUUUCCAUAUAACUCCGAAUAGAGUAAAUAGAAAGGAAUCAUGUAAAAUCCCUCAAGUAAAUGCAUAUUUCUUUCUUUAAAUUGAAUUUCAGAAUUCUUUAGAUUGGUUACCAAUAGUCCAUGCAAGAACACACCUUCUUCAAAGUGAUGAAAACGUUUCUGAUCUCUGAUGGCAAUGUUCCUUUUAGAAACCUUUGAAACAAGCUUAAUUGUAUAGUAUUUCAUGGGUGAUGUCUUAUUUGGUAUGAAGACUUUGUCAUGCUAAAAGAAAAUGGACAUGGAGGGUAACAAUUUUGAAGGGAUGAAGAGGUCAAAGAUUUGCAUAAUGUUUUUUAUUUCCUCUGAAAUUUCUUGUUCUCUUGUUCAGGAUUCUUUAUAGGGGUAGGGUAGUUUGUCUUUUCCAUAUUUCAUUAAUUGAGGUCAAGGGUGAUGAUUAAGCUUCUUUUGCUAAGCCUUUUUUGUUUUUUUUUUUUUCUUUUUGGGGGUAAAAUUUUCUCAAUUUCUUCUGCGUUUUCAAAUAUGUUUUAGAAGUAAAUUUUAUGGAUAAUAUUUUAUUUUAAUCAUUCUUUAUUAUAUAAUUAUUUUUUAAAAUAAUUCUCAUAAAAUAACAAAAAACAAAAAAUAAAAUAAAAUAUGUUAAAAACAAACAAGGACCUUCUGACCAUGGAUUCCUUGUUUGCUUCACUCCAUGCCUAACAAUUUCCUCUUUCUUAGUAUUUAUUCUUCAGUUUUACUGGUAUAAAUAAAUAGUUAGUUCCUUCAUCUAUAAAGGGUAGCUAGAGAACUGUUAUUACCAAUGAAUAAUGACACCAUAAUCACCUUCAUUUUGAACAUUUACAUACACCUUAUCGUCUCUAUGAAUCCGAAUGACCAGCCCUGGAAAGCUCUCAUUCACAGUCAGCAGCAUGCUCUUUGUGCUGCACAGCCUUGUGAAAUUGGACUUCUUCAGCUACAGGAGAUAAAAAAGAGAGGCAAUAUACAAUGUGACUAACAAAAAAGACCUCGGAUUCUGACAAAAGCAGGCAAGUGUGAAGGUAACACUACAACAAAGUCAUAGUAGUGGGCAUCUCCUUGGACCCAAGUGUUAAGGUAAUUUACUAGUAGCCUAAGAUAAUCAAAUAGCUAAAUUGAAAACCCAAAAUUAGUAUAUUAGAACAUUGUAGAUUGUGUUACAUAUCCAGGAAGAUUGAGCAAAUCGCUUUGGUAAAAAUCUAGUAUUCUAACAAGAAUGUGAAGCUAAAGACAUCUUAUUUAGUUGAAAAGAGGCCUUCCAAAGCAUAUUCAAUAGACAUGUAGUCACUUUCAUUAUUAGAACAAUUCAAUUAGUAGUUGUGUCAUUAAAAAUAUAUAUAUAUAUAUAUAUAGACACACACAUACACAAAAAAGGCCAUGUUAUGUGAGAAUCCACAUAUUGUGAGGAACAAAAGCUCACCAAAUUACUAAAGGAGAAAGCAUUGACAGAAGAAAAAUGGAUACAGGAGAGCUACUCACCAUAACUGUGAAUAAUGAAAUAUUCACUAGAAGUGCAGAUGGGGGUGUUUUAUUUUAUUUUAUUUUCCAUCAUACGGAUGGAUAACAUCAUAUGCAGGAAACAGGUCUAAAGAGAGCAUUGGGCAGCUCAGCAGAAACCACACUUGAUAAACUCAUUUGGAUAAAGUAUUAAUGAUAAAAAUCAUUUAAAUAAAGAGAAAUUUUGCCUUACUAAUUCCUUCAACAAUUUCUUUUCAUUUAAAUGCAUUGUCAUCAUAAUUUAUAAGAUGAAUGCAUUACUCCCAAAUUAACCCAUCUAAUUCUCAAUUCAUCAUAACUGAGGAAUGUUGCUUGAGCACCAGUUUUAUAAUUUAUCAUCCCAUAAAGCAACCAAAGGUUCAUGUUUGACUUCAGACCCAUCAAAGAGGAAAUAAAAAUUUCCAAUACCUAACAAGUCAAAAUAUGUGCAUAAAUACAUACAUUUUAAGCAUGUGAUGAAAUAGAUAAAACUAUUCCCCAAGAUUAACAUAAGAACGAUAUAAUAACAGAUGCAAAUAUAUUUAGAUCAAUUCAUGAUACGAAUAAAUAAGAGGCCUUAAUACAUACUUCUUAAGCCAUUGACAUUGGAUUUGUUAAGUUUUGCAGUGAUAAUCUCCUUGACAAACAACCGAAACAUAACCAAUCUAAACUCCACCUGCCAAGAUACCGUGAUUUUCAAUUCUCAUAUGAGCAGAAACAUUGGAAGAGUUGGACAUUCCAUAAAAAUUGAUCCAGCCUAUCAUCUUUUUCGACAGCAGAAUAUGUAGGCAUGCCACAAGUCGAGAUGGAUAAAGUAUGAAAACCAAAUUUUAGAUUUAACCAUACCGUAUAGGUUGAAGUACUAUUCCCAAGGAAGACAAAACCACAAGCUGUAGACCUGAUAUCAUUAACAAAGAUACACAACCCCAAAUUCGCAAUAACCUUCAUCAACACAUUCUUCUCGAUCCCUUAAAUGCUUUGAAAUCACAAUAACAAAAAACGCAAAGAUAAUGCUCAAUCUCCCGACCUUGUCUAAGAAGAGACUUUCAAGCUCUCCUUUGAUGGCUUCACUGAGAGGAAGGUCCAGAAGAUGAGGCGACAAUUGGAGUGUGUGCUCAAUCAAGCUAAGGAAGAACAUCUAAACCUAGAAAACGUAGAUUUCAAACCGAUAAUCAAUGGCAAAGGCUGAUUAUUAAAAGAAAUUGAACAAAUUAACAUACAAAAAGUAACAAAUUGUCUUCUCUAACUUGUUUUUGCAUCUGUAGGGCUCUUCAGUGAGCUUCUGGUUGAUCUAAGGCUUUAAUCUCCGACUGGUCACCGUUUUCAGCAAUAGGAAUAUUUCAAUUCCUGCCACGCCGGUGAGGUUUGCGAUUCGUCAACGAUGAGAGGAGAGACCGAAACCAAAGUUGGGGGGACCGUGGGAGAGCGAGAAGAGCUGAGUCUAAAACAGAAAAAUUAUUUCAAUAAUGUGAAAAAAAAAAUCAAAAUUGACAUAAUGAUUUUAGAAUUAAAAAUUAUUUUAUUUUUAUUGUUCCUAAACAAAAUUUGAUAUCAAAUUUCAUAUCAAUAUUUGGAAUUGUUGACUAUAAUUUGGGAAAAAAAAUAUUCAAUUCAUUUUUUUCAAAAAAAAAAAAAAAUUGUCAUCGCAUGCUCAAGACUUUAUAUAUAUAUUGUGUAAAAUUAAUAUUGAAUUAAUUAGGCUUAACUUGUAAUAUGGUAUAAUUAAAGACAAAAUCCAUGUCAAAGUCUUAUUAACAAUCAUUCGCCACCAAUAUAUGAUGUGAUUAAAUAUACUAUUUUGUGAUGAAUAGAAAUUUCAACUCUAACAAAAAUCCUUUUUGACAUUAAAAUAAAAUUUAUUAUAAAAAUCUACUUUUUUUUCCAUAAAAUUAUUUGUGCCUAAAAUUAUGGUAGCAAAAUAUGAAAUUUGUUGUAGUGUUAUUCUUGAUGGGUGCUAUGCAGGAUGACUAUUUUUAUUAAUAUGAUACAAGUUGUGCAAGAUGACUUUUAGAGGAAAAAAAAUUUGGGUGGACUCAGUUCAUGAAUGCAAAUCAUUUUUUUUAGUAUGUAUUAGAAAUCUUAGGUAUCAACCAAAAUUAUCUCCUAUAGAACGUGAAUCUUUCCUUGUAAUUACCAUUUACCUUACUUAACUUAAUCAUUUACCUUAUUUAGCUUAGCUAAUUUUGUACCUAUACAGAGGUAAUGUUUCUUACCAAGAUGAUAGAAUAAUAUACUCAUUUCACUAAAUUUAAUGGAUAACUGUUUGAUGGUGAAAUGCUUUGAAAAUUAGAAUCAGUUGUGUUUUACAAAUGCCUUUGUUUAGUCGAUAGGGAGUUAUUUGAAGUUACCUCAUUUUUUACAAGGAUGUGAAAAUUUUUGGAAUAUGGCUGAGAUCCGACACCCAGCCUGCCUUAAAAAUCAAACUGAAAAUUUUUAUUUUCUCCAUUGCAUGGUUGACAUCUAUGUGAGAAAUUUUUUUUAAUUUGUUUGUAAUAUAAAAAAAAAUCUAAAUAGAGAAAAAAUGUUGAAGAAAAAGAUAAACAAAAUAUACUAAUUAAUAGAGUGGUGAAUUUUUAUAUUUUAUUUUAUAUUUUCAUGUGGGAAUUUAAUAUUUUGUUUUUAAGUUAUUAAUUUUAAUUUUUUAUUUAACAAUAACUAAUAUAAUUUUUAUUUAAUUUUAGAAUGGAAAGAGAUAGGAAGUAUUUUCGUAAGAAACAUUAGAUGGUUAAAGUAUUUAAGUAUCAAAUUAUUGUGUUAUUCAAAUUUUUCAUUCUUUUUGGUUGAACGACUUUACUUUCAUAAUAAUGUUGUUUAGAACUUGAGUUUUAAAAUAGCAAACAUGAAAGUAGGUUCAUGAAUUUUUCACUUAAUGCAUGCAAAUUCGGGGUUACAAUUAGCACAACAUAUGGUAUCCCUCUAACAUAAUGGUAGUACCAAAUCAUUCCUAAAUUCGAGAACAUGAUUUACAAUGCUAAAGCCUGAUAGUAAUUAUGGUGUCAUCUAAAGCCUAAACCAUUUGAUGAUCAAAUUGACAUGUUGUUAGUUCUAUUUAUUUAUUUAUUUUUCAAGUAGGCUUUUGAUUACCCUUGAAAGGCUUGGAGGUUGCUUUAAAAUGUUGUCACUCUAGUUGCGUAAUUAGAGAUCAUACUUGAGUAAAUUGCAAGUGAACUUGAUUUUCCUAACAAUCAAUAACCAACCAAACAUAAGUAGAUCGAUUGUUGCACAAUGAACAUACAAGUGAAAAAGCCAUGUUAUCUAAGGUUGAUUAUCCAAGAACAUUCUAACCAAUUAGACUCAUUUAAUACAUGAAGAGAUUUCUACUCAAUGAUUAUCCUCAUAAGACAUUCUUAAAUAUAUUUGACUAAACUCAUAUGUCAAGCCAAACUCUGAACAUCCUAUCAAAGGAUAUUAUGAAUCCUUUAUUUACUAUUAGAUUUUAUUUAACGAAUUUUCAUGGUGUCAUAUUCCACAUUUGAAAGCAAUAUUUCAUAAUUUAAGACAUGAUUAAAAAUUUACUCAAACAAUAACAAAAAUUCCUUUAUCAUAUGUAUUUUAUAAUUUAUGAAAUGUCAACUCAUGCAAUACAAGAAGUCGAAUAUUAAUAAAUUAAAACUUUCAUCAUUAUGCAAGACCACACACCUAACAAACCAAUUUAUUAGGGAUAUAACAAUGAACAGAACAAAAUGCAUAUGAAAAUCUAGCAUGUGUUUGAAUAAAUAAACUCCUAUCAAAUGAAGGAAAUGAUUGAAGGAAACAUCAUUGACAAUUUCUCAAACAUCAUCAAUAAUUUCUCUUUCAAAGGCUGCAUCUGUACUUCAUCUCAAAUAGGGCAGAACAUGAAGUACAUCCAAUGUACCUAAAAAAAAAAUGAUAAGAACAAAAGAAAAUGAUACCAUUUAAAUAUAAAUAACGUAAAACUUAGCAAUAAUAUUUAUAGAAUAUAUUAUGAAGAAACAAAACAUAUUCUUCCUUUGGGAUAAAAAAAAAAAUGGAUGCCACCUCCAUCCUAUUAAUAUUUAAUAUUUUUUAAAAUUAAAUUUUUUUUUAAUCAUGUUUUUCAAUUCCUUUAUAUUUGAUUUAUUAUUCAUUUGUAUAUUAUUGAAAACAAUUUUUUUUUAUUAAUUUAAGAAAUUUAUUAUUACAUGUUAAUAGUAAACAUACAAAAUAUUAUUCUUUGUUUGAUAUUCAUCUUGAAAGUUAUACUUAUCAUAAAUUUAUAUUAUAUCAUUUGCAUACUAUACUAAUUUGAAUUAGCAAAGGUUUUUUUGCAUUAUAAAAAGGUGUUUUAUUUAGUUAAAUUAGAUCAAAAUAAAGGAAGUUAAUUAUUAUGAAUGUAAAAGGAUAGAAUAUUUACAAUUUUUUUUAAUCUAUUAGAAAUAAAUCCAAUAAUUUUUUUUAAUGAGGGUGAUUUGACUGUAUUUUGAAAGAAUGAUAGUUAUUCUCUUAUAUGAAACAUAUUUAAAAUUAAAUUUUAAAUUAAUUUAAUGUUUUGUUAUUAAAAAUUAAUAUAAUCUUCAUACUUUUUUAUUUUUAUAGAAUAUUUAUGUCAAUAAUUCCAAAAAAAAAAAAAAGUAUAAGAAGAAAUAAAAAGUAUGGGAGAGAAAAAAAAAGUAUAGAAAAAAACUAACCUUCUCACAAAAGAGUACUACAUCUUCCGCAGGUCUUCCAUACUACAAUUAGUUAUAUGUAGUUCUUGAAGGUUUUGAAUAUUCAUGAGUGUCAGAAGAGAGGAAAUAUGUUUCAUCCUGUCAUUCCCGUCUUCCAUCCAUCUCAACAUAGGCAAGUUUUGCAAUUUCAAGGUUUCUAACUUUGAGAGGAUCUCAACAUUUCCAUCAAUUUCUUGAAGAAUAAUCACAUGCUUUAAGAGUUAACAAUCUUGCACAUAUAUCUUGUUUAAAUUCUGGAAGCUGUGUAUCAAAUGAGCUGGGACAAGAUUGAGUAGACAUGGACAUUCCUACACCCUUAAGAUCUGUAGAUUGGAGAAUGAUUCAAAUGGAAGUUGAUGAUGCCAUAUAUCCUUCAACUUGGGCACAUGAUAGAGUGUCAACUUCUCUAACUUAGGGAAUGAAACCUAUAACAUGAUACAUGACAUCAUUAAUUGGAAAGUUAUAAUAAAUAUAAAUAUAUUUCUUAAAUAUAAUUCAUCAGCUUAGGAUUAUUCACAUGUUUACUUUAAUUAUAUUUAUAAAAAAAAUGAAAGGAUAAGGGAUUCUCAUGCGGAUGCCACAAAUUAUUUUUACUCAUAUAAAUAAUUUCUUAUUUUAAAUCAUAUACAUUCUUUUAUUUUUCUCUUAUUAAUAAAUUCUUGUGAAUGCCUUUUUUAAAUUUCCUUUUUCUUUUAAAAGAUUUUGAUGAUUUCACUCUUAAAUUUAUUUUGUAUUUAUUCCUAUUAACUUGACCUUUUUUUUCUUAUUUAAAGUAAAAUUAUACUUAUAGUUUUUCGUUAUUUAAAUACUCAUUCCUAUUAAUAUUUAAUGUGUUUAAAAUUAAAAUUUCUUUUAACCUUAUUAGUUUUUCAACUCCUUCAUGUUUUAUAUAUUAUUUGUUUUUUUUUUAUUAUUUAAAGUGAAAUGUUCAAAUAAUUUUAACAUGGUGGAGUUUGGAAAGUGCAUGUGGGCCUACCCUAGUUUUUCUUUUGACUUAUAUCGAUAUAAAGUGGUGCAAAAAAAAAAAAUAUAAUAAUAAUAAUAAUAAAACCAAUGAAAUUGGCUAAUAAGCUUUAACAUACCUUAUGACUGAAAAAUGAGUCUUCCGACCUUGCAUUUGUACUCAAAGAUGUGGAAGAUGUUGUUUCUAACUCGGAACUGAAGUUGAUGAGCUGUGGUAGUCCCUCGAGUUUCAAGGAUCGCAAUUUUGUGAAUAGUUGCAAGUUGGUCCCAGCAUGUCCAUCUUCUUUUAUUUUUGACUCCCUUUCAUAUGCGAUUAUUUGUUGCAUGGCAUCGCAAUAUGAUAUAAUCAUUUCUUCAAGUUGAGAAAGGCCUCUAGCCGUGGAAAGCAAGAGGAGAAAUUUCAAUUUAGGACAUAAAUUCACUUCUAGAGUUUUUAAGUUACCAAAAGACCCUAUUGGAAUUGGGCCAUGCCAUACUUCUUCGAAGUUUUUCAAAGUCUGAAGAAUCAAUGACUCCAAUAGAGGAAAGGCACCAUGUUGCAACAACUGUUGAUUCUUUGAAUCCAUGAUGUAUUGAAUCUCAGGACUAUAACCAACUUUGAGAUGCUUUAGUUCAAGGAAACUCUCCCUAUCUGAUGGGUGAAGAACAUAUUUAGUACCACUUAAUUGACUGAACUCUAGUUCUUCACUUCUCUCCAACAACUUGCUCAUUCCAUCCCCCAAAUGUAAGCUUCUAUUGACUUUCCAAAGCUUCAAUGCUCUUUUGGUUCUCAACCACCCCUGAGUACCUAUAAAUAUCCCAUAUCUUGUCAAGUUCUCAAAUAGAAUGUCUUUUGGUAGCAACUUGGCAUCUCGUAUAUAUGUCUCUAAAGUUGUCAAAUGAGACAAAUGAUUUAGCUCGGAUAAGCAAGCAUUGCUUUCACCUUCAGUUGCCCAUUGAGUAAAGCUAGAUUUCAUGUACAAACAUUCUAAUUGAGACAAACUUGAUAAGAUAUUUCGUGGAAUUACUUCAAGCUUCUCACAAUCAUUCAAAUCCAACAGCCUUAGAUUGGUCAAUCGCGACAUUUCAUUAGGCAAUUGUUGGAUUGUAGAACCCAUCAAGCUAAGAACUUCUAGUUUCGUUAGCUUUCCAAUUAGAGCAAUGUCUCCCAACUUGCACCCAUCCAGACGCAAUGUUCGGAGAUUUGCAAGGGAAUCAAGUGAUGAUGGUAGUGUUGUAAAAUGCAUACGGGACAAAUCCAAAACUUUGAGUUUUUUCAUCCCUUCGAAAAAUGUGUUCGGGAUAUUCAAGAGAGGAUUAUUGUUCUGCAAUAGAAAAAAUUGAAGUUCCGGCCAUACCAACUCUUGAGGAAGGUCAUGCACAGCUUUGCAAUGCAAAGAGAUGAAAGCGCACCUUUUGGAUUCAUCAGUCUCUGACCAUUCUUCCAAUCCAACAUCUUCUCUUACUACAAAUGGAUGAGGAUCCUUGGAUGCAAUUGCUCUGGCAACUUCACGAACAACACUCUGCAUCCUCACAAACUUGUUAUCAACAUCCAUGAAACUCGAACUUGAAGCUCUUUCUUCAUCAAACUUGUUUCUAUCUUCAUGACUGUCAAGUAACAAGCCUGAGGCUUUGAGGAUUUCCACCAAUGCAAGUAGUCUAUUUCUUGCUCGCUCCAAUGAGUCGAUGCGGUCAAACAAAUCCAGACCCAUACCAUAUCGUAACAAGAGAUCCAAUGAAAUAUCACCAUAGCUCAGCAUCCCACAAAGUAAGAACAAUGACUUAACGUCAUCACCCUUCAAAUGGGUGUAGCUCCACUCCAGACAUGAGUAAACCUUCUUAUCCACUGCUCUAAUGUUUGUUGGUGCACAACUCCUGAGUUGUUCCAAGGCAUUCUUCCAUACAGCCACGGUCUCAUCUUUUAAUGCCUUGGCAAUUGUUACAAUUGCAAUUGGUAGACCCUCACAUUCUUCAACUACUUGAAUGGCUAUGGGUCGCAGUUCAAGAUUCUCCUCCAUGGAAUCUCCUGCUGUCUUCUUAAACAAACUCCGAGCUUCUUCUAGUGGUAAAUAUUCCACUGGAAAACAAAUUUGUGCGCCCAUGCCUUUGCAUAAUAGGUCUCUAUCUCUCGAAGCCAACACUAUUUUGCAUUGCAUCCAAAUAUCAUCUUUAGAAGGAAUUCCGACUUGCUCCAAAUCAACUUCCGUCCAAAUAUCAUCUAAGAUAAUAAGGAUCUUCUCUUCCUUCAGUGCCUGCUUCAGUUUAUCCGCAUUGAGCUUCCAAAGUGGUAAGCCCAACGUUUUUGCAAUUCUUUGUCGAAGUUUAGCAAUUCCUUCUUGACGUUUAUCCGAGUCUCGAGUCCAGGAUACAUUCAUAUAAGCUUGUCUGGUGAACAACCGCUGUUGCUUAGCUUGUUGAGCCACUUGUUUCAGCAGUGUUGUUUUGCCCACACCGGCCAUGCCCCAUACUCCAAUCAAGUUGAUAUUGUCGGCUCUUAAGGCAUCCAUAAUUUUGUUCAAAGUGGAGGCUCUUGAUUCAAGGAAUGAAGCCUGUAGCAAAAACACAAUAUAAGGCAUCAAUUGGAAAGUUGUGAUGAUAGGCAUAAACAUAUUUCUUAAAUAUAAUUCAAUUCAAUUCAAUUCUGAAAUACUCUCUCGCAUGUUCACUUCUAAUACAUUAUAAAAUUUUCAUUAGUGAAAGAAAAAGUAAUUAUCAUUAUAAACAUUUUCCCAAAAAAUCAAAUAACUAUUAUAAUAUUAAUAUCCUUUAUGAAAUACAAUUCAAAUGGGUUUCCGAACAAACAGUAAAUAAAGUAUGAAUAAUAAAAAAAAUUAAUAAAAAAAAAUACAAAAUCACAAAGCUUUCAUGAUCAAUACAAAGAAAAAGCUUUUAACUUUUCUUUUAAAAAAAUGUUACGUUUAUUUUGAUAUUAACAAAAAAAUAACACAUAAUUUUCUUUUAAGAAAAAGAGUAAAAGAGAAAAACUAUUCAUAUUAAAAAGGAUGUAUAUGUAUAUGUAUAAUUUCCAUGUAAAAAAUAAUAUUCAAGAUUGUAUUUUUAUAUUUUAAAAAAUAAAUUUUAUUAUUUUAAAAGAAUAAUAAUUACUCUCCUUAUAAGGAAUAAAGUAUGACUUACUUUUUUUAUUUUUAAAAAUAAAAAAUUACAAAAAAAUUCUUUUUGAAGGUUUUGUAAAAUAGAUGUUAACAACAAAACUAACACAUUUUUUUUUUCCAAAGAAAAAGCGUAAAAGAGAAAAAAAAGGUCCAAAUUAAAAAAAAAAAUGUACAUGUAGUAUUUCCACAUACUAUAUAUAUAGCUAUUUAUUAAUUUUAUAAUAUAUUUUCCACGUCUCCAUGCUCUCCUGUACUAUUCUCUAUAUGUAUUUUGCCAUUGAAUUUUUAAUUUUUUAAGAGGGAAAAUAUAUUCUGUUACUUCAUUUUGAAGAAUUGUUUUGUCUUUAACGGAUUAUAUCCAUCAAUUGGAAAAUUGGGAUAGAACAUUUUGAGAAUUUAUUGGGCCUCAUAAUACCCUUAUGUUCUUUUAUUAUUAUUUUCCGUUAAAACUAACAGAAAAGAGGAAUGACUAAAACAAGGUCCGGCAAACAGGCCAACUACAGUGCCAGCAAAGCAGUAGAAAAUGGAAAUAGGGUAUGUAGUUUUGGGAAGAGGUGGCAUCUAGACAACUGCUUGCUUUUUGUUUCAUACACACAUUUCAUAUAUUAAAAUUACCCAAUAUUUCCGGGUGAAAAUCUAUAGACUUGAUUUAUAACAAAAAAAAUUUCAAAAUUAUUUUGACAUAACUGAAUUAAAUAUUUGAAAUUUUUUUAUUAUUUUCUUUUCUUUUUCAAUAGAAAAGGAUUAAAAUUUAUUUUAUUUAACAUAAAAAGACUCAUUAUUAAAACUAAUAUUUAUGAUCUCUUAUUUGAUGACAAUUUUUUUAUUUUAUAAAAAUUAAAAUACCAUUUAAGAAAAAAAAUUAUUUUGUAAAAUUAAAGUACCAUAUAAAUAAACAAAUUAUUAAUAAUUGAUUAACUUAUUGAUAUGAUUUAUAAAACCUUUAUAUACCAAAUGCAUAUAAGGAAAUUGAAUUAAACAUAGUAGAGCAUGAUAAAUUUAAAUAAAAAAUAAAAUCAUUUCAUUCUAAAAAAUUCUUAUUACCGUGUAGGAGAUGUACUUAAAAUAAAACAAAACUUAAAUUUUAGAGCACAUUAAAAAAAUAAAUAAAACAUAUAUUUUUUUUAGUUUUUUCAUUUGUUAAAUAAAAAGUACUUUUCAUUCUAAACAAUUUCCCAAAAAAUCAAACAACUAUUAUAAAAUUAAUAUCUUUCAAAAAAUAUAAUUUAAAUGGGGAUUCAUACAAAAAAUUAAAUAAAGUAUAAAUAAUUAAAAAUUAAUCAAAACAUACAAAAUAAAAUAUAAAAUUACAAAACUUACAUAAUUGAUACAAAGAAAAAGUUCAUAACUUUGUUUUUAAAAAAAUAUUACAUUUAUUUUGAUGUUAACAACAAAAUAACACAUAAUAUUUAAAAAAAAAACAAGAGUAAAAGGAGAAAUGAGGUUCAAAUUAAAAAGGAUGUAUAUAUAUAAUUUAUAUGCAAUAAAUAAUAUCUAGGAUUGUAUUUUUAUAUUUUUUAAAUGUUAAAAUAAAGAUAAUAAAGGUAAUUUGGUUGUUAUUUUAAAAGAAUGGUAGUUUAAUAUUUCAAGAAUGUCGUAGAACAGAAAAAAAGAAAAAGAGAGAGACAACUAACCUUUUCAUUGAAGAGCACUUCAUCAUUAGUAGAAGUAUUGACAUCUCUCAUGUCUUCCAUCCCACAAUCAAUGAUAUGUAACUCUUUGGGAUUGUGAAAAUUCUUGAACAUUGAAGAAGACAAAAUUAAUUGAGGUAGUUUCUCAAUCUUUAGGAUUUUUAACUUUGGGAGGAUCCCAAAAUCUAUCUCCUUCAAUUUUGGAAGACUUUUUAGAACUAUCUCCUCCAAAUUAGGAGAAAGUGAAACCUACAUAAGAAACACAAUAUAAUACAUGACAUCAUCAAUUGUAAAAUUGUAAUAAAUAUAAAAAUAUUGGGUCAAUAUUGGAAAAUAUAUUAUUUUACCUCAUUUUGAAGAAUUGUUCUAUCUUUAUUGAAUUAUAUCCAUCAAUUGGAGAAUUAUGAUAGAAUAUUUUGGGGAAACUCCAGUAAAUCAAGGAUUAAAAAUCGCCUUAACAUAGAGAAUUUAUUGUGCCAACAAAUACCCUUAUAUUUUUUUAUUAUUUUUUUUGUUAAAAAUAACAAAAAAGAGGGACGACCAGAACAAGGUUAGGGUGAGAGGCCAAGUGUAGUGCCAACAAAGCAGUAGAAAAUGGAAAUAGGGUAUUUACUAUUUAGUUUUGGGAAGAGGUGACAUCUAAGACAACUGUUUCCUUUUUGUUUCAUCUAGCAUAUGCACAUUACAUAUAUUAAAACUACCCAAUAUUUUCGGGUGAAAAUCUCUCGACUUGAUUUAUAAAAAUAAAAAAAAAAUUUCAAAAUUAUUUUUACGUAACUAGCUUUAAAAUAUUUGAAAAUUUUUUAUUAUUUUCUUUUAUUUUUAAAUAUAAAAUGAUCAAAAUUUAGUUUAUUUAACAUAAAAGGACUGGUGAUUAAAACUAAUAUUUCUAAUAUCUUAUUUGAUGACAAUUUUUUUAUUUUAUAAAAAUUAAAAUACUAUUUAAGCAAAAAAAUUAGUUUGUAAAAUUAAAAUAACAUAUAAAUAAAUAAAUUGUCAAUAAUUACUUAACUUAUUAAUAUUAUUGACAAAACCUUUAUCUAAUAAAUGCAUAUAAGAAGAUUGAAUUAAACAUCACAAAGCAUGAUAAAUUUAAAUAAAAAAAUAUCAAAUUAUUUUAUUUUGAAAAUUUUUAUUAUUGUAAGAAGGUAGGAGAUGUACUUAAAAUAAAAACAAAAUUUAAAUUUUAGAGCACAAUAAAAAAAUAUAUAUAUAUAUUUUGGUUUUUUCAUUUGUUAAAUAAAAAGUAAUUUUUAUUCUAAACAAUUUCCCAAAAAAUCAAACAACUUGAUAAGACUUUCUAGAGCUAACUCUUCCAAAUUAGGAGAGAAUGAAAUCUAUAUUGUAAAAGUAUAGUAAACAUAAAAAUAUUGGGUUAAUAUAAUUCAUUAACUCUCAAAUCAUAUACAAACUUUAAUAAUUUUCUUUUAAAAUUUAUUUUUUCUAUUAAAAAUUUCAAUAAUUUCACUUUUAAAUUCAUUGCUAUAUUUAUUUCUAUUAACACUUAACCUUUUUUUUAAAUUAGAAUGAAAUUUACAAUGUUUCCUUUUUGUUAUGUUUUAUAUAUUAAUAUUUAAUGUUUUUAAAAUUAAAAAUUCCCUUUUUAACUUUAUUCUUGUUUUCAACUCCUUUAUAUUUUAUUUUUUAUUCACUAAUUCUUUUUUUUUUUUAAACUAAAUAAUAAAAUUAUUAACUUUGAUGGUUAUUUUAAGUCAAGAUUAAUUAGUCUUCUUAUAUGAAAUAAAAUAUGUUUUGCUAUUUUUUAUUUUUAUCUAACAUCUUAACCCAAAUUUUCCAAAAGUUAUUAAUUUUAACUCUUCUAAAAUUUAAAUAAAAUAUUAUUAUUUGAAUUAAAUUUUUACUAGUUCUCUUUUCUAAUUCAUUGCAAUAUGUCUUUCAAUUAGUACCUAUUUUUUUUCGUUUCUAAAUUAAAAUAAUAACUACCAUUUUUCCUUAUUUUUAUAUUAUUUCUAUUAACAUUUAUCCUUUUUAAAUUAAUUUUUCACUUAAAAAUUUUAUUUUUUUCAACUCAUUUGUAAUUUACUUAUUAUUCACAAUUUUUAUUAUUUAAAAUUAAAUUAAUAAAAUUAUUAUUCAAGAUUAAUGUAUUCUUCUCAUACUUUCUUUUUAAAAAUAUUUUUAUUAUAUAUCUCCCUAAAUAUUUCAAGUAGUGUAAGAAAAAACAAAAAAUAUGGGAAAAAACUAACCUUAGACAAAAGACAUCCAUGUAGUUUCUUUAACUUCAGGAUUUUUAACUUUGGGAGGAUCCCAACAUCCAUCUCUAUCAAAUUGGGAACGUUUUUUAGAAUCAAUUCCUCCAAAUUAGGAGGGAAUGAAACCUACAUGAAAAACACAAUAUAUAAUACAUGAUAUCAUCAAUUAUAAAAGUGUGAUAAACACAAAAAUAAAUAGAGCAAUAUAAUUCAUUCACUCUCAAAUCAUAUGCAAAUUUUAAUAAUUUCCUUUUCAAAUUUAUUUUUUCUAUUAAAAAUUUCAAUAAUUUCACUUUUAAAUUUAUUGUUAUAUUUAUUUCUUCUAACAAUUUAACUUUUUUUUAUUUAAAUUAAAAUGAAAUUUACUAUGUUUCCUUUUUAUUAUGUUUUUUUAUAUUAAUACUUAAUGUUUUUAAAAUUAAAAAUUCCUCUUUUAACUUUAUUCUUGUUUUCAAUUCCUUUAUUUUUUUUAUUUAUGAUCCAUUAGUUAUUCUUUUUACAAUAUAAUGGAGUAAGCGCAUUGAAUUUUUAAUUUUUUUGAAAGAGAAUAUAUUCUUUUAGCUCAUUUUGAAGAAUGGUUUCAUCUUUAAUGAAUUAUAAGGGGAAACUCUAGUAAAUCAAGGAUUACAAAUCGCCUAAAACAUAGAGAAGUUUUGGGCCCCGCGUAAUACCCUUAAUUUUUUUUUUUAAAUUUUCUAUUAAAACUAACAUAAAAAAGGAAUGACUAGGACAAGAUCAGGCCGAGAGGCCCAAAAAAUCAAACAAUUGUUAUAAAAUUAAUAUCUUUCAAUAAAUAUAAUUUAAAUGGGGUUUAUACAAAACAUUAAAUAAAGUAUAAAAAAUUAAAAAAUUAAUCAAAACAUACAAAACAAAAUAUAAAAUUACAAAACUUACAUAAUUGAUACAAAGAAAAAGUUUAGAACUUUGUCUUUUGAAAAAUAUUACGUUUAUUUUGAUGUUAACAACAAAAUAACACAAGUUUUUCAAAAAAAAAGAAAAAGAAAAACAAGAGUAAAGGAGAAAUGACGUCCAAAUUAAAAAGGAUGUAUAUAUAUAAUUUCUAUGUAAUAAACAAUACCUAGGAUUGUAUUUUUAUUUUUUUAAAAUGUUAAAAUAAGGAAAAUAAAGAUAAUUUGAUUGUUAUUUUAAAAGAAUGGUAGUUUAAGAUUUCAAGAAAGUAGAAUAAAAAAAUUAGGAGAAAACUAAUCUUUUCAUUGGAGAACACUACAUCAUUACUAGGAGUAUUGACAUCUUCCCCGUCUUCCAUCCCACAAUCAAUGAUAUGUAACUUUUGGAGAUUGUGAAAAAUCUUGAACAUGGAAGCUACGGUAAGUCUUAGCCUAGGUAGUUUCUCUAACUUCAAGAUUUUUAACUUUAGGAGGAUCCCAAUAUCCAUCUCCUCCAAAUUAGGAGGGAAUGAAACCUACAUGAGUAACACAAUAUAUAAUACAUGAUAUCAUCAAUUGUAAAAAUAUGAUAAACACAAAAAUAAUAGGUCAAUAUAAUUCAUUCACUCUAAAUCAUAUGAAAAUUUUAAUAAUUUCCUUUUCAAAUUUAUUUUUCCUAUUAAAAACUUCAAUAAUUUCACUUUUAAAUUCAUUGUUAUAUUUAUUUCUACUAACAAUUUAACUUUUUUUUUUUUAUUUAAAUUAGAAUGAAAUUUACUAUGUUUUCCUUUUUAUUAUGUUUUUUUAUAUUAAUACUUAAUGUUUUUAAAAUUAAAAAUUCCUUUUUUAACUUUAUUCUUGUUUUCAACUCCUUUAUAUUUUAUUUUAGAUCCACUAGUUAUGUUUUUAUUUUUUGAAACUAAAUAAUAAAAUUAUUAACUUUGAUGGUUAUUUUAAAAUCAAGAUUAAUUAGUCUCCUUGUAUCAAAUAAAAUAUGUUUUACUCUUUUGAUUUUCAAAAGUAAAAAGUUAGUCAUAAAUUUGAAAAUAUCUUAAUCAUCUAACAUCUUAACCCAAUUUUCCCAAAUCUUAUUAAUUUUAACUAUUCUAAAAUUUAAAUAAAAUAUUAUUAUUUGAAUUAAAUUUUCACUAAUUCUCCUUUCUAAUUCAUUGCAAUAUUUAUUCCAACUAGCCCCAUUUUUUUCCUUUUAAAUUAAAUAAUACUUACCAUGUUUCCUUAUUGUAUAUUAUUUCUAGUCAUAUUUAUUGCUUUUAAAAUUCACAUUUUGGUAUUAUGUUUAUUCCUUUUUCAACUCCUUUAUAAUUUAAUUAUUAUUCACCAUAUUUUAUUAUCUAAAAUUAAAUUUUAAAUUAAUUUGAUAAAUCUAUUAUUAAAGAUUAAUAUAAUGUUCUCAUAAUUUUUUAUUAUUUUAAUGGAAUAUCUUUUUCAAUAUUUCCCAAAAUAGUAUAAGGAAAAAUAAAAAAAUAUGGGAUAAAACUAACCUUUCCAUCGGAGAGCACUACAUCUUCUGUAGGAGUAUUGAUAUGUUCCUCAUCUUCAACUUCGUUCCCACAAUCUUGAAUGUAUAGGAAUUUAAGGUUGUGAAAAGGAAUGGAAGAAGAGAAAAGACACCUCACGCUAUCAUUCUUGUCCUCAUCCUCAUUGCACACAACACGCCUCAACUUAGGUAGUGCUUUUAACUGUAAGGAUUUUAACCUUGGGAGAAUCCUAAUAUUUCCAUCAAGUCCUUGAAGAUCAAACACAUGUUUUAGGACUUCACAGUGAGCCACCUCUAAUUUUUUCAAAUUGUCGAAACUUUGUAUCAAAUGAGAUGGAAUAAGAUUGAGUAGGCUUGGACAAUGGUUUACUUGUAGGAUUUGCAAAUUGUAGAAGGACCCAAGUGGAAGUUGGUGAUGCCAUAUCUCCUUCAAUUCGAGAAGAUUAUAAAGCAUCAACUUCUCCAAAUUAGGGAAUGAAACCUGAAAUAUAAUACAUGACAUCAUCAAUUGGAAAGUUGUGAUUAAAAUGAAUAUGUUUCUUUCUUUAAAUAUAAUUCAUCUUCCAAAUAUUCACAUAUUUACUUUAGUUAUGUUUUAUGUUUUAAAAAUCUAAAACAAUCAAGGUGGACUAAAAAGAAUCAUGUGAAAAUCUUGGAAAUUUUCACAAAAAAAAUUGACAAGUUAUCAACGAAGAAUAUAUUGGCUCCACUUCUCACAUAAUAUUAGCUAUUUAAUGACAUGUUUUUCGUUAUCUUUUUGUUAAAAGAACAUAGGGAUGACUACAAUGGUGGCGAAUGUGCAACCAUGGAUUACAUAGAUUCUUAUGCCACAAAUUAUUUUUAUUCAUAACCAUCAUUUAUUAUUUUAAAUCAUAUGAACUAUUUAAUUUUUUUUCCUAUUAAUAAAUUCUAAUGAUUUUAUUUUUAAAAUUUGGCUUUUUCUUUUAAAAGAUUGUAUUUCACUCUUAAAUUUAUUCCAGUAUGUUUUCCUAUUAACCUCAACUUUUCCUUAUUAAAUUUUUUUCCUUAGUUUUAUAUUCAUUCGUAUUAGUAUUUAAUUAAUGUUUUUUAAAAUUAAAAUUCCUUUAACCUUAUUCAUUCUUCUACUCCUUUAUAUUUUUUGUAUUAUUCAUUAUUUUUAUAUUAUUUGAAAUUAAAGUUUCAAAUCAUUUUAUAAAUUUAUUAUUAAAGACUAAUACUAAGUAUACAAAAUAUUAUUAUUUUUUAGUAUUCAUCUUGAAAAUUAUACUUAUCAUAAACUUAUGUUAUAUCACUCACAAAUCAUAUUAAUUUAAUCAUACAUAUCUAUAUUAUUCUCAAAUUACACUAAUUCAAUUAUAAUAUUAAUGCAAUCAUAUGAUAUUUAUAUAUUAUUUAAAAUUUUAUAAUUUUCAAAGUUUUAUUCAUGUUUAGCAAUAUUUCCAUAUUAAGAUUUUCAUCAAUAUUUGAUACAAUGGAAUCACCAAAGCUUUUUUGUUAGGCAAAAAUAAAGAAAGUUAAUUAUUAAUGGAUCAUAUUACAGUUAUAUUAAUAAUUGAAAAUAAAAAUAGUAAAGCAUAAAAAAAAAUUACCAUUCUUUUAAAGUAACAACUGAAAUAUUCAUAUUUAACACUUUUAUAAAAAUUAAUUUUAGGGUUAAUUUAUUGAUUUCUCUAAGGUUUUACCUAAAUACACUUAACCUUUAUUAGUUUAAAAUUUCAUCAAAUACCUUCAUUUCCCUUCUUAUUUGUCAUUUUACUCACCUCUCCUCUAACUUAAAAUAAGGAAAAUAUUUAACAAAUUUCAAACCAAUGGGGACUAGGUGUAUUUAGCCAAUAAUUUAGGAGAGGUACGUGAAAUUAACCCUUAAUUUUAUAAAAUUUAAAAAUAAAAAAUAAAAAAUUAUUUUUUUCUCCUUUUCUUUCCUUUUUUUUUUUUUUUAAUUUAUAUGUUAUUUUAUUGUUACCAUCAAAAUUAAAUUUGAGAACUUUUUACCGAUUUUUUUCUUUGUAUUUAUGAUUUAUACUCCGUAAUUUUAUAUUUAUUUUGAAUCUUUUAAUUUUAUGCAUUUUAUUUAAUAAUUUUUUAAAAACUUAGAUAAAUCAUAUUUCUUAAAAUGUAUUUAUUUUAUAAUGGUUAUUUGAUUUUUGGGGAAAUUAUUUAGAAAUUAUUAUUAUUAUUAUGAUUAUUAUGAUAUUAUAAUAUUACUAUUAAAAUAUUGAUAUAAAUAUUUUUUGUUUUCAAUAAUAAUAAUAAAAAUAUAAUACAAUAAUUAUAUUAUUAAAGGUGAUAAUUAAUAUUAAUACAAUUAUUGAUAACAUUUUACUAAUAAUAAUAAAUAAAUAAAUAAAUGAAAUAUGUUAUUAAAAAUAAAUAAUAAUAGUAAUAAUAAAAAUAACAAAAAUGAGGAAAGGAAAAAAUAAAGAAAAAGGUAAACUAAUGGUAUUUUUGCCUUUUUACUCUUUAUGGAAUUUUUAGCAAUUUACAAUUAUUUUCAUCUUCUUUCUCAAUUAUAUCACUUUUUACAUCUUAAAGCAUAGUUAUCCUAAAUCAAUUUUUUAGAAGGAAAGUGAAGACAAAAAUGAAUCACCAUUUUUGUCUUCAUUUUCCCAUCUUUCCUUAUUAAUCCUUUUCAAUUUAUUUAUAAAACUUAUAAAACAUUACUAAUAUUUAAAAAAAAUUAUUCAAACUAGACUUUUUCCAAAUAUUGAAUGAAUCCUCAAAUAAAAUAAUUUAUUAAAUUCUCUUCUCAUCCUUAUGUUAUCUCCUUUUAACAAACUUAUAAGGUGCAAUUAGAAAGUGCAUGUGGACUUUACCUAGUUUUUCUUUUGAUUUAUUUAUUAAAAAAUAUAUGAAAAAAAUAAAAAAUAAAAAAAACUAUGGAAAUUAGCCCUUAAUUAAACUUAAACAUACCUGAUAACUGAAAAAUGGCAUGUGGAUAUUAGGAUUGCCUUGGGAACAUGUUUCUUGCGAUGUCGUCUCCAAAUUAGAGCCGAAGUAGUCGAAAUUCAUGAGCUCUGGUAGAUCCCUAAGUUUCAAAAGUCGUAAUUUAGGGAGCAGUUGCAAGUCGGUCCCAACAUGAUCAACUUCUUUUAUUUCAAACUCCCCUUCACAUGCGAUUAUUUGUUGCAUGGCAUUGCAAUCAUUUAUUGUCAUUUCUUCUACUUGGGAAAGGCCUCUAGCUGUGGAAAGUAAGAAGAGAAAUUUCAAUCCAUGACAUUUCUCCACAUCUAAAAUUUUCAAGUUAUCCAACGACCUUAGGGGAAUUGGGCCACGACAUACUUUUUCCAAUUUACUCAACUUUAGUUCUUCAGUUUUCUUCAACAACUUUCUAAUUCCAUCCCUCAAAAGUAAGCUCCUAUCAACCUGUUCCAGCUUUAAUGUUUUUGAUGUUUUAUAAUUUCUUUCCCAUGAAUAAACUCUGCCUGCAAAUAUUGCAUAUCUUGUCAAGUUCUCAAAGAACAUGUCUUCUUUUGGUAGCAACUUGACAGCUGGCACUUCUAUCUCUAUAGUUGUCAAAUGGUGCAAAUGAUUCAGCUCCGAUAAACAAGCAUUGCUUUCUCCAUCACUAACUCCUUCAGCUGCCCAUCGAGUAAAGCUAGAUUUCAUGCGCAAACAUUCUAAUCGAGACAGGCUUGAUAAGAUAUUUCGUGGAAUUACAUCAAGCUGCCGACAAUCGUUCAAAUCCAACAACAUUAGAUUCGUCAACUGCCCCAUUUCACUAGGCAAUCGUCGGAUAUCGGAACCCACCAUGCUAAGAACUUGUAGUUUCUUUAGCUCUCCAAUUAGAGCUAUGUCUCCCAACUCGCACCCGUCUAGACGUAAUGUUCGAAGAUUUGGAAGGGAAUGAAGCGUUGAAGGUAGUGUUGUGAAAUGCAUUUCAGACAAGUCUAAAACUUUGAGUAGGUUCAUCGCUUCAAAAAAUGUGUGUGGGAUAUUCAAGGUAGGACUGAUGUUCUGCAAUAGUAAAAAUUGAAGUUUUGGACAUACCAACCUGUGAGGAAGCUCAUGCACAUCUUUGCAAUUUAAAGAGAUGUAUUUGAAUUCAUCAGUCUUUGACCAUUCUUCAUCAUCUUCUCUAACUACAAAUCGAUGAAAAUCCUUGGAUGCAAUAUUUCUGGCAACAUCACGAACAACAUCAUGCAUCCUGACAGACUUGUUAUCAGCAUCCAUGAAAAGCAACCUCGAGGCUCCUCGUCUAAAAGGGUUUAUAUGAUCUUCACCGUCAAGUAACAAGCUUGAGGCUUUGAGGGUUCUCACCAAUGUAACUAGUUUAUUUCUUGCUUGCUCCAAUGACUUGAGGUGGUCAAACAAAUCCAAACCCAUAGCAUACUGUAACAAUUCAUGCAUUGAAAUAUCGCCAUAGCUCAACCAACCACAAAGUAAGAACAAUGACUUCACUUCAUGACCUUUCAAAUGGUCGUAGCUCAACUUCAGACAUCCGUAUACCUUGUCAUCCACUCCACCGAUGUUUAUUGGCGCAGCACUCCUCAGUUCGGCCAAAGCAUUCUCCCAUAUUUCCACUAUUUCACCUUUUAAUGCCUUCGCAAUUGUUACAAUUGCAAUUGGUAGACCCUGACAUUCGUUAACCACCUCAAUUGCUAUGGGUCGCAGUUGGUCCCCCUCCACGGAAUCACCUGCUGUCUUCUUAAAUAAAUGCCAAGCUUCUUCUUUUGGUAAAUGUUGAAGUGGAAAACAUUCUUUUGCGCCCAUGUGUUUGCGUAAUAGGUCUUCAUUUCUAGAAGCCAACACUAUUUUGCAUCCUUUCUGGUCAUCUUCAGAAGGAAUUCCAACUUCCUCCAAACUAACUUCCUUCCAAAUGUCAUCUAGGAUGAUUAGGAUCUUCUCUCUCUGAAGUCUCCGCAUCAGUUCAACUGCUCUUGUGGAUUCAUUCACCCCCUUAAAUUGCAAGCCUAACAUGUCUGCAAUUUGUUGUUGAAUUUUAGCAAUUACUUCUUGAAGUUUUUCCGAAUCUCGCGUCCUGGAUACAUCUAUGUAGACUCGUGUGGUGAACAGCUUCUCAUCUUCAGCUAGUUGGGACACUUGUUUGACCAGCGUGGUUUUGCCCACACCGCCCAUGCCCCACACCCCAAUCUUGUUGAUCUCAUCAUCUCUUAAUGCAUCCAUAACUUUGUUCACAGUCGAGGCUCUUGACUCAAAAGGUUCAUAAUUUUUAAAGGUUACAUUCCGUGGAGGGACACGAUAUGAUACGCCAUCGGGGAAAUUGCGGUCUUCUUGGACUUUAACAAUAACCUGCGCCUUCUUGUCUGCUACCCUGCUUAGCAGGUACCGUGACUUGAGAUUAGGACACCACCCAUUGAAACAGCUCUUGUUUUCAUCUUUCUUCAAUUCCUCUGCCUCCCCUGUAACCUUAUCUACCCGAUUCAGCCACUCCUGAACAAUAGGUCUGAUUUCAUCCCCCCUUCUCCUAGCUUCAUCAACAGUUAUCAGCACGUCAACCCUCGCCUUCCCCAGCUUCUGAACUUUGUUGUGGAGUUCAUCGGUAUAGCUCCGAUAGCAAAACAGAUAACUAAGCUGGCGUCCAAUUGGAGCAACCAAGUACUCUGAAACUUUUGCAGCAACGGCAUUAAUGAUCUCUGUCAUUUCGUCUCAGUUGGAUUUGUUUUUUCUUUUUUGUGUGUGUGGUUUUGUUGGGAAAACAGAAGGGAAAUGAUGAAAAAACAGAAACAAAUGAAAGCAGGAACAAGAGGAAACUAAAAUAAGAGAGUGGAAGAAAUGGAAGGAGCAGAGUAUUUGUUCCAAGCAGAGAGACGGUCACCAACAAAAUGAAAAGCAGAAUCAGUAGCGAAUAUGAGUGAAGGUAGAAAAAAUGACAAAGAAGUAGGGAGUGAAGAGAUGGAGAAAGCUCAAGGAAUGCAUGCAAUUUGAUUCAGUGUGACAAAACGAGAACAAAGGAAGUUGGUGUUUUGCAAGCAGAUCUCGAUGUGAGGCCGAAUGUAAAGAGUAGAUUACCAAGCUAUGAAGACAGAUGGUGGUUUUUUUUUUUUUUUUUUUUUUUGGGAAAUUUGGUUAUGUUGGAAAACAGAUGGGAACUGAGAAAAUAAGAGGAAAUUAAGAAGAGGGUGGAGCAAAUGAAAAUAAACAAGGAAAUGAAAGGAGCAGAGUUUGGGUUCCAAACAGAGAGACGAUGAAGGAAUCAGAGGUGAAUGAGAGCCAGGUUAGGAAUGGAUGAUAAAAUGGGAAAGAGGUAGUGAGUCGAAGAGAUGGGGAAAGGCAAAAGGAUUAAGCAACAGCAACAAAGCAGAGAGUGGUAUUGCAAUUAGGUACGGGAAGGAGCAGACUACUUUUUAACUUGGGGUGUUAUAAUUGAGAAAGCACUAACCAAGUAGAAUUUUCCAUCUUCACCCUUGGAUUAUUCCUCACAUGGAUUACUUUUAUCAUUGUGGAAAUUGGAAAACAGGCUUUAAUGGCUUAUAAUAUGAGGCUGCUGUGGCUGCCACUUCCUUUUCCAUCCUCUGCCACUAUUCUUAAUCAUAAAUUAAAGUUAAAUAAUUUUAAUUAUUCUUAAUCUUUAAUUUUUCUUUAAAUUAAUUCAAUUAAUUACAACUAAUAAAAUUAUUUUAGUUUGAUAUUGUUUUUUAUUUAUAAGAUAAAUAAUAUUUAUCUAUUCUUUUUUAUUUAAUAAAAUUUUUAUAAUUCCAAUAUUAUUUUUGAAAAAUUAUGAUUUUAGUUUGAGUUUCAACUUCCUAGUAAAACAAAAAACAAGAAAAUAUCUCAAACAAGAUGCAAGUGGCUGAGGAAUAUGUAAAUGACUUAGGUGGUGUUUGUUUUUUUAGCUUUUUGCUGAAAACUAUUUAGUUUUAGAAUUUAGGUUGUUUGUUUUUUUACUUUUUCAUGACUUAUUAUAAACUUUUUACUAAAUAGAAAAAGCCAAAAUAUGUGGCUUUUUCUAAAUAGAAAAAAUAACACAAUGAUUUUUUUUACUUUUUAAUACUUAAUAGAAAUAAAAUACUACAAAAACAAACAAUCUAAUAUUUAAUACUAUUAAGUAUUAAGGUUCUAUUUAGAAUUAAGUAAAAAAACAAACACCACCUUAGACUUGAAGAUUGGGUUAAUGGGCUCACGUUGACAUUCAUAAUCAUAGAUGAUUAGUGAUGUAUGGUUCUGACUCCCACGAUUGAUUCAAACUUUAUCCAAAUGACAAGUGAUUAUAGUCAUGAGUUUAGAAAUUGAUACACAAAUGCUUUCAUUUUCCUUGAGCACCUACUCUACCAACUUUAUUAUUAUUAUUCUCCCUCCUGCCCCUUCAUUCACUCUGGUUUUAUUUCAUCCAUACCCUUCUCCUACUACUUUCAGAGCAGAGCAGUGCAGUUAUUACUCUCCGAAGCAAGAAAAAAAUUUCAUCAAAGUCUUGGCAAGGUUCUCUAUAUUAUAUUAUAUUAUUAUAAAUAUUUUUGUCUUUUAUUUUGUACUAUAAGAAAAAUUAAUACUAUCAUGUUUAAUAUCUAUAAAAAUUUAAAAUAUUAUUUAAAAUUUAUUUAUGUUAUCCAUUUAAAAAAAUAAUAAUAAAAUCAAAAUUGUAUCCAAAUGAUAUUAUAAUUAUUUAUUAUAUUUUAAUUUUUAAUUUAUAUUAAAUUCAUUAAAAUUAUAUUAAUUAUUUAUAAUUUUAAUAGCAUAAUAGAAAAUAAAAAAAUCAAUUGCUAUAUGAGCCACUAUCAAACAGAAGUGGAUCAAUUAUUGAUAUUGUGUUAAUAUUAUGAUUUUAAUGUUAUUUAGAGUGUGAAAUGAAAUAAGAGCUUACAGCUGGACUGCACCCAUUUAUUAGUGGUGUAUUGUCAAAAUCUUUCGGUAUCCAUGUGUCGUCUCAUAAAAAAACUGAGCAAAUUUAAAGCCUUUGAGUUUGGAAAUUGUAACACGCAUGCUUUCAUUUUCCUUGAGCAAUCAGUUAUUUCUCACCAACCGCUCUGACUACUUCAUUAUUUUUAUUAUUUAUUGGUUUUUGGGGCAUGACUUGCAACCCUUGAUCUAUUAGAUGCAUACGUUUCUCUCAAAGUAACCACUGCAUCUCAUUUAGUACUUUCAAAAGUGAAAAAUAAAAAAUAAAAAUCAUAAAAAAAAAACUUCUUUCUUUAUAUUACAUAAUUAUGCAAUAUCUUUUUUUUUUUUUUAUUUACAAGAGAAAAAAUUAAUAUUUAUAUGUUUGAUAUUUAUAAAAAAUAAAAUAUUAUGUAAAAAAUUAUUUAUGUUUUCUAUUUUUAAAAAUACUAAAACAAAAUUUGUAUCCAAAUGAUAUCUCAAUUAUUUAUUUUGUUUAAUUUUUUAACCUAUACUAAAUUCAUUAAAAUUUGAUUAAUUAUUUAUGUAUAAUUUUAAUAUAAUUAUUUAAUUAUACUUUUCACAAGUCCAUGUUCAGAGUCAGCAAGAAUGGAAGAUCAAUUGUGACAGUUUAUGCAAAAGUGGGUUGAAAAGAAUCCCCCGAACUGCAUUUCGUGCAUGUUUUUAAGCCCAUUUUCAAAAAAAAAAAAAAAAAAAGAAACAAAUUUUAGUCUACAAGGGUAAUUUCAUAAAACAUUAAAUGUGGAGGGUGGGAGGUAGGUAAGGAAGGCGAAUUGGCACGUGAUUGAAGAGUGAGAUCAGACAGCUGGACUAUAGUCAUUCAUUCGUGCAUGGUUUUACUACUUCCGCAUGUUUCUCUUGAGUCCCCACUUCUAUGCAUCUCUCAUUUAUUAAUUUCAGAAGUUAGAAGACAAUUAUUAAAGUCAUAAAAAUAAUAAUAAAAAAUAUAUAAUUAUGAAACAUUUUUAUUUUUUAUUUUUACUAGAAGGAAAUUGAUACUAUAAUGUUUAAUAUUUUUAAAAUUUUAAAAAAUAAUUUAAAAAUUAUUUAUAUUUUCUAUUUUUAAAAAUUAUAAAAAAUGCUUUAUAAAACAAGAAAUGGUUUCAUAAAAUUUCUCCAUAAGUUUUAGAAAUUAAAAAAGAACCAUAUACGAAUUUUUCACCUUUUAACAAAGUCGUUCAAAAAUAAAUCACAUCAAACUCUUAAUUGACUUUUAAAAUAAAAAAUAAAUACUUUUAUUAUCUAUUUUUAGAUUGUGAUUAAGGCAAAAAAAAAAAAAAAAGAGGAAAAGUAUUUAUUUUUGUAAAAAAUAUAUUUUUUUACAAGCUCAUAAUUUAGACUUUUUUUUUUGUCAACUUAAGAAUAAUGCUUAUACAAGCUAGAAGUCGGCCUAUUUCCAAACUUAUAACAUCAUUAGUAUUAUUAUUAUUAUUAUUUUAAAAAAACGAAAACAGAUAGAUGAAGUAUUAUGGGAACUUAGUUACUAAUUCAUUUUUGCUUCGAGAACUUGGCAAUAUGAUGCGAUUUUAAUGUAACAUUAUAAAUUCACUGUGAAAGACAUCUCAUCUUAAUUUUAAUUUUUUUAAAUAAAAAUAUAUAACAUCUCAAUGUCUGAUUUUAAAAAAAUAUAUAAUAUUAUUUAAACAUUUCUUUAAAAUUUAUUUCUCAUUGUUUAUUUUUUAAAUAAAAAAUUAAAACUGAUUUCGUACAACAUGUUUGGUAAUGUAUUUUACUUUUUACUUUUAAAUUUGAUAACAAAAAAUUGAAAAUAAAGAUAUAAAAUUUGUUUGAUAUCUAACAAGCUCUUAAUUUAUACAAAUAAUUCUGUAAAUUUUUAUUAUUAUAAAUGGUUUUAAAGAGAAUCAGUCUAAUGAUUACAUUUUUGGCUUAAAAAUGAAUAUGUAAAUUACAGCAAAAUGGAAAUUAAAUGAGAUUGAGUGUGAAAUCACGAGACUGAAGACCCUGCCAUAUCAUGCUUGCAUUUUAAAAAAAAGACAAAAAUCUUCAGCCUUGGAUUCCUGUACACGAAUUCCCUAUAAAAUUUGUUUCACUUUUUUUUUUUUUACUUUUAAAAUAGAAAAUUACCACCCAAUUCACCCAUAAUUUUUUAUUUUUUUAUUUUUUAUUUUUACUAAACCAAUAAUAUGGGUGUCUCAAUCUCAGCUAUGAUCAUAAAAAAUAGCAAAAAGUUUAUUUGAUUUCCUUUUGAUGAAAAUGAAAAACAAAACUAUAACCACCAAUAAAGGAAUACAAAUACUGGCAUGUAACUCACAUGAAAGUGGGCUAUCAGUUUUCAAUAACAAAGACAAAUACGUUGAGCCCUGGAUUCCUUUAUAUGAACCAUUCUUAUAUCUACUGAAAAGGGGCUCCCAUCCAUUAUUGCCCUCAAUGAAUGAAACAGCUGCAGCAAUCAAGAAAAUAGAGAAGAAGACAAAUCACAAGCAACGAUUCUAAAUUCCGUGAUCUGCCAUUUCCCACCUGCAUUUGACUCCCACAACACAUUCAAGUUUUGGUCUCCUUUGACUGCUAAAUUAUUUCCAUUGAUCAUUGAUCAAGCCUUAAGACUCUCAAAGUAUAAAAAAUUGUAAGGUUCAAAUAUGUGAGGACUUGGAUUCCUUAUAGGAGAUAUUAUCUAUUAAGGAUGAGCACAAGUUGGUACUAACUUUAAUUGGUGAAAGCAACUACACAAAUAAAGAAAACAAAGAAUAGGAAUAAAAUCCAUGUCAAUGACUCGGGGUUCGAAAAUUCAGAGGUUUUGGACCUUUGGGCUUACUACAAUUAUUACCUUUGAACAUCUUGGGUGAGUACAAAAGUGAUCAUUCAAAAAAUAUAUAUGAAUUAAUUGAUAUAAGCUAGUUAAUUAAAUUUAUUUUUAUAUACAAAAUAUGUUGUAUGAUGUAAUUUCAUUAUAACAUUAUAAAAUUGGUGAAGACUCAGCUAAGCACAAUCUGCACUAGAAAAAAUAAUAAAGUAGACAAAAAAGUUUACCCUGGAGAAAACCAAGAAUAAUGGAGAUUUUGCAUAUGCUAUCAUUAUAACCAAAAUAAAAUUGAGAGUAUUUUUAAGUAUUAACACUAUUAUACAUUCCAUGACUCUACACAUUAAUAGAAAAUAAUAAUUUUGAUUUAUUAUUUAAUCAAACUUAUUUAUAGUAUUAUGUGUAUAAAAAAAUAUUAAUUUAAGAUUUUUUUUUGUUAUAUUUUUUUUAAUAUUAAAAAAUUUUAAAUAAUUUCAAGGUUCAUGUGACCGAUAUAAAAAUUAUGAAAAAUAUCUUUUCAAAAAAUAAUUUUCAACGUUAUUAAAACUGUUGUAAAUUCCUCAAUGCUUUUACAACUAUCAUUUUAAAAAAAAAAAUUCCCAGAAAUUAAAAACCCGGGCUGCCCUUUCUAGAGUCAAAUCUCAAUAAGCCAUCAUCUCAGUACAUUCUUGUUGAUGCUUUGCCGAGGACACACCACUAAAACCAAAUAACGAUUUUUGAUUGAAUACUUACAUAUUAUAUACAACAUCAAUUUGGAUAUAUAACAUAUUUUAUAUUGUGCUAAUAUUUAGUUUGGUCAAAGACUAAAAAUUGAAGUGAAAAAGAUAUAGUUUAUCACAAUUUUAAUCCUUUUAAGGAAAAAUGUAUUACAUCUAAAGAUCUGGUAUUAAAAAGAUAUUAAAUAUUAUUUAGACAUCUCUUUUAUUUUUUAUUUUUUUAUUUUUUGUUAAUGUAAUUUUAAAAAUAAAUUUAUAAUUCAUGUUUUGAUAACCUAUUUUUUAACUCUUAUUUUUAAAAUCUAAUAACAAAAAAUAAAAAUUAAAGAUAUAGCAUUUGUUUGAUUUCUAAUUUAUUUUUUUUUAAAAAAAUUAAAAUGCAAAAACCCAACUCACCCUCCAUCAGCAAUAUAUGAGUCCCUCCUAUAAGAAUAAAAAAUUUCAUCUAUAAAAUAAAAAAAAUGAUUAUAUUAUUUUUCCUUUUUUAUUAGAUUAACAAACACAUUUUAUUUUUUAUUUUUUAAAAUAAAAACAAAUUAUAAGCACCAAAUAUAUUUAAUAUUUACAAAACCCAAAAAUAUAAUUGACAUAUCGUGAAUAUUUUUUGUGUUUGAAAAAUUGUAGAAAUAAAAGUGUAUCCAAAUGAUACCUUAUCUAUUAAUUCUAUUUAAUUUUAUUAAUUUGUAUUAAAUUUAUGAAAAUUUAAGCAAUUAAUUUUAUAUGACUUUAAUAUAAUAAUUCAAAAUUUUCAGCAAAAAAAAGUAAUGCUGUUCAAUUUAAAAGUGGAUCCAUUUAUAAACUUGUAAGAUCAUUAGUACAGCCCGUACUUAAAAAGUAAAGCAAAAUAUGAGACUUAGAGGUAUUCAUUAUUCAAUGAGAUUGAGUUCGAAAUGCAAACAGAGCAACAAGAGCCAGCCAUGCUUGCAUUUUCAAACAAAGACAAAAAUCUUCAGCGUUGGAUUAAUCCCCUUUUAUUAUUAUUAUUAUUAUUAUUUAUUGUGUGGGACCCAUGUAUAUGCAGUGUAGAAAGGGGCUUCCGUUAGACCAAUAAAGAAAAUGAUAAAAGGUAUUAAAUAUGAUGUGAGUUGUGAAAUAGACGUUAGCGGUUUAUAUCUGAGAAAAAACUUGUAAGAGAAGGAAAAUGGGAAUACUUCUUCACAAAACGCUAAAUGUGGGGGGUGGGCAGUAGGUAAAGGAUGGCGAAAGGACACAUGAGAGCUUAUCCAAUGUUAUACUACAGUCAUUGAUUGAUGGUGCAUCAUCAAAGUCUAUCAAAUUUAAAGUCUUUGGAAAUUGGGACACCCAUGCUCUCAUUUUCACUUAGCAAUCAAUUAUCGCCUACUAUUCCAACUUUGUUAUUAUUGUUAUUUAUUAAUUUUUGGGUCUGACUCCUUCCCAUUGGCUAACUCUGGUUUUACUACAUCCAUAUGUUUCUCUUCUUGCUUUCAUACUAUCCAGUAUCCACAGCCAUGCAUCUCAUUUAUUAAUUUCAAAAGUUAGAAAAAAAAUCGUUAAGUUCGUAAAAAUGAUAAACAAAUACCUUCUUUCUUUAUAUUAUAUAAUUAUGAAAUAUCAUUAUUUUUUAAUUUUACUAGAAGCAAAUUGAUACCAUCAUGUUUCAAAUUUAUAAAAAUUAAAAAAUAAUUUAAAAGUUAUUUAUGUUUUCUAUUUUUUUAAAAUAGUAGAAAAAAAUGUAUCCAAAUGAUAUGCUAAUUAUUUAUUCUAUUUAAUUUUUUAUAUGUAUUAAAUUGAUUAAAAUUGGAUUAAUUAUUUAUGUAUGAUUUUCAUAUAAUAAUAAAUAAAAUCAAUUCUUAUAUGAGUCACUAUAUCUUAUGUUUUUUUUUUAAUUUCCAUUUUUCAAAAAAAAGGGAGGGAUUAUUUGCGGACGGGAUUGCUAAGGGCAGUGAGACUUUACUUAUUGUUAUAUACUGCAGUUGAUUUAAGACAAGUUGGUCAAGUUCAAUUGUCUUCCCAUAUUUUCAACUAUAUAAACUUAUUAUAAUUAUUAUUAUUAAAAUUAAAAUUAAAAUUAUUAUUAUUAUGAUUAUAAAACAUUGCCAGUUUGUUUCACUUUUCUUAUAUAAUUAUCAAACUUUGUUUUUUUUGUUUUAAGAAAAAACAAAAUUAGAACUGUCAAAUAGAUUUAUAUUAUGUUUGGUUUCCAAAAAGUACAAAGAAAAGAAAAAAAAAAUAUUAAGGAAAGUUGUCCUAUAAAAUAUUUCAAAGAAAAUUAAAUAUAAUUAAAAUUAGUUAGAAAUUUAUACAUUUUAAAAUUAUUUAAUCUUUAUAUUGAUAAGUUAAAAUAAAUAAAAUGAGUUUGAAGUAGCAAAUAAAAAUAAUUUAUUAUCUUUAACUUUAUUUUUUAUUUUCCUUCACUUUUUCUUUCCUUUUACUUUUCCUCUCUAUUUUAUUUCCUUUGUAUUUUCCCUCAAAUUUUCUGAGAACUAAACAUAGCCUUAAUAUUUACAAAACUAAAAACAUAAUUAUGAACACAUUUAUGCUUCAUGUUUUUAAAAAUAUUAAAAAUAAAAGUGUAUGCAAAUGAUACUUUUACUAUUAAUCCUAUUCGACUCUAUUUGUUUUUUUCAUUGAAUUUAAUGAAAUUCAAUUAAUUAUUUAUGUCUGAAUUUAAUAUAAUAAUUAAAAAUAUUUCAAAAUUUUUAAUACUUAUCAUCACUUACUAAUCUUGAUUUAAACCUUUGGUUUUCAUAUGUUUAGAUGUAUCAACACUUUUAGGUAAAGAUGAAAAUGAACCAACAUUUUCGAAUACCAUUGAUCAUGUGAUAAGAUCUCAAAAUCUAAAAAAAUUGUAUGGUUUUGAUUUGGAUGUUAUUAUUUUGAUUUUCAUGUUUUUAGAUCCAUUAACACUUUUGGCUAAGAUGACAAUGGACGAAGAUUUUCGGGUACCAUUGAUCGUGUGUUAAGACUCUCAAAGUUUAAAAAAUUAUAAGGUUUUGAUUUGGUUAUUAUUAUUAAGAAAGUACAAGAGAUUGUCAUGCUUUUAUUUUCAACGAAAACAGAUAUCUUGAGACUUGGAUUCCUUUCAAGAGCUAUUAUCCAAUGUGGAGCCCAUGUCUACAAAGGAUGAGGCUCCAUUAGUAUUAACUUUAAUUGGUGAAAGCAACUAGACCAAUGAAGAAAACAAAGAAAAUGAUAAAAAGUUUUAAAUAUGAUGUGAGUUGUAAAACAUACGUCAGUGGCUUAUAUUUGAAGAUAAGGUCAUGGGAAUCACAGAAGAUGAUACCAUUCAUGUAUGGUUUCUCCAACCUAUUCAAAAUUUAGAGGCUUUGGAUACUAAAAUUUUUACCUUUUAACGUUUCAAGUGAGUACAAAAGUAAUCAUGUAUGGUUUAUUAUGUAUAUUUUUAAAAAUAUAUGUUUAUUAAUUUACAUAAGAUGACUAAUUAAAUUUAUUUUUAUCUACAAAAUAUGUUGCAUGAUGUAAUUUUAAUAUAAUAUUAUAAAAUUGAUAAAAACUCAGCUAAGUUGAAUCUAUGUUAAAAAGUACAAAAAGUUUUUUCAUUUCUAAUUAUUUUUAAUUUUAAAAUAAAAAAUUUAUUACCCAUAACUUACUUGCAAUUUUUUUUUUCUAAUAAACCAACAAGGUUUCAGAGGCAAAAAAUUCAUCAAAAUCAUAAGAAACCAAAAAAAUUGUACUUAUAAACAAUAUUGUGUUAACCCUUUGGUUUUUAGGUUGUUUAAGUAUAUCAACACUAAUAGUUUUAAAAAGUGGUAAAAAGUGAGCAAUAUACAUGAUGGUCAAUUUUGCUUAUUAAUGGGCAUGUUAAGGUGGCAUUAAAAUUGAUUAAGGCUAUGUUUGGUUCCAAAAAAAUUUAAGGGAAAAUGCAAAAUAAGCAAAAUAGAGAGGAAAAGUAGAGAGAAAGAAAAAGUGAAAGGAAAAUAAAAAGUAGAUUUAAAGCCAAUAAAUUAUUUUUAUUUACUACUUCAAAUUUAUUUCACCAAUUUUAAUUCAUUGAUGUAAAAAUUAAAUAAUUUGAGAAAACAUCAAUUUAUAACUAAUUUUAAUUAUAUUUUAUUUUCUUUAACAUUUUCAAUUGGACAAUCAAAUAUGAAAAAUCAUUUUCCUUAGUAUAUAUUUUUUUUCUUUCAUCUUUAGGAACCAAACAUAACCUUAUUAAUGAGUUUAUCCGGAAUUAGUGAGUUAGAAAGAGAGAAACAAAAGGAAAAAAUAAAUAUAAAUUUAUGCUACUUUAAAAAGAGAGUGUACUUUUAUCCUCCGACCUUUGCUUAACUUAAAUAAAUAAAUAAAAUAAAAUCCUCAUAGGGACCCAACAAUAUUCAUUUUUUAAAAAAAUAUGUAAAACUACCUUAAAGAUUCUCUCGCCAAUUUUUCCCUUCCACCUUCAUUCAUCUUCAAUUUCUUGACCAAAAAAUAAAUAAUUAAAAAGAAAAAAAUGGAAGCAAUGAGGGAUUUAUUUGAUAAUGUUUUAAAAACCAAUUCUCAAAAAAAAAAAAUGUAUUUAAAAGAAAAUUUUAAAAUGGUUAUCAAUUAUUUUUUAAAAUAAAAUUUUGUUUGAGAAUUUAAAUAUAAAAAUUAGUUUUUUCGAUUUAUUCUCCACAAAGGUACUGUGUAUUUAUGUAUAAUAAAAAAAUUCUAAAAUAUUUUUAUUUUAAUUGUUAUUCAAAAAAUUAAUAAAAAACAACUAAAAACACACCUCAAAAUUAUUCUAAGAAAUAUGCUUUUAGAAUAAAUUUUGAAAAAAAUAAUAAUUUUCUAUUAAAAAUUUAUCAAAUGUAUUUUUUUAUAUUUGAAAAUGAUUUUUUAUUGUAAAAAAUAAAAUUACCAAAUAAGCCUUAAUGUUUUUAUCACAAUUGCCUAUCAUGCUUUUGUUUUCAAACAAAACAACAUCCUAAGUUGUAUUCUUUAGACAAGUUAUCAUCUAUUGUGGAACCCAUACUUACUAGACAUAGGCCGAUAAGUACCAACAAAGAAAAUGAAGAAAAAAAUAAAAGUUAUUCAAUAUGAUGUGAGUUGUGAGUUGUGAGUUGUGAGUUGUGAGUUGUGAGUUGUGAGGUAGAUGUUUGUGGUUAACAUGCCUCAACCCUAAAAUAGAUUCCACUUAUCCGUUUUAGGGUUGUCUCUUUUAUAUUAGAAUAAAAAAGAUUAUUCCAUUCAUAUGUAGGACCUACAACUUAUUUGAAAUUAAAGGGACUUUAUAAAAGCAAUUAUAUAUGGUUUAUGUCAGGAUUCUAACAAUACCAACCUAAGGUAAACCCUUGGGUGUUGGGAAUUUUUUUUUUAAAAUAUAAAAUAUGAUGAAUAUAGGAGAUAAAUAAGCAACAAUAUAAUAAAAGCAAUAAAAAAUCAUUGCAUAUAAAUAAAGAGGGUAAGUAAGAUGGAAAUUCAAACUCAAGAUUUAUAAUGAUUAGCACAAAUCUCGGCCUACAUCCACUUUCCUUGAAUUCUAAUCCCAAGUUUGAGGUUUUACUAUAUUAAGACUUUCAAACCAAAUUUUAGAACUUUAUACUUGGAUUAAUUGACUCCAAUAGACACUUACAAUUUUUAUUAAGAGAUGUCUCACUCUUAAACUCCCCAAAUGAUAUCCCAUACUUGGCAAACCCUAAGUGAUACCUUAUAUUUAUAUUUUUCUCUCAAGUGAUACCUACACUUGAUCUUAUCUCAUAAGAUUUACAAAAAAUGAUUUUUUAAUAAAAAUUCCUAGUUUACAUUUUUUUUUUUAUAAAAACUAAAAAUAUAAUUAUUAAAACAUUUAUGUUUUAUGUUUUUUAAAAUAUUAAGAAUAAAAGUGUAUGCAAAUGACACCUUUAAUUAUUAUUUCUAUUCAACUCCAUUUAUUUUUAUUGAAUUUAAUGAAAUUCAAUUAAUUGUUUAUGUAUGAAUUUAAUAUAAUAAUUAAAAAUUUUCCAAAAAAAUUUAAUAUUUAUAAUCGAUUACCAAUCUUGAUUUAACCUUUUGAUUUUUAUAUAUAUGUUUAGAUCUAUUAACACUUCUAGCUAAGGAUGAAAAAUGGAUGAGCAUUUUCAAAUACCAUUGAUCAUGUGCAAAACAAAUCUAAAAAAUUGUAAGGUUUUGAUUCAGAUGUUAUUAUUUUGAUUUUCUUGUGUGUAGAUCUAUUAAUACUUCCAACUAAUGAUAACAAUAGAUGAGGAUUUUUAGGUACCAUUGAUCAUGUGUUAGGAGUCUCAAAGUCUAAAAAAUUAUAAGAUUUCGAUUUGGUUAUUAAUUAAUUAUUAUUGAGAAAGCACAAGCAAGAGACUAUCUGCUUUUAUUUUCAAUGAAAACAAAUAUCUUGAGACUUGGAUUCCUUACAUGAGAUAUUAUCCAUUAUUAUUAUUAAAUUAAAAUUAAAAUUAUUAUUAUUAUGAUUAUAAAACAUUACCAGUUUGUUUCACUUUUCUUAUAUAAUUAUCAAACUUUGUUUUUUUGUUUUAAGAAAAAACAAAAUUAGAACUGUCAAAUACAUUUAGGCUAUGUUUGGUUCUCGGAAAGUACAAAGAAAAGAAAAAAAUAUUAAGGAAAAUGAUUUUCUCAUGUUUGGUUGUCCUAUAAAAUAUUUUAAAGAAAAUUAAAUAUAAUUAAAAUUAGUUAGAAACUUAUGCAUUUUAAAAUUAUUUAAUCUUUAUAUUGAUGAGUUAAAAUAAAUAAAAUGAGUUUGAAGUAGCAAAUAAAAAUAAUUUAUCAUCUUUAACUUUAUUUUUUAUUUUCCUUCACUUUUUCUUUCCUUUUACUUUUCAUCUCUAUUUUAUUUCCUUUGUAUUUUCCCUCAAAUUUUCUGAGAACCAAACAUAGCCUUAAUAUUUACAAAACUAAAAACAUAAUUAUGAACACAUUUAUGCUUCAUGUUUUUAAAAAUAUUAAAAAUAAAAGUGUAUGCAAAUGAUACUUUUAACUAUUAAUUCUAUUCGACUCUACUUAUUUUUUUCAUUGAAUUUAAUGAAAUUCAAUUAAUUAUUUAUGUCUGAAUUUAAUAUAAUAAUUAAAAAAAUUUCAAAAUUUUUUAAUACUUAUCAUCACUUACCAAUCUUGAUUUAAACCUUUGGUUUCUUAUGUUUAGAUGUAUCAACACCUUUCAGGUAAUGAUGAAAAUGAACCAACUUUUCAAAUACCAUUGAUCCUGUGAUNNNNNNNNNNNNNNNNNNNNNNNNNNNNNNNNNNNNNNNNNNNNNNNNNNNNNNNNNNNNNNNNNNNNNNNNNNNNNNNNNNNNNNNNNNNNNNNNNNNNUUUAGAUGUAUCAACACUUUCAGGUAAUGAUGAAAAUGAACCAACAUUUUCGAAUACCAUUGAUCAUGUGAUUCGAUCUCAAAAUCUAAAAAAAUUGUACGGUUUUGAUUUGGAUGUUAUUAUUUUGAUUUUCAUGUUUUUAGAUCCAUUAACACUUUUGGCUAAGAUGACAAUGGACGAAGAUUUUCGGGUACCAUUGAUCAUGUGUUAAGACUCUCAAAGUUUAAAAAAUUAUAAGGUUUUGAUUUGGUUAUUAUUAUUAAGAAAGUAAAAAGAGAUUGUCGUAUUUUUAUUUUCAACGAAAACAAAUAUCUUGAGACUUGGAUUCCUUUCAAGAGCUAUUAUCCAAUGUGGAGCCCAUGUCUACAAAGGAUGAGGCCCCAUUAGUAUUAACUUUAAUUGGUGAAAGCAACUAGAUGAUGUGAGUUGUGAAACAUAUGUCAGUGGCUUAUAUUUGACGAUAAGGUCAUGGGAUUAUUUACUUCACAUUCAUAAUCAGAAUCACAGAAGAUGAUAUCAUUCAUGUAUGGUUCCCACAACUGAAUUAUUCAAAAUUUAGAGGCUUUGGAUACUAAAAUUAUUAUCAUUUACCGCUUAAGUGAAUAUAAAAUUAAUCAUAUACAAGUUGGUUAAUUAAAUUUAUUUUUAUUUACAAAAUUUGUUGUAUGAUGUAAUUUUAAUAUAAUAUUAUAAAAUUGAUAAAAACCUCAGCUAAGUUGAAUCUAUGUUAAAAAGAAUAAUAAAGUAAACAAGAAGCUUAUUCAAAAAGAAAACAAAGAAUAGUGGAGAUUUUGUAUAAUAUUCUAUAAUAUAAUUGGAACCAAAAUAAGAUUGGGAAUAUUUUCAAGUAUUAACACUAUUAUACAUUCCAUGAAUCUACUCAUUGGUAGAAAAUAAUAAUUUUGACUUAUUAUUUAAUCAAGUUUAUUUGUAGUAUUAUGUGUAUAAAAAAUAUAUUAGUUAAUUUAAGAUAUAUAUAUAUAUAUAUAUUAUAUUAAAUAUUAAAAAAUUUAAAUAAUUUCAAAACUCAUGUUUGAUAAUUUAAUUUAUCUUUACAUUUUGAUAACAAAAUUUAAAAAAUAAAAGUAUAAAAAGUUUUUUCAUUUCUAAUUUAAUUUUUUUUUUUAAAUUAUCACCCAUAACUGAUUUGCAAUUUAUUUAUUUUUAUUUAUUAAACCAACAAGGUUUCAUAUUCAAAGGCAAAAAAUUCAUCAAUGUCAUAAGAAACCAAAAAAUUCGUACUUUAAAAAGUGGUAAAAAGUGAGCAAUAUACAUGAAUGGUCAAUUUAGCUUAUUAAUGGACAUAUUAAGGUGGCAUUAAAAUUGAUUAAGGCUAUGUUUGGUUCCAAAAAAAUUUAAGAAAAAAUGCAAAAGAAGCAAAAUAAAGAGGAAAAAUAGAGAGAAAAAAAAAGUGAAGGAAAAUAAAAAGUAGAUUUAAAGUUAAUAAAUUAUUUUUAUUUACUACUUCAAAUUUAUUUAACUAAUUUUAGUUUAUUGAUAUAAAAAUUAAAUAAUUUGAGAAAGCAAAAGUUUAUAACUAGUUUUAAUUAUAUUUUAUUUUCUUUAACAUUUUUCAUUGGACAACCAAAUAUGAAAAUCAUUUUUCUUAGUAUUUUUUUUUUCAUUUUUAGGAACCAUAUAUAACCUUAUUCAUGAGUUUAUCCGGAAUUGGUGAGUUAGAAAGAGGGAAACAAAAGGAAAAAAUAAAUAUAAAUUUAUACUACUUUAAAAAGAGAAUGUACUUUUAUCCUCUUACCUUUGCUAAACGUAAAUAAAUAAAUAAAAUAAAAUCCUCAUAGGGACCCAACAAUAUUCAUUUUUAAAAAAAUAUGUAAAACUACCUUUAAAGAUCCUCUUGCCAAUUUUUCCCUUCCACCUUCAUUCAUCUUCAAUUUCUUGACCCAAAAAUAAAUAAUUAAAAAGAAAAAAUGAAAGCAAUGAGGGAUUUAUUUGAUAAUGUUUUUAAAACCAAUUCUCCAAAAAAAUAGUUUUUAAAAACAAUUUUUAGAAUGGUUAUCAAUUAUUUUUGAAAACAAAAUUUUGUUUGAGAAUUUAAAUAUAAAAAAUAGUUUUUUCAAUUUAUUCUCCACAAAGGUACUGUGUAUUUAUGUAAAAUAAAAAAAAAUCUAAAUAUUUUUAUAUUAAUUGUUAUUCAAAAAAUUAAUAAAAAUAACUAAAAACACACCUCAAAAUUAUUCUAAGAAAUAUGCUUUUAGAAUAAAUUUUGAAAAAAAUAAUUUUUUAUUAAAAGUUUAUCAAAUGUAGUUUUUUUUUUAUGUUUGAAAGUAAUUUUUUAUUAUAAAAAAUAAAAUUACCAAAUAAGCCUUAAUGUUUUUAUCACAAUUGCCUAUCAUGCUUUUGUUUUUAAACAAAACAACAUCCCAAGUUGUAUUCUUUAGACAAGUUAUGAUCCAUUGUGGAACCAUACUUACUAGACAUAGGCCAAUAGUACCAACACAGAACAUGAAGAAAAAGAUAAAAGUUAUUCAAUAUGAUGUGAGUUGCAAGUUGUGACUUGUGAGGUAGAUGUUUGUGGUUAACAUGCCUCAACCCUAAAAUUGAUUCCACUUAUCCGUUUUAGGGUUGUCUCGUUUAUAUUAGAAUAAAAAAGAUUAUUCAAUUCAUAUGUAGGACUUACAACUUAUUUGAAAUUAAAAGGUGUGGACUCCGCAUUUCGGCUCAUGCGUUUCCCACUCGAAGGCGAGCUCGAUUUUGAUUUUGAAAAAUGAUUUUAUUGAUUAAGAAAAAUUGACUUGGAGUAGCUACUUAUUUUUGUUUUAUUUUUAAAGGGUAACAAAAUAAGAAAGAAAACCCUAAGUGCGACUCCUUAUUUUGGAAAAGGUGAUCUACGAAAAAUUGGAUCGGGCUCGGGGAUCAGGUUGCUUAUUGGGAAGGUAUGGUAAAGACCAUAGCACCCCUCUAAGUCCCUAAAGUCGGGUCUCUACUAAUAAAAUGAAGUUGACAUGACAAUCAAUAGGAAAAUCAAUGGAUACUCAAAUCGAUUAGGCGCAUAUGGGAAUCGAAACAUGCAAUAGAGAAUGACCAGAAUAGGAGUGGAUGCGUACCUGGGCCACGAACGAACAAUGCGCUAUCAUAGAAAUGGAGUCAGUGCACAAUAUAGAGCACGAAACAUAUCACAUGCAUCACUAAGCAGGGAUUAAAAUUGUUCGAAGGAAAACUGGAUUUCUGAAAUUCAUUUGAGAAUCGAAAUCUUAGCGAUUAUUUGAAAAUUGGAGUUUUGGAGAUUAUUUGAAAAUUGGAUUCUUAGGAAUUAAAUGUAAGAAUGAGAAUUUUAGAAAUUAAAUUUGAAAGAAAAUUGGGAUUUUGAGGAAUUAUUUAAAAGUUCGGGAUUUUUAAGAAAAAUUGAGUUACGAAAAUUGGGACUUUGGGAGUUGAAUUUUGAAAGGGAUCAGAGUUGUAAGUUAUUUGAGAAGUAGAAAUUAUGAAAGUUGAUUUAUAAAAAUUGGAAAUCUUGAAAAUCAUUUGAAGGCGGACCUUUUAGAAACGAAUGAAUAAAAUGAUAACAAUAAUAGUGAUAACAAUAAAUGAGUAACCGGAUAAAUGUGAUAAUUGGAAUAUUGAGAAGUGAAAAUUAAGUUCGGAGAUAGGACAAUUGGAAUUUCAGAUAACUAAAUUUAGAAAUUGGAAUUUUGAAGAAUUAGACUUUAAUGGUUGAGAUCUUUAAGAGAAAUAAAUAUGUAAGUAUGGAAUAAUGUUACUAAUUAAUCAAAAACGAUAUUUGGACGGAUGAAAGUGAAUAGUGUGAUUUAUGAGAUUAAAAAUUAAAUUUGAAAAUCGGAUUUUGACAAAAAUGAUGUUUGAACGGAUGAAAGUGAAUAGUGGGAUUUUGAAAAUUAAGUUUGAAAGUCAGAUUUUUGCAUAAUUGAACUUUAAUUAUUGGAAUUUUUAGAAGAAAGAAAUAAGUAAACGUGGAAAUAGCGAUUAACAAAAAUGAUAUUUAAAUGAAUAAAAAAAUGUGUAGUGGGAUUUUUGAGGCUGAAAAUUAAAUUGGGACGUUGGAUUUUUGAAGGAUUGGACUUUAAAUAACUAGAUAAAUAUGGGAUAAUGAUUUUAUUUAAUGAAAAUAAGGUUUAAACAAAUUAUUGAAAGAUUAAAUUGGGACAUGGGAUUUUUGAAGGAUUGGACUUUAAGUAACUAGAUAAAUAUGGGAUAAUGAUUCUAUUUAAUGAAAAUAAGGUUUAAACGAAUUAUUGAAAGAUUAAAUUAAGACAUGUGAUUUUUGAAAAAUUAGACUUUGAAUAACUAGAUGAAUAUGGGAUGAUGAUUCUAUUUAAUGAAAAUAAGAUUUAAACGAAUAUUUGUAGAAUUAAAUUAAAACAUGGGAUUUUUGAAGGAUUAGACUUUGAAUAACUAAAUAAAUAUGGGAUAAUGAUUCUAAUUGAUGAAAAUAAGAUUUAAACGAAUAUUUGAAGAAUUAAAUUAAGACAUAAGAUUUUGAAGGAUUAGAUUAGAUGAAUAGGAGAUAAUGAUUCUAUUUAAUGAAAAUAAGGUUUAAACGAAUUAUUGAAAGAUUAAAUUGAGACAUGAGAUUUUUGAAGGAUUGAACUUUAAGUAACUAGAUAAAUAUGGGAUAAUGAUUCUAUUUAGUGAAAAUAAGGUUUAAACGAAUUAUUGAAAGAUUAAAUUAAGACAUGAGAUUUUUGAAAGAUUAGAUUUUAAAUAACCAGAUGAAUAUGGGAUAAUGAUUCUAUUUAAUGAAAAUAAGAUUUAAACGAAUAUUUGUAGAAUUAAAUUAAAACAUGGGAUUUUUGAAGGAUUAGACUUUGAAUAACUAAAUAAAUAUGGGAUAAUGAUUCUAAUUGAUGAAAAUAAGAUUUAAAUGAAUAUUUGAAGAAUUAAAUUAAGACAUAGGAUUUUGAAAGAUUAGACUAGAUGAAUAUGGGAUAAUGAUUCUAUUUAAUGAAAAUAAGGUUUAAACGAAUUAUUGAAAGAUUAAAUUGAGACAUGAGAUUUUUGAAGGAUUGGACUUUAAGUAACUAGAUAAAUAUGAGAUAAUGAUUCUUUUUAAUGAAAAUAAGGUUUAAACUAAUUAUAGAAAGAUUAAAUUAAAACAUGGGAUUUUUGAAAUAUUUAGACUUUAAAUAACUAGAUGAAUAUGAGAUAAUGAUUCUAUUUAAUGAAAAUAAGAUUUAAAUGAAUAUUUGUAGAAUUAAAUUAAAACAUGAGAUUUUUGAAGGAUUAGACUAGAUAGAUAGAUGAAUAUGGGAUAAUAAUUCUAAUUGAUGAAAAUAAGAUUUGAAUGAAUUCUAGAAUUUUUAGGAUUGAAAAAUUAAAUUAAGAUAUAAGAUUUUUGAAGGAUUGCUUAAGGACCUAGGUUUUGAAAAUGAGAUUUUAAGGUUUAGAAUAUAGUAAAUUCAUCGGGACCAACAUAAGUUAAUUAUAGACAUUUUUUUGUCUUUAAUACUAGAAUAUGUUUUUUUUUUUAGGCCAUUAGUCAAACAAGUAAAGGAUUGUAGUUAAAUAAGAGCUUUAAACUUCCUACAAGUCAAUAUAAGUAUGAUGGAGAUAAGAAUGAAAUGUAAGUAUGUCUUUUAAGAUACAAAUUAUUUUAAGUUUUGAAAAAGAAAUUCAACCUUGAUGAUUUGUCUUUUAAUUGUCUUUAAGUUGAGCUAACUAAAUUGGUGAAGAUAAAAUAAGAUAAAAAAUAAAAAAUAAAAAUGCAUGAAUAAGUUAAUUUACUAAGAUUAGAGAUUUAAAACUUGUUUAGACAUGAAGUAGACAAAUGGGCUAACUCCACAUGGACUUGGGCCAUGAGAGUGGCUAGCAUAGGGAGCAAUGGGGCCUCUCAUCAGCAACUUCGGGCCUGGGCUCCAACUUAAGCCCAUACCCGCCACCAUGGGUGAGCCCAAGGCAUCCAUCCUCAGCACCAACUUGGGCCUGGGCUCAAACCUCCACCCAUGGCCAUCAUGGGCAAGCCUAAAACCCAUUCCCCAUCACAGACCUGGGCUUGGGCUCAAACCUCCACCUAUGGGCAAGCCUAAAACCCAUUUUUAUCACAAACCUGGGCUUGGGCUCAAACCUCCACCUAUGGGCAAGCCUAAAACCCAUUCCCCAUCACAGCCCAAGGCAUCCAUCUCCAUCUGGGCAUCACCCUCAGGCGAGGCCUCCACCAUCAGCGACCCAGAGGAGAGGGAAGGGGUGGCGGCUUCGAGGGCAGCGCCGAAGCGGUGGAGAUGCAUGGCUUUCGAGGCCACGACACCAGAAGAUGGGCGUCUUCGUCGAUGGCGCCGUCGACCAUGCCACGGAAGCAGUCGGAGAGGACGGCGCGCGGGCCGCCGUCAACGGCUUAGGGAGAGGCGCCCUGAACUGAGGCAGCAGCGCCGAACCCCAAAGGCGGCUCCGGUGAGGUUUGAGAGGAAUGAAAGGCUGCUUGGCUGCUGCCCGUUCUCUAGCCACUGAAAAAGGCUCACGCGUAGAGAGGUCUGAGUGAUGGUGGGGGCGAGGAUAUAGAGAGAGAAAGUGGUGAUGGAGAGAGGAAGGGUGGCGACAUGCAUGCACAGUCCCCAUGCACGUGGAAGGGUGGUCUUUGAGACUUUAGUAAUGGCUUUGGAGGGGGCUUGGGUAGCCAUGCACGUGUGGAAAAUGGGUAUGAAUAAAAUGGAUGAGAAUGGUGAUGGGUAUGAUAGGUGGUGGGUUUGGCAAAUGGUUUCAUGGGUCAAGCUGGAUAUGAUGAGCAUAGAUGACGUUGAAAGUGACGGGUAUGAGGAUGAAAAGAAAUGGAGGGUGGUGAGUGUGGUGACAUGCAUGGGACUUUGUUUGCAUGAGAAUGGACGGAUGACAAGUUGAUGGGAGGAAAAGGAAAAUCCACAAAAUAUUUUUAUUCGGUCAUCUAAUCCAAAAGAUAUAUGCAGUCAUUUACAGAAGAAAAGAAUGUGAGCAUCAAAAGAAACUAGAACAGGGCAUCCCAGAAUGACAAAACAUGUUCCAUUAAAACUCAUACCCGUGGCCCUUAAUGUCCACAGCAAGCAAUAAAACCGUAUCCAUAGAUCAGCAGAAAAUGAAGCAAGGCAUUAGCAAACGGACACAUACCAGGUUCAAGAUAAAUUUACCCGAGAGUUCGGAACGUGACCUCCCUCUGCUCUUCCUUCUUUACUGGCAAGCUUUCUCUCCCAAAAAAAAAGCUUCACUCUCAGAUCCUCUUCUCUGUAUCUAACCGGAGAAUUCCCUUAUCUCCUUUUCGAAAAAUCCCUCUCCUCUGCCAACUCAAUCCCCUUUUCUCCCCUUCUCUUUCCUUUCUAUCUCUUCCUGUUUCUAUCUUCCUUGGCAAGCCACCUCUCCCUUUCCUGUUCAUCCCAUCAGCAAGUAUGGGCUCCCCCAACCACCACCAUGGCUGCUAUUCCCUCUCGCCAUGUGUCCUGUGUUGUUCCUCCCUGCCUAAGGAGGCCCCCUCCCCCGGGCCAUGUAAUGCCCUAUUGUUUUUAAAUCAUCAAGAAAAAAAUCCAAGCUGAAGAGAGAGGGUCUACAAAAAGACUUUGUGAAAGCAAUUAUAUAUGAUUUAUGUCAGGAUUCUAACAAUAUCAACCUAAGGUAAACCCCUAAGAGGGGAUUGGGUCUUGGGAUUUUUCUUUUUUUUUUUGUAAAUUAUAAAUUAUGAUGAAUGUAGGAGAUAAAUAAGCAACAAUGUAAUAAAAACAAUAAAAAAUCAUUGCAUAUAAAUAAAGAGAGUAAGAAAGAGGGAAAUUCAAACUCAAGAUGUAUAAUGAUUAGCAUAAAUCUCGGCCUACAUCCACUCUCCUCGAAUUCCAAUCCCAAGUUCUAAGUUCCACUAUAUUAAGACUUUCAAACCAAGCUUUAGAACUUUAUAUUUGGAUUAAUCGACUCCAAUAGACACUUACAAUUUUCAUUAAGAGAUGUCUCACUAUUGAACUCCCCAAAUGAUAUCCCAUACUUGGCAAACCCUAAGUGAUACCUUAUAUUUAUAUUUUUCUCUCAAUUGAUACCCUAGGCUUGAUCUCAUCUCAUAAGAUUUACACAAAAAUGAAUUUUUAAUAAAAAUGCAUAGUUUACAUUUUUUUUUUAUUUUAUAAAAACUAAAAAUAUAAUUAUUAAAACAUUUACGUUUUAUGUUUUUGAAAAUAUUAAGAAUAAAAGUGUAUGCAAAUGACACCUUUAAUUAUUAUUUCUAUUCAACUCUAUUUAUUUUUAUUGAAUUUAAUGAAAUUCAAUUAAUUGUUUAUGUAUGAAUUUAAUAUAAUAAUUAAAAAUUUUCCAAAAAUUUUAAUACUUAUAAUCAAUUAUUAAUCUUGAUUUUAACCUUUUGAUUUUUAUAUAUAUGUUUAGAUCUAUUAACACUUCUAGCUAAGGAUGAAAAAUGGAUGAGCAAUUUCAAAUACCAUUGAUCAUGUGCUCUCCAAAUCUAAAAAAUUGUAAGGUUUUGAUUUGGAUGUUAUUAUUUUGAUUUUCUUGUGUUUAGAUCUAUUAAUACUUCCAAUUAAUGAUGACAAUGGAUGAGGAUUUUUAGGUACCAGUCUCAAAGUCUUAAAAAAAUUGUAAGAUUUCGAUUUGGUUAUUAAUUAUUAUUGAGAAAGCACAAGCAAGAAACUAUUUGCUUUUAUUUUCAAUGAAAACAAAUAUCUUGAGACUUGGAUUCCUUACAUGAGAUAUUAUCCAUUAUGGAACCCAUGUCUACUAAGGAUGAGCUCCCGUUAGUACUAACUUUAAUUGGUGAAAGCAACUAACAAAUCAAUAUCAAAGCUUGGGUUGAAGAUUUUUGAAAGUGUAAAAGAUCAUAGAGCAACAAAAUGAAAGCAAAAGGAAUUUUCGAUGAAGGUGGAGUCGAUUGCUAUCUCGUAGUGAUAUGAUACAAAAAAAGUUCGUGUCAUGGAGAGUUUGAAGAUUGAUUUCAUAGAAUUUGGUCCAAGAUCGAGAUUGUUAGGAAGUGUCUCAAAUUCUUAAUUAGUAUAAUUUUUUUUUUUUGUAAAGAAUAUUAUAUAGAAUAUUUCUAGGUUGAUAUAUUAUUGUAAUAUUAGACACCUUAUAGAAUAAGGAAGGUUAUUAGAAAUAUCUCAAUAUAAUAUUCUAGGUCAUGAGGGGAAAAAGUUAUGAGAUGAAGAUGAGUUUGUAAAAACUAUACGAGGUGAAUAGAGAUGUGAAGAAGAACGAGAGGUACUCGAUGGAGCUAGAGGGCUCAUGGUAGGGUAUGAAUACGAAGAGUGAGGAAACAUGAGAUGUUUCGGGAACCCAAUAGUUGUAUCUAGUUUUGUCCUCGGUAAUGUUUUGGUUUUGUCUUCUAUAAUUUUCUCUAUUGUACAGUAAAAUGAUUCUCUUUCAUUCGUGAAUGUAGGCAUAGUUGCCGAACCACGUUAAAACAUCGUGUACCAUUUGUGUUGAUUUUAUUUAUUUAUUUUUUAUUUUUAUCUUUGUGUUAUUGAUUAACGAUGUUUGCAUCUAAGCUUCCGUCGAUACAAUAAUAAAGAAAACAAAGAAUAAGAUAAAAGUAUUAAAUAUGAUAUGAGUUGUGAAAUAGAUGUCAAUGACUCAUAUUUGAAGAUGGGAUCAUGGGAUUAUCUCCUUCACAUUCACAAUUACAAUCAUUGAAGAUGACACCAUUCAUGUAUGGCUCCCAUAACUUGUUGAAAAUUCAAAGGUUUUAGGCGUUUUGACUACUAAAAUUAUGACUUGCUAACAUCUUAAGUGAGUACAAAAGUAACCACUUAUGGUUUAUUAUGCAUAUUUCAAAAAAGAGACGUGAAUUAAUUGACACAAGCUAACUAAUCAAAUUUAUUUUUAGGUACAAAAUAUGUUGCAUGAUGUAAUUUUAUUAUAAUAUUAUAAAAUUGGUAAAGACUCUGCUAAGCACAAUGUACACUAAAAAAAAUAAUAAAAUAAAAAAAAGUUUAUCCAAAAGAAAACCAAGAAUAAUAGGAGAUUUUGUAUAUCCUAUCAUUGGUACCAAAAUAAAAUUGGGAGUAUUUUUAAGUAUUAACACUAUCAUACAUUCCAUGAGUCUACACAUUAAUAGAAAAUAAUAAUUUUGACUUAUUAUUUAAUCAAGCUUGAUUGUAGUAUUAUGCCUAUCAAAAAUAUUUUAAUUUAAGAUUUUUUUUUUGUAUUUUUAUAUUUUAUAAUAUUUAAAAGUUUGAUAACCUACUAAAACUAAUUAUCUUUAAAUCUGAUAAUAAGAAUUAAAAAUAAAAGUAUAAAUUUUUUUUUUCAUUUCUAAAUUUUUUAAAAUAAAAAAUUAUCAUCCAUAACUUACUUGCAAUUUAUUCCUUUUUUUUAUUAAACCAACAAGGUUUCAUACUUAUAGACAGAUAAAAUUCUUCAAAAAUCUUAAGAAACAUUGAAAACAUAUUGUGGACCCGCAUUUUUCACGUGCGCCCCCACUCGAUCGGCAAGACUCGCUUUUUAUUUAGUGAAGAUGUUGUUUUUGGAAAAGUCGGAGUCGCCACUUAUUUUAUUUUAUUUUAAAGGGAAAAUAAAACAAGAAAUAAAACCCUAAAAAAAAUGAUUCCAUAUUUUUUUGGAAAAGCAUGUCUUUGAAAAACCCAAGUCUAGGUCCGGGGAUCUGGUUACUUAUUGGGAAGGUACCUCUAGGAGAUAGCACCCCUCUAAGCCCUACAAAGGUCUCCACUGACUAAAUUGGGGGCAAUGUGACAAUUAAUUGAUUAAUUGAGGAUACCUAGAUAGACUAAGGUGAUUUAAAAAAUAAUAUGCCAAACAAGAUCAAAUUACAAUAAAGGAGAGUUAAAGUGCAUACCUGGACUGCUUCUUAAGCGCCAUCAAAAGACAUUAAUGAUUAGUUUGGAAAAUAAAACACACAACAUAUAUUUUAUCCUAAUCUCUUUGUCAAACAUGGCAAGCUAAACAAACAAUAAUAAAAAAAAAAAAUAUGCUGAACAAGUUGAGAAUCGCAUACGAAGCAAUACAUAACGAUCAUAUAUAAAGCAAUACAUAAUUUAUGGAAUUAAGAUACGAAGGUAAGAAGCAUACCUGAAUAGCAUGGGUAACUUGUAAUGUGCUUCCACAAGACAUGAGGGGUUAGAUAAUAAAUAAUAAGAUAAAUCCUAGCAUGCUUGUUAUCUAAUUAGCAUAGCAAAAAUUAUUGGAGUAUACUAAUUCAACAAUUAUUACAUAAGUCUUGUAUAUAAUUCCUAAAAAAAAAUAGAUAUGAUUGUAACAACCAAUAAAGGUGGUAGCAAAAAUAAGUUUUGAAAAGAUUUUGUUUAUGUAAGGGUUUCACCAAUUCCCCAAUUGAUAUACACAAAUCUAACCUGGAAUUAUCCCAUUUAUGUGGGACCACAAGCUCGGGUUCGUGUUUGAUUUAAAACCAAAAUUUUCAUAAAAAAAAAACGAGAAAGAUGUGAACCGAUCAAAACAUGGUUGCACAUUAUUUAAAAAAAAUGAGGUUUUGAUUCUAAGAACUCUAAACGAAUUUUUGAAAUGGAUUUCUAAAGGGAAUGAGAUUUUGAUUCUAAGAACUCUAAAUGAAUUUUUGAAAUGGAUUUUUAAAGGGAUCUUUUAAGAAAAGUGUUGGAUUUCAAAAUAAAAGAAAUUAAUUUGAAAACGACAAGACAUAAGGAACAAAAUACCAAGCAAAACAAAAGUGAUUAAAAUCGCAAAGUAGAGUUUUUGACAACUGAGAAAAUUGAAGUGGUGGGAAUGGAGGUCAAUCUUCACUAUUUUCUGAUGGCCUCCGAAAAGUAAAUUUUACCAUAGACUACCAAAGCAAUAAACUAUUCGAACUUAGAUCAUAUAAGCUAAGGAUAUACCCACCAAGAAUUAAUGACUAUUUUCGAGAAACACAUCAAUUAAAAAUAACAAUCAAGAAUUAGCACAUGAUCAAUUAAAUACACAAACGCAUCUAGACCGGUUAAAAUGAACGAAAUUAAGUCAAGGCAAAUGUGAAUUUUCAGUCAUAAAAUUAAUUUUAUUAAUAAGCUAAUAUUAUAGAAAAUACCUAAACUAAAUAGAUGAGUGAAGCCAAAUCAGAGUAAACUAAAAGCAUGAACUUUCAAAUAUAAAAUCAAUUUUAUUAAUGAAUUAAAACUAUAAAAGUACCUAAACUAAUCAAAAUAAACCAAAUAAAAUUGAAGCAAGCUAAAAAAAAGUGAGCUUUCGAACAUAGGAUUAAUUUUAUUAAUAAACUAAAAUUAUAAAAUUACCUAAACUAAUUAAAAUGAACAAAAUUAAAUAAAAGAAAACUAAAAGUAUGAACUUUCAAACAUGGAAUUAAUUUUUUCAAUGAUCUAAAACUACAAAAUUAUUUAAACUAAAUAGAUAAGUUAAAUUUAACCAAAGUAGACUAAAAGAAGCAUGAUUUUUUUUCACAUCGAAUUGAUUAAACCAAAAAGUUAGAAACUCACAAACACAUCUAAACUAAAAGAAAAAUCAGCACUAAAGUAAAUUGAAAUGAAAAAAUAAGAACUUUAUCAUGUAGAAUUAAUUAAACUAAUUAUAAAAAAAAAAUCUAAACUAACGAAAUAAAUUAAAAUUAAACUAAAAUAAAAUUUAAAAAAAGAAAAAGAAACUUACCUUCAAGAAUGCAUAUUGUUGAAUCUGUUGUAGGAAGACCGCUCUUGGAUGCGUGCCGUUCUUUGCGUGUUUCAGAAAAUCAUCUCUUAAUGCGUGGCUUAUGUGGCGGCCAUCUUCCUCUUUCCAUAAGAUACAAUUCCAUAAGUACCCGAACCAAGUUCUUUUAUGUAUUCCAGGUUAGAAUUCUAUUUUAUUUUUUAUAAUCUGUAGCACUCUAGUGGCUAGAAGAGAAUAAAAUAUGGCCUGGUUGUGUAGUUGACAAUGACGGGAAUUGGAGGAUUCAUCGUUUUCAAAGAUGCAUGGAUGGAUGGGCUGCUGUCCAGAUGGUUCCGUCAGUGAGUUCAAACAGCCGCCGCUUUGCUCUCAAAUCUCCUUGCACUGAUCCCUUCGAAACAGCCCCUCUCACACUCUCUAAACUCUCUCUUUUAUAUCCCUUGAAAUAGCCUCUCGCGUGCUCUCUAAACUCUCUCUUCGGAUCAUCUCAAACAGCAACUCCUCACGCUCUGAAAAUGCGGACUGAUCUUUGUGCGAACAGCAGCCUAUGAUCCCUUCAAAAUGCCUACUAAUCUCCUCCCAAACGGCAUCCUCAAAGGCUCUAAAAAUCCCUCAUCCGAUCACUUCAAAUAGCAGCCUCUCAUGCUUCAAAACGUAGGCUGAUCCUUUCCAAACAGCAGCCUCUCACGCUUCAAAAUGCAGGCUCAUCCCUUCCAAACCGAAUCUGCUCUCCCUUCUAGUCCCGAAUCACCUUCCCCCUCUUUCCUUUUUAUUUUUAACAAUAUAAAUCUCCUUUUCCCCCUCCUCCAUUCAGCCGUGAUCUCCUCUUUCUAUAUGCAGCCCGGAUUCCUAUUUGAAGCCAUGAUCUCACUUCCCUUAAUGAGGACUCUUCCCAAAACGUUCACGCCUACCUUUCAAUGUAUCCAUCCCACCAUGCAUCCAAGGAAAUCCUCCAAUUAUUCAAUCCCAAUGUGAUUGUGCACACCUUCCAUACUUUUCCUACAAAAUUUCAAAGUUAAUAGAUUAAAUAAAAAAAAUCAUAAUAAUAAUGAUAAAAAUGAGUAAAAGUAAUAAUAAUAAUAGUAGUUAUAAAAUAAAAAUAAAACAUAUAAAUAAAUUUUUUAAAUUAAAAUAGAUAAGUAAGGGCAAUUAUUACGGAAAAAGUGACAAAAUAAUAAGGAAAUAAAAUAGAUGAAGAAAUAGACAAGAUAAUGAAUAUAAUAAAUAAAAAUAAAAUAAUAAAAGUUCAAGUCAUGCCACUUUAAAAUAAACGAGCCAUGCAAGUCAUGCAAGCCAUACAAAAAAAUGCAAUCAUGCAAACAUGCAAAAAAAAUACUUAAAAGGUGACCUAAGUGGGCCUAAGUGAGCCUAAGUGGGCCAAGUGUAUCUAAAUAGGCUUAGGGUGUCUAAUGGGCCUAGGGUGCCUAAGUGGGCCUAAGUAGGCUACCCUAAAAGCUAUUCUAAAAAAAAAAAAGAAAACCCUAAGUCUAAAUCAGGCCUGCUAAGGGUCACAAUAAGGGAUCAAGUAAUUCCUCAACCAAAGUCUCCAAGGUGACAGAAAAGGUAAGUAGUAUGAGUAGCAAUGGGCUACCAAGGAACUACUGUGGAACACUGAAAAUGAAUUUAAAGACAUGUGCUAAAGGGACAAAAUUGAGGGUCUACACAUAUUUUCUUUAUUUUUAUUACACAAUAAUAAAAAUAAUAUUUUCAUUCUACAACUAGAAACAAAUUUGGUGCUAUAAUGGUUAAUAUUCAUAAAAUUAGAAAUACAAUUGAAAAGUCAUUUAUUUUUCUAUUUUUAAAAAUAGCAAAUUGGAAAUUGUACACUGGAACACAUUAAUUAAUUACUUUAUUUUAUUAAUUUAUAUUAUAUUUAUUAAGAUAUAAUUAAUUAAUUAUGUAUAAUUUUAAUAGAAAAUUAAAAAUUAGAAACAUUAAUUCAUUUCCCAUUCAGUACCAAAUAGAGCUGUUACCAAUUUUGUGUUAACUCUUUGGUUUUCAUAUUGUUUAAAUUCAUCAGCACUUACCAAUUUUGUGUUAACCCUUUGGUUUUUAUGUUGUUUAAAUCUAUCAACACUAAGAGUUCUAAAAAGUGGUAAAAAGUGAGAGCAAUAUAUAUGAGUGGUCGAUUUAGCUUAUUAAUGGGCAUAUUGAGGUCAUAUAAAAAUUGAUUAAUUUAUCGAUUUAUCUAGAAUUGGUGUGUUAGAAAGAGAGAAACAAAAGAAAAAGAAAAAUAUAAAUUUAUGCCAUUUUAAAAAGGGAGAGUGUACUUUUAUCCUCCCACCUUUGCUUAAACAAAAAAAAAAUAUAAAAAAUAAAAAAUCCUAAUAAGGACCCAAAAAUAUUCAUUUUUAAAUAAAUAUGUAAACUACCAUUAAAGAAUCACUUGUCAUUUUUUCCUUUCCACCUUCUUCAUCUUCAAUUUUGAGACCAAAAAAUAAAUAGUUAAAAAGAAAAAGAAAAGAAUGGGAGCAAUUAGGGAUUUAUUUGAUAAUUUUAUUUUUAAAACCAAUUCUCCAAAAAAAAAAAAAAAGGAAACAAGAAAGUUUUUAAAAACAAUUUCUAAAAUAGUUGCUAAUUAUUUUUGAAAACUAUUUUUUUUUUUUUUGGGAAGUCAAAUAUAAUAAAUAGUUUUUUUUAAACUUAUUCUCCAUAAAGGUGUUAUGCAUUUAUGUAUAAUAUAAAAGUUUUUAAAUUAUUUUUUUUAUUUUUUUAAUUGUUAUUAAAAAAAACUAAAAACACACCUCAAAAUUAUUCUAAAAAAUAUGCUUUUAGAAUAAAUUUUGAAAAAAUGAUUUUUUAUUAAAAAUAUAUUAAAUACAUUUUUGUUUUUGAAAAUAAUUUUUUAUUAUAAAAAAUAAAAUUACCAAAUAAACCUUAAUAUUUUUAUUGAAUAAACACAAUAACAUGUCAUGCUCACAUUUUCAAACAAAACAAUAUCUUAAGUUGUAUUCUUUAGACAAGUUAUCAUCCAUUGUGGAACCCAUGCUUACUAAAUAGUGGGUUGAUAGUACCAAUGAAGAAGAUGAAAAAAAAAAAAAAAGAAAAGACAAUAGGUAUUAAAUAUGAUGUGAGUUGUGAGAUAGAUGUUUGUGGCUAACAAGCCUCACUGGUUUAUGUUUAGGGAUGGCGUUAUACAGUUGCCUAUUUUAUAUUCGAAUAAAUAAGAUGAUUCCAUUCAUCUUUGAUGACCACAACUAAUUUGAAAUUCAGAGGACUUUACAAAAGCGAUCAUAUAUGGUUUAAGUUAGGAUUCUAAUAAUAUCAACCUAAGGUAAAUACUCAAGAGGAGGAUAAAUUCGACAUUGGUCUUUUUGCAAAUUAUAACAAAUAUUAACUGUGAUGAAUGUAAGAAAUAAAUAAGCAACAAUAUAGUAAAAACAAUAUAGAAUAAUAAAAUAUAAAUAAAGUAGAAAAAAGAGAAAUUCAAACUCAAGAUUUAAAGUAAUUUGGCCCAAUAUCAAUCUACAUCUACUAUUGUUUAACUUUAAUCUCAAGUUUGAGGUUUCACUAUACCAAGACUUUCAAACCAACCCUUAGAGUUUUAUACUAGAUUAAUGAACUCUAAUAGACAUUUGUAAUUUUCCUCAGAUUCUCACUUUUAAAUUUCCCAAGGAAUACUUCACACUUGUCAAACCUUAAAUUGAUACCUAAUACUUAAAAUUUUCCUUUAAGUGAUACCCCAUACUUGAGCUCACCUCAUAAGAUUUAUAAAAAAUGAUUUUUUCAAUACAAAUUCCUAGUUUACAAUUUUUUUUUUUCACUUUUGAACUCCCCAAGUGAUACUCGAGGAGUUUUUAAAAUCAUUUUGGCUAUGUUUGGUUCCUAGAAAAUUUGAGGGAAAAUGAAAAAGGAAAAAAAUAAAUAAGAAAAUUAGAAAAAAAAAGAAGGAAAAUAAAAAGUAAAUUUAAAAUCAAUAAAUUAUUUUUAUUUAGUAUUUCAAACUUAUUUUAUUUAUUAAAAUAAAGAUUAAAUAAAUUAAAAAUUCAUAAGUUUUAACUAGUUUUAAUUAUAUUUGAUUUUCUUUGGUAUUUUCCACAAGACAACUAAACAUGAAAAAAUCAUUUUGCUUACCAUUUCUUUUUAUUUCCUUAGUAUUUUUUAGGAACAAAAAAAAAAAACCUUUUAAAACAUUUUUUACUCUAGACAGUGACUAAGCACUCAAGAGUUUUUAAAAUCAUUUUAAAACUUUUUUGGUUAAUUAAAACCUUUUGUCUACUUGAUGUCUUAAUUAAAUCCAAUUAACCUUCCUCAAACCUUUUUAUACUUAUGUCAUCGUGGAGUAAUCUAUAGAUACUCCAUUUCUCAUGUUAGUCUUAGGGAUAUUUAUAUAAUUACAAAAUACUUGUUAAACUAAUUAUAGUUUGAAUUUAAUAAGUAGGAGCUAUACUUGAAUUUUUCUUUUAAGUUCUUCUCUUUAUUUUUUCUCUUUUACAGUAAGAGUUAUUGUAGAAUUAUGUCAUUUGACAUAAAUACAUUUGAAUAAUGCUUUUAUUCACUCUUUUGUUUGUAUGAAAAUUCUAGUUUCUACCAAAGUAGGGAACAAAAAUUAUAUGAGUGAAGUUAUUAAUGUGUGCAAUAAAAAAAAAAAAAAAACCUUUAUAAUGCUAGAGAACAUUAUACAUUUGUUCCCAUUAAUAUUAGUUUUGAUUGAUGAAAGAAACUAUACCAAUGAAGAAAUGAAGAAAAUGAUAACCAAUGCUAGAGAACAUUAAAAGUUGUGUUAGAGAAGUGCAAUCUAAAAAAAAAAAAAAACAUUCACUAUUUAAAAGGGUCUCAUUGUUUUUAACCUACAAAAAAAUCUUAUUGCUUUAUAUUUAGUUUUUUUUUUAAUAUCUAUAUUAUUAUUAUUUUAAAAAAAAAUUACUUUGUCAUAUUUGAGAAAAUAAAGGUUAUGCUUAAAUUAGGAAAAACACCCAAGAGGGGGGUGAAUUGGGUUUUUCAAAAACUUUUUCAACACAACAAAUUCAAACACAAUAUAAUAAAAAUAUAAAGAGAUAGAGUUAGAGAAUUCAAACUCGGAUUUUAUAAUGGUUCGGCACUUCCUUGCCUACGUCCACUCUCCUCAAUCUUCUAACCGAGUGAGGGUUCCACUAACUUGAAGCUUCAACCAAGGUUCCAAUCUUUUUACACUUGGAUUCCGACUCCAAUAGGCUCUUACACAAUCUUUUCAAGAUUCAAACCUCUUGAAGGCUUUAACACUCAAUUUUUAUAAGAAUGAAUCCCUCAACCUAGCUCAAUAAUAGCUCAACUACAAAACAAAGUUAGGAUGACUUAUAAGGGUGCACUAAAAGAUAUGCAAGUGAGGAUUUAAUGCACUAAGAAAGAAAUGAGAGCUUUAAAGGCAAAAACAAUGGGUAGACAAUUGAUUGCAAGUGUUCUCUAUAUCAUAAACAAAGUGGAGCUCUCAAUUUAUAGGUUUCUAAACCCGGGAGCCAAGAAAAGCAAAAAGCAGCCUCAACCGGUCGAGUUGUGACCGGUUCACUAGCCGUUGGAGCAUUUAAUGCUUUGGUAGGUUACUGUUGCCUCGAUCGAACCUCGAUCAGACCUCAACCGGAGGUCGAUCGGGAGGGAGGGAGCCUCAACCAAGAAGAGAAGGCUACUAGAAGAGAGAGUGUUUUUGACACUUCUUGACCGGACCUCAACCAGUCAAGGGCAAUCGGUCCCAAUCGGUUGAGCCGGUUGGCCAGAGUCUCGAUCGGUUCAGCCUUUUGACCUUGAAAACCUAUCUUUUUCACUUCUUUUCUUUUCUAACACUUAGGCAAGGGCUUUAGCUAAAUUGAUAUGCCAAUUUUGAAACAUUUUUCCUAAGGUACAUUUGAUAAAACUCGGGUUUUAAUGAAAAUGUAAUUUUAUAAAAUAAACAGAGUUUUCAAAGAUGCAUGGAAAGAUAUGAAAAACCUAAGUGCACCUAUGCAUUCAUCUUACAUUCGUUUCCUAUGAUCAAAAGUCUUUCAAAAGUCUUGAUCUUGUAUAUAUUUGGUCAUUUGAUGAAUUUCCGAAUUUAUACCUAAGAUUAUUUACCAUUCAAACCAAUUAGUCACUUAACCAUGGUUUGUUAUCAUUAAAACCUGAUUAGGAGAACCCUUGGGCUAACAAUCUCCCCAUUUUUUAUGAUGACAAACGUUGGUUAUCUAGGAGAGAAGAAGAAAAAAAAUCUCCCCCUCAAACCAAUCAUGGAUCAAACAAUCAAAAUUUAUGAAUUUAAAACGAAGAUAAUCAAGACAUGCGAAAAUAGCAUACCAUAUAUAUAUAUAUAUAGAGUAAAGUCAAAUGUACACGAAACAUAAACAUAUAAGCUAAUCCAAACAAAUGAUAUUACAAUGAUAUGCAUGUAGGUCUCCUAGAUCCUAAAUAUCUCUCCCCCUUUGGCAACAUAAAAAAGAAAUGAAGGGGUUCUUUGUCAAAUCAAGGCUGAGGAGGCAGAGGUGGAAACACAAAGCAAAGGUAAGCCAUUGUUUCCUCAUGUUGACUCUCCUGACGACUCUCAACACGCUCAAUCAUUUGUUGGAGAUUAUCAAAUGCAGCCUGCUAUUGAUCCAUGCGAUCCUCCAUACACUCAAAUCUCUACUGUACAUACUCAAACUGAGAAGUGAAGCCAGUUUGAUACUGAUCCAUGUGAUCCUCCAUGGAGUGGAAUCGAGUAUCACUGACUACCGCAAGCUCCUCCAUGCGAGUGGCAAGUGAGCUGAUCUGAGCAGAUAAAUCCAUUUAAGGCGCAUGAUUAGGAGUAUGAGGUGCCUGAUGAGGUGAUGUCUUGGUGUGAAGAAGCUCGGUGAAUGAUGGUUGAGAAGAUGGUCCCGCUAUGUAUGUCAGCUCGGAUAUCAUCGACUCUAAAAAUGUGGCCUCAAACUGAAUACUCUCUGACUAGAGUAAAGGGAUGUUAAGCUCAGGCUCUCUCUGCUCAAAGCCUCUUUGAGGGUUUAACCCACCCUCCAUCUCUUGGAUCUUGGGCUCUUUCUCUACUUCAGGAUGCACCUGUCCCUGUCCUCGGGCUUGUGUUGGUGGUUGCUCUACUCUUCGAACCUAAGAGCCAUCGGGGGCCUUCUCAAACUUCAUAUGUCCCAAAGACUGCUCAUCAUAAGUAUCAUAAAUACUGGGGGCCUCGAAAUCUCUCUCUCUGCUCAAAUCGACCCUAGCAUUCUUGAAUACUUUGGUGAGGAAGCGGGCAUAGGGGAGUACGCGGGUUGAGCUCUCGUAGCAUGAAAUCAUGUGCAUCAUCAUCAAAUACCCCAAGUGAAUUCGUCUCCCUAUAAGAAUUGAGUCCACGAGGAAUGCCUUAAGAUAGUAGACCUCGUCUCGGUGUCCACCUCAUGGUAGCAAGAUGAAGUAGAUCAUGUGGUGUAGUACUUUGCUAGACACGGUCAGGCUAUGAGCCGAUGGUUUGCCCAUCCCCUAGGCAUUUGCCAGUCCGAAAAUCCUCUUAAUGGCUUCUCCAGGCUCGAAACCCGACAAAGUAGGCCAAUUCUUGGACUCGUACACCUUGAGUCCAACUGGAGGAAUGUUAAAAAUACAAUAGAUACUUUCUAGGUCCAGCUGAAUCUCAACUCCUCUAACGGUGGAAAUAAACGGGCCAUCAAGUCCAUAAAUAGCCCUUGAAUAGAAUGCAUGCACUAGAGUCGGGAAAAUCGCCUCAGAAAACGUCACUACUAGUAGCCAACCCAUCCUACUGAAGAGGCCUCAAACCCGAAAUGCUGCAGUUGGGAGAAAUUGAUAUUUCUCCAUGGAACCACUUUUCUCUGAGCGAAUUUCUAUUUGUACCUCUGAUAAUUCUCCACGGUGCUGAAGAGGGUCAUGUAAAACCUCACCUUUCGGUGAGCCUUUGUCUAAGUAGGCUGAGAUGGCUCAACUGGGCGCUUGUCCUAUGCCUUAGAGGUAACCAUCUCUCUCCUAGGAGCCAUCAGAAAAGUAGAAAUGAGGGAGGCGAAACUGGUGGAAAGAGAAACACACACACCCGAAAGCCCUAAGUGCGCGGGAAUGUCCUGAAGUUGGUUGUGACGCAUGAACAAAGGAGAAGCCGUCCCAAAUCGGAAGCCCUAGGUCCCAAAUUUGAAGCCCUAGCCUCAAAAAAUUAGUCUAAAACCCUCAAUAUGUUGCAAUGGACUCAAAAAUCCUUUCUUGGCAGUUGAAUUGACAAAACACUUGAAAAACUAGAGGAAACAAGAGAAAAAAUGAAGCGAGGGGAGGUAUUUAAAUCGUCAGCCCCGACAAAUCGGUUGACUGAUCCUGAUCCAGUCAAUCGCCUAAUCAACGGUCACCGUGUUUGAAUUUUUUCUUUUGUGUUUUUUCUCAUUUUUUUAUCCUCCUUCUGCUUUUUUCAGUUGAAAUCCCCAAUUUUUUAUGCCCAAUGCCAAGGGAAUUUUGAUUUUUGGUCAAAAUUUGACCAUUUAUCUAAGUAUAUGUCUAUAUGAUGCAUAUGACAUGAAAUUCAUACAAUCAGAGGGUAUAUUCAUCAAGAAUUCAUUAGAUCAUAAAGAAAUCACCCCUAGUUGUCUUCUAAUAUCAACAAAUUGUUCUUCACUUAGAGGUUUUGUAAAAAUAUCGGCAAGUUGAUAUUUUGUGCUUAUAAAUUCAAGUGUAAUGUCACUCUUUUGUGCAUGGUCUCUAAGAAAAUGAUGUCUAAUCUCUAUAUGCUUAGUCCUAGAGUGUUACACAGGAUUUUUUGAAAUAUUUAUGGGACUAGUGUUAUUACAUUUAAUAGGAACAUGCUCAAAAGACAAAUUAAAAUCAUUACGUGUUUGUUUCAUCCAAAGAAUUUGUGCACAACAUAAAUUGGCUACUAUGUAUGCGGCUUUCACCAUUGACAAAGCUACCGAAUUUUGCUUCUUACUAUGCGAUGAAACAAGUGAGUGUCCUAGGAAAUGACAAGUACCACUAGUGCUUUUUCUUUCAACCCUACAACCGGCAAAAUCGACAUUUGAGAAUUCAAUUAAUUCAAAGUUAUCACUCUUAGGAUACCAUAAGCCUAUGUCCAUUGUCUUUUUCAAGUAUCUAAGAAUUCGUUUUAUGGCACUUAAGUGAGAUUCUUUAGGACAAGAUUGAAAUCUAGCACACAAGUAUAUACUACACAUGAUGUCGGGUCUACUAGUGGUCAAAUAUAGCAAAGAACCUAUCAUGGCUCUAUACAUAGUUGAGUUAAUGGAUUUACCUUUCUUAUCCUUAUCAAGCUUGAUGGAUAAGCUCAUUGGAGUCUUCAUUGUUUUGGCUUCUUCCAUGUUGAACCUUUUGAGAAGGUCUCUUAUAUAUUUUACUUGAUGGAUGAAGGUUCCUUUCUUUAGUUGCUUGAUUUGAAGUCCAAGGAAGAAGUUGAGUUCUCCCAUCAUGCUCAUUUCAAACUCACUAUGCAUGCACUUAGAAAAUUCUUCACAAAAAGAGACAUUAGUAGCUCCAAAAAUAAUAUCAUCAACAUAUAUUUGAACUAAGAGCAUGUCAUUUUCUUUGGUCUUUAUGAAAAGAGUUGUCAAUUUUUCUCAUUUUAAAACCUUUUUUCAAAAGAAAUUUACUUAAUCUUUCAUACCAUGCUCUAGGUGCUUGUUUCAAACCAUAAAGUGUCUUUUUAAGAUUAAAAACAUGGUUAGGAAAGUAAAAACUUUGAAAACCGGGUGGUUGUUCAACAUAUACUUUUUCAUUUAUAAAGCCAUUUAAGAAAGAACUUUUCACAUCUAUUUGAUAUAAAAUAAAGUCUUUAAAACAUGCAAAGGCAAGUAGCAUCCUAAUGGCCUCCAAUCUAACUACGGGGACAAAGGUUUCUUCAUAAUCUAUUCCUUCUUCUUGAUUAUAACCAUGGGCUACCAAUCUUUCUUUAUUUCUAACAAUUAUGCCAUUUUCAUUCAUUUUAUUUCUAAAGACCCAUCUAGUUCCAAUAACACUUUGGUUUGAAGGUCUUGACAUUAAUUCCCAUACUUCACUUCUUUUAAAUUGAUUUAACUCUUCUUGCAUAGAAAUAAUCCAAUUUUCAUCAACUAAAGCAUCAUUUAUAUUUUUAGGUUCAAUUUGAGAGAUAAAAGCAAGAUUAUUGCAAAUAUUUCUAAGAAAUGAUCUAGUUCUUACCCCACUAGAUGGAUUACCUAUAAUUUGAUCUUGUGGGUGGUUGAUGACAAACUUCCAAUCUUUAGGAAGGUCUUGGCUUGGUUCACCUUGCACUUGUUGAGGAGGGGGUAGUGCCAAUGGUGAUUCUUUUUUCUUUGGAUCCUCUCCAAUUUCUUCUUGUUGCUUUCUAUCUUCAAUUUACAAUUUUCCCAUGGAGGUCUCCAAGCCUAAAUCAUCAUCAAAACUCUCUCUUUCUUGAAGAGAAUUGUUAGAUUCAUAAAAAAAUGUCAUGGAUGGACUCCUCUAUAACCAUGGUUCUUUUGUUGAAAACUUUAAAGGCUUUACUUGAAGUUGAGUAACCAAGGAAAAUUCCAACAUCUAAUUUUGCAUCAAAUUUUCCAAGAUUGUCUUUGGUGUUUAAUAUAAAACAUUUGCACCCAAAGACUUUGAAAUAGCUAAUGUUGUGUUUCUUAUUUUUUCAAAGCUCAUAGGGAGUUUUCUUAAGAAUAAGCCUCAAUAAUAUUUUAUUUAAAACAUAACAAGAGGUGUUAACCGUUUCAGCCCAAAAAUAUUUUGGUAAAUUAUUUUCAUUUAGCAUGGUUCUAGCCAUUUCUUGAAGAGUUCUAUUUUUUCCUUUCAACUACCCCAUUUUAUUGAGGAGUUUUAAGAGCCAAAAAAUUAUGGUUAAUACCAUGCUCAUUGCAAUAUUCUUCAAAAUCAAUAUUUUCAAAUUCUCUCCCAUGAUCACUUCUUAUACAAGUAAUUAUAAAACCUUUUUCAUUUUGAAUCUUAUUGCAAAACUUUAAAAACUCAUAAAAGGCUUCAUUCUUUUGACUUAAAAACAAGACCCAUGUGUAUCUAAAAAAGUCAUCCAUAGUAACAUAUGCAUAAGAUUUUCCUCCAAGAUUUGGUGUCCUAGAGAGACCAAAUAAAUCCAUAUGCAACAACUCAAGAGGCCUAGAUAUUGAAAUGAAAUUUUUUUUUUGAAAGAGUUUUUGAUUUGCUUUCCUAUUUGACAAGCUUCACAAACUUUGUCUUCUUGAAAAUUUAUUUUGGGAAAGCUUGUAACAAGUUCAUAUUUGUUGAGUUAGGAAAUGAGGUCCAUGUUAGCAUGUCCCAACCUCCUAUGCCACAACCAACUUUGAUCAUGCAUGCUUGAAAGACAUUUAUCAUAGCCAUCAUAUUUUGAAAUAUUUAUAGCGUAAAAAUUAUCACAUCUAUGACCCAUGAAGAUGGUUUUAUCAUUUUGAAUAUCCUUGAUGAUGCAAUGAGAUGCUUCAAAAAUCACUUUAAAACCUUUGUCACAAAGUUGACAAAUGCUUAAAAGAUUAUGUUUUAAACCAUCCACUAAUAAAACACUUUCAAUAAGAGAGGAUGUGCCAUUACCAAUGUUGCCUUGACCAAUGAUUCUUCUUCGGAGUACAUGUUUGCCACUUCUUUCUCCUUUUCUUCUUCGGAGGAUUCUUCACUUUCACUCCAAGUGGCCAUCAUUACCUUCUUCAUUUUUAUCUUGGCUUCACUUUUGUAAAGAGGAUAAUCAUAUUUAAUGUGUCCCGGUUUUUUGCAUUUGAAACACACAAAAUCUUUUUUCUCUUCCCAUUUCUCUUGUCACCAUGAGAUGAAGAUUUCUUUUUAGAAAGGUCUCUUCUAGAGGUAAACUUUCUUCCUUUAAACCUUUCACCCUUCAUGUAUUUGUUGAGCUUUCUUGUGAUGAGGGCUAAAUCAUCAUCUUCUUCACUCGACUUUUCUUCUUCAACAUCUUCUUCUUCCUUAGUUGUAGCUUUGAGAGCCAUGCUCUUCUUCUUUUUGUCUUCACCCUCUUGUAGCUUCUUUGCCAAAUUGAUCUCAUAUGUCAUUAAUGACCUUAUGAGCUCUUCCAUAGGUAGCUUGGUCAAGUAUUUUAUUUCUUGAAUUGUGGUGACCUUUGUAAGCCACUUUGAUGGGAGUGACCUCAAUAUCUUCAUCACCUUUUCGGAUUCCUUAUAGGUCUUUCCCAAUGCUUCAAGACCAUUGACAAUGUUGGUGAACCUAGUGAUCAUCUCAACAAUAGUCUCAUUUUCUUUCAUAAAAAACAAUUCAUAACUAUGUACAAGUAAAUUAAUUUUUGACUCUUUCACUUGAUUUGUUCUUUCAUGAGUUAUUUCAAGCAAUCUCCAAAUUUCUUUUGCUGAUUUGCAUUGACAUAUUCUAUUAUAUUCAUUUCUAUCCAUAGCACAUUGUAAAGUAAAAACAACCUUACCAUUUAAUUGAAAAUUUCUUCUAUCAAGCUAAUUCCAUUCUUACUUAGGUUUUGGAACCAUGACUCCAUCAACUAGUUUUGUAGGAAAAGUUGGGCCAUCUUUAAUGACAUCCCAUACGUCUAAAUUGGUUGAUUGUAAAUACCAAGUCAUUUUAGUUUUCAAUAGGGAUAGUCGAUUCCUGUAAAAAAUGGAGCUCUAUGUUUUACAAAAUUUCAUUGUGAGAUGAGCUUGAUGGAAUAACCAUUUCCUCUUAGACUAUUAGGUCUCAAACAAGAGGUCUAGCUCUGAUACCAAUUGAGAAAAUAAAGGUUAUGCUUAAAUAAGGAAAAAUACUCAAGAGAUGGAUGAAUUGGGUUUUUCAAAAACUUUUUCAACACAACAAAUUCAAGCACAAUAUAAUAAAAAAUAAAGAGAUAGAGUUAGAGAAUUCAAACUCGGAUUUUAUAGUGGUUCGACACUUCUUUAACUACAUCUACUCUUCUCAAUCUCCUAACCGAGUGAGGAUUCCACUAGCUUGAAGCUUCAACCAAGGUUCCAAUCUUCUUACACUUGGAUUCCGGCUCCAAUGGGCUCUUACACAAUCUCUUCAAGAUUUAAACCUCUUGAAGGCUUUAACACUCAGUUUUUACAAGAAUGAAUCCCUCAACCUAGCUCAAUGAUAGCUCAAAUACAAAACAAAGCUAGGAUGACUCACAAGGAUGCACUAAAAGAUAUGCAAGUGAGGAUUUAAUUCACUAAGAAAGAAAUGAGAGCUUUAAAGGCAAACACAAGUGGGUAGACAAUUGAUUGCAAGUGUUUUCCAUAUCAUAAACAAAGUGGAGCUUUCAAUUUAUAGGUUUCUAAGCUCAGAAGCCAAGAAAAGUAAAAAGUAGCCUCAACUGGUUAAGCUGGGGGUUGACCGGUUCAUUAGCUAUUGGAGCAUUUAAUGCUUUGGUAGGUUACCAUUGCCUCGACUGGACCUCAACCGAAGGUCGAUCGGGAAGGAGAUAACCUCAACCGGGAAAGGAAGGCUACUGGAAGAGAGAGAGUGUUUUUGACAUUCUUCGAUUGGACCUUGACCGGUCAAGGGCAACCGAUCGAUUGGUUCCCCAACCGGUUGAGCUAGUUGGCCAGAGCCUCGACCGAUUUGGCCUUUUGGCCCUGAAAACCUAUAUUUUUCACUUCUUUUCUUUUCUAACACUUAGGCAAGGACUUUAGGUAAAUUAAUAUACCAAUUUUGAAAAGUUUUGCCUAAGGUACAUUUGAUAAAACUCGAAUUUUAAUGAAAACAUAAUUUUACAGAAUAAACCAAGUUUUCAAAUAUGCAUGGAAAUAUAUGAAAAACAUAAGUGCACCCAUGCAUUCAUCUUAUAUUUGUUUCCUAUGAUCAAAAGUCUUCCAAAAGUCUUGAUCUUGUAUACAUUUGAUCCUUUGAUGAAUUUCUGAAUUUAUACCUGAGAUUUUUUACUAUUCAAACCAAUUAGUCACUUAACCAUGAUUUGUUAUCAUCAAAACUUGAUUAGGAGAACCCUUGGGCUAACAAUAUUUCUUUCUACCAUAUACUUACUUCCUAAUUAUAUAGAUUAAGUAUACACGAAAGUAACCUAAAUUAAAAAUUUAGUAUAGUACAUAUUCAUAAGUCAAUUUUUUGCAAGGAUAAAAGGUAUAAAACAUGAAGUUGAUUUGCUAAGGAGAUUCUAACCUUAAUUGAAUUGAUUUCUAAGAAGUCAACUCUUUAUAAAGCUCAAUAAGAGUUUUUAUGUUUGUUUAAAAAAAUUAUACCUUAAGAAGGAACUUAAUACAAAUAUGAGAAAAAUAUUACUUCUUAUAAAAGUUCUAUUUUGACUUACGUAAAAAGUUUUUUUCUUUUUUUAUUUAAUAACAUUUUAUAAUUCCAAUAUUUUUCUUGAAAAAUUAUAAUUUUAGUUUUUCAAUUUCCAAGUAAAGGAAAAAAAAAAAUAUCUCAAACAAGACGUAAGUCUUUGAGGAAUAGAUAAAUGACUUGCACUCGAAGAUGGGGUUAUGGGGCUCAUGUUGACAUUCACAAUCAUAGAUGAUUAUUUAUGUGUGGUCAUGGUUCUCAUGAUUGAUUCAAAAUUGGGAGGCCUUUAUCCAAAUGACAAGUGAUUAAAGUCCUAAGUUGAUAUAUUGGUACAAAAAUGCUCUCAUUUUCUUUGAGUAAUAAGUUAUUACUCACCUAUUCUACCAACUUUAUUAUUAUUAUUCUAACUACUAUCCCUUCAUUUAUAGUGUAUUUGAUAGUGAUUCUAAAAAACACUUCUAACUCUUUUAGAAUACUUAGAGUAGUGCUAUGAUGCAUCUCAUUUAUUAAUUUCCAAAGUUAGAACAAAUUUCAUCCAUAGUCAUAACAAGAAUAAAAAAUUAUCUUCUUUCUUUAUAUUAUAUUAUUAUGGAACUUCUAUGGCUUUUAUUUUUACUAUAAGCAGCAUUUGUACUAUCAUGUUUAGUAUCUAUAAAAAUUUAAAAUAUAAUUCAAAAGUUAUUUAUGUUAUUUGUUUUAAAAAAAUAAUAAAAUUAGAAUUGUAUCCAAAUGAUAUCUUAAUUAUUUAUUCUAUUUAAUUUUUAAUUUACAUAAAAUUCAUUAAAAUUUUAUUAAUUAUUUAUAAUUUUAAUAUAAUAAUAGAAAAUAAAAAAAUCAAUUGUUAUAUGAAUCAAACUCUAUGCAAAUUUAAAGACUUUGAGUUUGAAAAUUGUUACACACAUGCUUUCAUUUUCCUUGACCAAUUAGUUAUUACUCAACACAUACUAUGUCAACUUCAUUAUUUUUAUUACUUAUUAGUUGCUGGGUCUUGUACCCCUUGGUUCAUUAUAGUUUUAUUAUGUCCAUACGCUUCUCCUACUACUUUCAAAGUAACCACCUCAAUGCAUCUCAUUUAAUACUUUCAAAAGUAGGGGAAAAAAAUCAUCAAAGUAAAAAAAAUAAUUAAAAAAAUAUCUUCUUUCUUUAUAUUACAUAAUUAUGGAAUAUCUUUGUUUUUUUUUCAAUAGAAAAAAUUAAUAUUUAUAUAUUUGAUAUUGUAAAAAAUUAAAAUAUUAUGUAAAAAUUUAUUUAUGUUUUCUAUUUGGUUCACUCUAAUUUUAUUAGAUCCAUACGUUUUUCUUACUAGUUCCAAAGUAACCACCUCAAUGCAUCUCGGAAAAAAAAUUGUCAAAGUAAAAUAUAUAUAUAUAUAUAUAUAUAUAUAUAUAUAUAUAUAUAUAUAUAUAUAUAUAUCUUCUUCUUUAUAUUACAUAAUUAUGGAAUAUCUUUGUUUUUUUAAUUUUCAAUAGAAAAUUUUAAUAUUUAUACAUUUAAUAUUUAUAAAAAAUUAAAAUAUUAUGUAAAAAUUUAUUUAUGUUUUUUAUUUUUAAAAAUACUAAAACCAAAAUUGUAUCAAAAUGAUGUCUCAAUUAUUUAUUUUAUUUAAUUUUUUUAACAUAUACUAAAUUCAUUAAAAUUUGAUUAAUUAUUUAUGUAUAAUUUUAAUAUAAUUAUUUAAUUAUACUUUUCACAAGUCCAUGUACAAAGUCAUCAGGAUGGAAGAUCAAUUGUGAGAGCUUGUGCAGAAAUGGGUUCUUGAAUCGAUAUUAGAUAAUCAAGUAGAUCAAUUGAACUUUCUCCAACACUUCAACGAGUAGAUCUUCCAAUCUCCAUAUUCCAACAUUGUAUCUAAAUUUUUUUAAUACAGUCAAUGGUAAUGUUUUUAUGAAUAGAUAUAUCUGAUUAUCACAUGAUUGGAUCUAUUGAAUAUCAAUUUUACUAUCUAAAGUCAUGAGUAUAGAAGAAUUUAUGAGAAAUAUGCUUACUUUUGUCAUCUUUUAUAAACCUUCUUUUAAUUUGUGCAAAACAUUAUCUUCAUAUAACUUGGUAGUUUUAUCUUCGAUGGAAGGUAAUCCACAUGAUUCCCAAAUAUGUUGGAUCAUUAACCUUAGUCAUACAUAUGGACAACUUGUUGGGAACCCUGGAUUACUCUGUUCCCAUGCCUUGGAUCUUGUAGAAUGCAUGUAAAUCUAUUCUAAACUCUCUAAAUUUAUUGCAAUGGAAUACCAGGUAUUCAAAAACAAUAUUAAUACCACAUAAAUUAUAGAUCUAGAGAAUGAAGCUACAUACAUUUGAUUUAGAUGUUCCCAAUCAAUUCCAAUCAAUGUAAAUAACUUCAAAGUCAUAAUGAACCUCAUAAAAACCAUGAUCUUCCACCCAAUAACUCUUCCUUAUGUCUAGGCACUAAGAUGCUAAAGAUCUCAAGAGUGGAGGUCAUGGUUCUCUCUUUGAAUUGUAGGGAAAGAAUGACAAGACUUAAGAAAUCCUAACCCCCUAAAUUAGUAUUUAUAGCCUUCCUACUUGGCUUAAGUGACUUGAGUCCAUCAUAGGCUUAAACCACUUAAUCUAGUCCAAAAAGAUUGCUAAUUGAUUAAUUAACCCAAUAGAACUCCAAUUAAGCAAUUAUCUCAGUACAGAAAUGGUGCUUACUUAUCCUUGUGUAACCUUGUGUAAUUAUCAGAAUAUCUUUAUGCAUAAAAGUGAACUAAAAGCCCAUCCAAGCCUCAUAAAUCAUGUCAUCGAGGAAUAUAAGCUUAGAGUGGGGACCAGUGGGACCCAUAGGAAUUAGCUCCCUUAGUAUCUAAUUCUAAAGUUGAUUCAAUAUCCAACUAUAGAGAAUCAACUAAACUCUAGUAUUCUAUAUAUAUUAUAGCAAGACACCAAGUGCUUAGGUCUGUGACCUACUAUCCAUUGUAUACAGUCUUCCCAUGAAUUGGUCAUCCAUUGUCUAACAAAGUGAUUGCUAUCAGACUUUCAAUACUACUUUUACAAUUUUUGAGUUACAGAUCUUCCUAUUAUGUAAUCAAAUGACAUACUCUAAUUCACUAAGAGCAUAUGUCAAAUUUCACUAAAGGAAUUAUUGCAGAUCUAGAGAUUUCAUGAUCAUACCUUUGUAGGAUCACCCAAGAGGACACACUGUUGCAAAGUCCAUGAGAUAUCAUGGCGCUUUUAUUGAGAAUGCCUAUUGCUAUAGGUUUCUAUCAAUAGUGACCCAAUCCGUAAGGAAUAUAUUAUCAACUAACAAUCUCACCUAUAGUCAAAGACACUACUAACUUUUGCACAAGUUCAAUAUUCUCUCAAGGUUGAGAGACUAUAUAGUAAAAUAACUUGGUGAAGUUAUGACUAUCCAAUAGCCUUAUAUCAUGACUCACUAUAGAUCCUAUCCUAUGUGUAAUCAUACACACUAGUGUGCUUACCAUGGGAACCUCAUUCUGAUAGCCAAGACUAGUCAUCCCUCUAAUUAGGAAAUGGUGUGCUAUAGCCUCAAAUGGACUGUCCAAGUCCAUGAACCGAUUAUGAACAAAUCAUCUAUGUACAAUGCGAGAUAUGUUAGGCCAAAAUAUUCAUAGAGAUAAUGUAUGGAAUAAGAAUAGAUAAAAGAGAACCUGAAAUAUCAUUAAAUGAAUAAUGUAUUCCAAAUAUGUUACAUCAUAGCAUGCUUUUAAGGACUCUAUCUUAACACAAUUUGCUUCAUGAAUUACAAGUAUAUCUUAAUGAUUUAGAGAGGUGACUACCAUUGUUUGAUUCACUAAUCUCUAUGAUAUUGUCAUAUUGCCAUAGGUAAAUACAUACCUUGUUUGAAAUCAAGCUUUGCAAACUCAGUUAUACUUUCUUCAACAUUUCAAUAGGUAGAUCUCUCAAUAUUUGCAUUCCAAUUUUGUAUCUUAACUUUUUCAAUGUAGUUGAUCGUAAUACUUUUAUGAAUAGAUCUAUUAGAUUAUCUUAGGAUUGAAUUCGUUGAACAUCCAUUUCACCAUUUUCUUGAAGCUCAUAAGUGUAGAAGAAUUUGAAGGAGAUAUGCUUAUUUUUGUCACGUUUUAUAAAUCCUUCCUUAAUUUAUGCAAUGCAAGCAACAUUAUCUUUGAUGGAGGGUAGUCCACAUGAUUCCUAAAUAUGUUGUCUCAGUGACCUUAGUCAUAUAUACUCAUGACUUGCUUUAUAAAUUGCAAGUAUCUCUCAAUGAUUUAGAUAAGCGGUUACCAUUGUAUGCUUCACUAAUCUCCAUGAUAUUGUUGUAUUACCAUAGAUAAAUACAUACCCUAUUUGGGAUCGAGCUUUUGUAGGGAUUUGAAAGAUAACCAACAAUCAUAUAUCUAAGUAAUUGAGAUUCUACUCUUUUAGAAUAAAAUAAACAUAUGGCAUUUGUUCCAUGAUGAUAUUGCAGUAUACAUUUGACUUUAUUCUUGCAAGAAAGAAAGUUGACAAAAAAUGUAAUAGUUGAUAAUGUAAAAUUGUAAGAUACAGUAGUGUACCAAUAGCAAGGUAUUUUUGGACGAAGUAGUUCUCCAUGAUUAUAUUUAGGAUGAAGGAGGUCCUUUUUCACUUUAAGUGAACAAAACUACAUUAAAGAACUUAAUGGGUGUGAUUUAUCCUUAUAUAAGUUCUUCAAUUUUAUUUUAUAUAAGUUCUUCAAUUUUAUUUUAUUUUUUUGUAUGUUAAUUGAUGGACUCAACAUUCCAUUUGGAAAAUGCUUUAUUUCCAAGUUGAAACAAUUUUUUUUUCCCAAAAUCUUUUGUUUGAAAUUAUUUCAUUGUACAUUUAAUCGUUCUUAUAUACUCUUCAAGAGUCAAUAAGAUUGCAACAAUGACAAAACUCCACUUUAAUCCACAUAAGGACAUAAUUUGAUCAAGUGUAUUAUCAUCAUGACCUGAUUAAGAACGUGAUAUGAGAUUUUCAAUCAUUUUAAUCCUUAAGAGAAUUAUUUGUUUCAAGCAUGUUAAUUCUUCAGGGAGUUAUUUGCUUCAUGCAUUUUAAAUCCUUCAAGGACUUGGUUACUUUAUGCAUUUUGGAUCCUUUAGGGAUUUUAACAUAUCUAUGAAUCCAUAUACAUUACAAAGUAUAUAUCUAGUCCUUGAGAAACUAUCAAUAAUGUGAUCAAAUCAUUACAAGGAUGAUACUAGGUCAUCACAUUAAAACCUUAUGUUAUAAAUUUUGCUUUAUAACAUAACAAGCUAUUGAUAUCUGACAAUUUUUAUGUCUUUAGGCAUUAUAAUCCAAGUCCAUUUAUAUUCAAUAGGCACAACAUAUUCUAGCAUUGGACUACAUGCCCAAAUACUCCUCAUUUUGCCAAUAAGUCUAACCUUGUAUGUAUUGUAUCUUUUUAUUUUGGCCAAUUAUAAAUACGUUGACAUUCUUGCGUAAUUCAUUAUUUGGAAUUUUCAUCACUCCAUAUGAUGUCAAAGGUCAUCUAAGAAAAAUAUGAAUUAUCAAUGACAAUAUUAUUUUAAUCUCAUUUUCAUCUUGUCAUGUUCAUAACUAGUAGAGGUCGCUUUUAUUUUUAGGUAUGGAGGUAUCUAUGCCUUUUAAGAGCCAUUUCAUACAAUUUUUGCAUCUUCAGGGGCUAUUAAUUUAAUUUGCACCUCUUCAGGGAUUAUUUGUUCAAAUUGUACUUCUUUAAAGACUAUUUGUUUAAUAUGCACUACUACAAAAAUAGUUUAUGGUGUCACUAUUUACGGUGUCACUUUUAAAAUAAUGACACCAUAGGGUUUAUAAUUAAUAAAGGUGACACAUCAUAUAAAAAAUCUUCAAUUGAGGUAGUUAGAUGAUAUUAAUUUUAUAUUUAUAGUGUCAUUUUUUGGGAAGUGACAUCAUAUAAAAUAAAUUUUUUUAAGUAUUAUAACUUAAUGAGCCCAUUUUUAGAAUUAAUAAUGAUGGAUACUAUAUAAAAAUCCCAUUGUUUCCAUAUCUCACCCACAAUCCAAAAAAUCUCAAUAUAUAAAUCCUAUAUAUAAAAUCAUGAUCUUCUUCAACCUUUUCUCUCACCCAUCCAUAGUCAACACGCUCAAAACCGACAUUCUUCACUUUGUGGACUCCCAGGUAACCCAAAAUCUCUUGGAUCUAUCAUUUUUUUUUCUUUUAUUAAUGCCAUUAUAUUAAUUGUUUCAACAUCUUUGUAUUAUGGUUUUUGUGAAUUGUGUUUUCUUGAGUUGUAGGGAAGAAAAAUUUAGGUUUAAUCUUCUAGCAUGGAAGAAAAAACUAUAGAUUAAUUGGUUUUUUUAAUCUAAACCAAACACAUGAUCAAGUCCUUAAAAAAAAAGUGAAAAAUAGGAAAAAAUGAAUGAUUUUUAAUAUGUAUUUGUGUGAGAAUGACAGGUACAGAAUUUUUUUAAGAUAUACUAUCACAUAAUCUUCAUCCUUUCUAAAAAACGAGAGAGGAAAAAAAAAAGAAUGAUUUUUCUGUUUGUAUCUAAGUGGGAAUGAGAUAUAGAAUUUCGUUGAAAGUAUCCAACCCCAAAAGGACCAAUCCGGGAAGGCAUGUGUGGUAUUGACGGGAGAUGAUAAGAUGGAAAUCAUAACCAUAGCCAUGUUCUCUUUGUGUCUUUCUAUCAUCUUCAAUUAAUUCAUGGGCAUAGAUAUUUUAUUUAGUUUUUAUAUUUAGUUUAUUUAUAGUUUAUUUAGUUUCUAAAAUCCAAUUAGCUAGAUAUUUUAUUUGAUUUUAUUUUUAUAUUUAAGUAGUUGAGUUUUGGAAAGUUUUUAUAUUUUGUUAAUAGAAAUAGAAAUUUUAUAUUUUUUAUUAUUAGGAAUUUCUAUUUUGUUAAAUUGUAAGUAUCUAUCUCAAUAAGAGAUUAUUAAUAUUCAAAUGAAAGUGAUGAAAGAGAGUAAAUAUUUUAAUGCUCAAUUAUAUUUUAAUGUUAUUUUUUUUUACAUAAGGGUUUAUUUAUGUUUUCAAUUUUGAAGUUCCCUUUCCAAGUCCAGCAACAAAAGUAGUGUCCAACCUUAAAAUGGGCAUGUGUGGUACUGACAGGAAAUGAUAAGAUGGAAAUCAUAACCAUAACCAUGUUCUCUCUGUGUCUUUCUAUCCUCUUCAAUUAAUUCAUGGGCAUAGAUAUUUUAUUUAGUUUUUAUAUUUAGUUUAUUUAUAGUUUAUUUAGUUUCUAAAAUCCAAUUAGCUAGAUAUUUUAUUUGAUUUUGUUUUUAUAUUUAAAGUAGUUGAGUUUUGGAAAGUUUUUAUAUUUUGUUAAUAGAAAUAGAUAUGAGGACUUAAAGGGUUUAUAUUUAGGUAGUGCUUAAGCCAAGGAAAAUGAUAGUCCACUAUCUUGACCCUAUGCAUCACAAACCAUGUGAGGACUUAAAGGAUAUCGUAAACAUGUAAGUUCUUCCUAUUAUUUUUCAUAGUAUUAUUUUUAAAUAAAAAAAAUACAUUCACCUCAAACACAUUUUUUUUUAUUUAUAUAUAUUAAAACAUAUAACAUUUACCUAUUUUAAAAAUGUACCCAUUGAACUUAUUUACAUAGGGCUUUUCGAAUAUCUACAAAGAAAACAUCUAAGAGGGAGCCAUCUUAGCAACUAGUGCAGGUGACAUCCAAAAAUUUUUCUUUACACAUUAGCUUAUGCAUUUGCACCAUUUAUAUAUGUGAGUACUAAUGUUAUUUUAUAAUUGAUUGAUUAGUGUCCAAGACAAGAAGGAGGGUUCGAAUGUGGCUACUUUGUUAUGAGAUUCAUUAAAGAUAUAAUUUUUUAUCCUACAAUUAUUGCUUCAAAGGUAUUACUUAUUUAAUGAAUUGUACAUAGUUUUAGGCUUCCAAAUGUUAUGCAUUUUAAUGUUAUUUUCUUAUUUGAUUUCAGUUUGGUAAUAAAAAAAAACAUAUUCUCAAGUAGAAUUCGAUGAAAUUAGAGGAGAAUGGGCUACUUUUGUGCUACAACUAAUCAUGAAUCAUGUUGAUGCAUCAUGAUCACCAUGCAUGGUGAGUCCCUUAGCUACUACAUGAAUUUUUCCAUAGGUAUUGUAUAGUAAUGCUUAUUCUUUGAAUAAUGUUUCUAUUUGAAAAAAAAAAAUUAAUUCUUAGAUUUUUUCAUUUAUGAUAACAUAGAUCCAUGUUUAUUUUCUUCAAUAAAAAUCUCUAAAACUCAUUAAAUUUUGAAAUGCAGGUAUACACUCUUGGGAGGGUGAAAUGGAGAAUAAAAAGAAAGAAGAAGGCAACAAGAUUUUAGGUUUUUAAAUGCAACUCUUAUGUCAUACAUUGUAGGACAUAAAUGUUACUUUAAUUGCAACUGAGAAAUUUAGAUUUUUAGAUGGGACUUCUAUGUCAUUUUAUGGUUAGCCGGUUUUAUGCUUAUGAAAUGGAGGUAUACAUGAAUCUUGGGAUCUUUAACAUUUCUAAAUCAUGUUUUGGUAUGUAUUCACUCUUGUUUUUUAGUUUUGAUGGGUUUGAUAUAUUGGACAUACUAUCCUUUUGUGACCAUUUGAUAUACAAAUAUUAUUAGAUGAUCAAUGUAUUAUGAGUUAUUCCAGAAACAUUAUAGAAAAAUGAGUUAAAUAUAAUAUGAUUGUUAUAUUUAUGGACAAAAUAUAAACAGGUUAAUCUUAUUAAUUCAUAAGCAUUAAAAAAAUCAACAACUAAGACCAAUCAUAUAUUCCACAAUAAUUUACAAUGAUGUGAUACCAUAACUCAAAGGUGAUGCAUUUAAUGUGACAUCAUAACUCAAAGAUGAUGUAUUUAAUGUGACACCCUAUCAUCACUANNNNNNNNNNNNNNNNNNNNNNNNNNNNNNNNNNNNNNNNNNNNNNNNNNNNNNNNNNNNNNNNNNNNNNNNNNNNNNNNNNNNNNNNNNNNNNNNNNNNUAAUGUUAUUUUCUUAUUUGAUUUCAGUUUGGUAAUAAAAAAAAACAUAUUCUCAAGUAGAAUUCGAUGAAAUUAGAGGAGAAUGGGCUACUUUUGUGCUACAACUAAUCAUGAAUCAUGUUGAUGCAUCAUGAUCACCAUGCAUGGUGAGUCCCUUAGCUACUACAUGAAUUUUUCCAUAGGUAUUGUAUAGUAAUGCUUAUUCUUUGAAUAAUGUUUCUAUUUGAAAAAAAAAAUUAAUUCUUAGAUUUGUUCAUUUAUGAUAACAUAGAUCCAUGUUUAUUUUCUUCAAUAAAAAUCUCUAAAACUCAUUAAAUUUUGAAAUGCAGGUAUACACUCUUGGGAGGGUGAAAUGGAGAAUAAAAAGAAAGAAGAAGGCAACAAGAUUUUGGGUUUUUAAAUGCAACUCUUAUGUCAUACGUUGUAGGACAUAAAUGUUACUUUAAUUGCAACUGAGAAAUUUAGAUUUUUAGAUGAGACUUCUAUGUCAUUUUAUGGUUAGCCGGUUUUAUGCUUAUGAAAUGGAGGUAUACAUGAAUCUUGGGAUCUUUAACAUUUCUAAAUCAUGUUUUGGUAUGUAUUCGUUCUUCUUUUUUAGUUUUGAUGGGUUUGAUAUGUUGGACGUACUAUCAUUUUGUGAACAUUUGAUAUACAAAUAUUAUUAGAUGAUCAAUGUAUUAUGAGUUAUUCCAGGAACAUUACAGAAAAAAGAGUUAAAUAUAAUAUGAUUGUUAUAUUUAUGGACAAAAUAUAAACAGGUUAAUCUUAUUAAUUCAUAAGCAUUACAAAAAUCAACAACUAAAACCAAUCAUAUAUUCCACAAUAAUUUACAAUGAUGUGAUACCAUAACUCAAAGGUGAUGCAUUUAAUGUGACAUCAUAACUCAAAGAUGAUGUAUUUAAUGUGACACCCUAUCAUCACUAGAAAUAUAUGGUGUCACUUUUGAAUGGGUCACCAUUUAUCUACUUUGGUGUCACUUCCAAAUACGUCACCAAUUGGUACCCUCUAUGGUGUCAGUGGAGAAGGUGACGCUAUGUUGUAGUGACACCUUAUGUUUAUGGUGACUCAUUAUAAAUGUCACCAUAUACCUUUUUCCUUGUAGUGAUGUGUCUCUUCAAAGGUAUUUGUUUUAGUUGUGUCUCUUUAAGGGUUAUAAGCUUCUCAAUUUUGGUCUGAUCAAUCAUUUUAAGGCCUCUUUAAGAGUAUCAAGUUUUUCAUGUGUUUUUCCCCAUGCUUUCUUCUUUCAAGGAAUUACAUCCUUUGAUUCAACAAGUCUCUUAUGCUUUAAGUGUACCUUGGAUUCAUUUGUUUUUAUAAUAGUUAGUUGUCCCACCAAAACAUUAUUUUUUCAUCAAUUAUUUUACUAUACUUCAAGCAUGUAUCUACAAUUUUGUUAGUUAAUUGUCCUCUAGGGACAUCAAUUUAUAAUAUUACUUUCAUAAAAAAAAUCUAAGAAAUUUCAUGUCAUUCUUCUAGAUCUAUAAUCAACUUCCUCCCUCUAACAAUGAAAAAAAUUAUUUUAUCAAAAUAAUAAUUUGUACAACAUGUCAUACUAUUUUUUUUAGGAAUAUAGAUAAAUUAGUCACUAGAUAAAAACUUCUGAUUUUAUAAUAUAUAUCUAUAUGACGUGUAACCUUAGGGACCAUGUUGGUCAUAUCAAAUUCUUUUAGAUAUGAUCGACUAUAACGUGUCAUUCACAUGAAAUUGUAUCCCAUUAGUGACAUAAUUUUAUCUCUUUUAGAGUCUACAAUCAAGUUUACUAGAUAUAUAUUAACAUCAAUUAUUAUAUACAUCGUACAAUUGAUGAGGUAAAUAUCUUGGAAUAAAUCUAUCAAACACUUAAUAUUAUAUGUACACAACUAAUAUAUAUGACAUGCAUGUAUUAAAAGAGUAAUUUAUUUAUUUAUUUUUCCAUAAGAUGGAAUGUACCAUUUCAAAGAUUUCCAUCUACUUAGCUAGCAAAAAGAAUACAACAGCUACAAUCAAAUCAAAUUUGAAUCAUAGCAAAUUAAGAAUAUAUAAGAUAUAAUAACUUCAAAUUAUGAACAUUUAUCAUAUUUAUAUAUAUAGUUUCUCAUAAUUGUAAGGUAAGUGAAUUUCUCAUCUUGAUAUGAUUCCAUAUAUAUAGUUUAAUAAGAACUAUAUAUAGAAAAAAACCAAGGAUAAAAAUUACACUAAAUUUCUAUUAAAUAAUAAAAAUAAUUACGUAACUUGUAGCUAUGAUAAAUAACCUUAGCAUAGCUUUUGGUUAGAGUAUUUAUUUUCUUGUUUUCAUAAAUUCUGGUUAUGAAAUAGAUUCUAAAUAUAUUCAAUAUUAUUUUUUGUACUUAUAUGACUUUGGGCUAUAAUUUUUCUAUAAAAACCAUUUUGUAUAUAGCCUCAAAUCAUAGGAGGUUAUAAAAUGGACAUUUAUUCUUGUUAGAGUUUGGUGACCCAAAUCCUAUUUGGUCCGUUGAUGAAAAAUAUGGACAUUGGCAGUCCCGAAUCUUUGAUGCCUCAUGAAAGGUCCAACAGCGAGGUUUCUUUCUCGCCACUGGUGGGAUAUUCAUUAUGACUGGGGAUGUUCUUCCAUGUUUUGACGCUUCUACUAUGUUCUCCAGAGGACACAUCUUGCAUCAUCACUGUUCCUUUCACUCUUGAUACUGCUUCUAACCAUGGUGUAAUUGUGGCAUCUAAAAUUGGGAUUCUGAACAAAGCUUCUUAUGUUAGUUUAGUCAAGAAUCUUCUACAGAAACCUACCAUGGAGGAGCUUGUUAAGAACCAGGCAAUUCUGGAUGUUGUAAGAACAUUGCUUGGCACGGGAAUGACAGCAGUUAGAGGUAAAGCAUGGGCGAAGGCUUCAGAUGGCACUCAAAUUCCCCUAUCAAUUGUUUACUGAAAGGAUCUUGGGAAACUUGAUGGACCUGAUCCAUUACUUCUUUAUGGCUAUGGUUCACAUGAGAUUCGCAUAAAUCCAAGUUUUAAAGCUUCAAGGCUGUCUCAUUAGAUCGGGGUUUUAUAUUGGCAAUAGCACACAUUCAUGGUAGUGGUGAAAUUGGGAAGCAGUGGUAUGAGAAUGGGAAGUAGUUGAGAAAGAGAAAUACAUUAGCUGAGUAUCUAAGAGACAUUAAGUUUUGUUCAAAAGAAAAAUUGUGCGUCCAUGGAGGAAAUGCAGAAGAUUCCAGUUUGUGGGCCAGUUGGAGCAGGGAAAUCAUCACUCUUAUAUGCUGUACUUGGAGAGAUACCAAAAAUCUCAGGAACUGCUGAUGUAUUGGGUUCCAUUGCUUACGUUUCUCAAACUUCUUGGAUCCAACGUGGUGCAUCACCUAUAAGCCAAGAUUCUCCUGGUCCGUCCACAAAUACAGGUUCUAUGCAAUUAUUGUUGAUUAGAACCAUGACAGUAUCCUGCUGAAUACAUGUCUUGCCUUCCCGUUCGCUUCAAUACUUCACACUCCACUUGGUGAACCAUCCGCACCAGCAGAGCAAUCACUUCAGUACCUCCAGUUAUUGGCACCCCAUAUUUGACAACCAGUGCAAAUGAUUCCAUGCAUGGCUACCUUUGAUGUGCCAUUUUUUUAAAGCCUCUAUGUCUCAUCCCUUAAUGCUUCAUGCAUGCAUUUUAAAAAAAUUGCUUUUAAAACAUUGAUUUUUGAAAAUCCGGUUUUCAAAUGAUUUUAAAUCCUUUUUUAUUCAUCCUUUAGAAUUUUUAGGCAUUAAAAUUUCAUUUUCCAAAUUGGUUUGCUGCCAAUAUUUCCUUCAAGCAUGCAUUUCUUUUAUUUUCUUUGGUUUUCAAUAAAUUUCCGAAUUUCUCAUUGUAGACCCUCUAUUUUGUCUUCUAGGCACAUUCCAUCUAGGAUUGCCUUCCUACAUCCUCUAUUGCCCUAUUGUGCACUUAUGGUCCUUUUUUGAGUUGUUUUUGAGCUUUCAUCGGUGGUCCAUUGUAACUAUUUUGAUCACUAGUUUUGGAUUCUUUUGGAGAUAUAUAUCUUGGAGGGAUUAGGUGGAUCUCGAUCAUGAUUUUAGUGACCCUAGGUUUAGUUGAGAAAUAGUUUAGAAAUGUUCUUUGAGUUUAGUUUAGUUUGAGUUUAAUUUAGUUUAGAAGUAAUUUAGAAGAACUUUUUGAGUUUAGUUUAGUUUAGUUUAGUUUAAAAGUAGUUUAAAUUAGUUCUUUGAGUUUGGUUUAGUUUAGAAAGUAAGUAAGAAUAGUUUAGUGAGGUUGGCUUAGCCUAAUGAGUCUUAGAAUAAGUUAGGGAGCUUUGGUUAAGAACUUAGAUGAGUCUAGUGGGUUUGGUUUAGAAUGAGAUUAGGUGUUAGUUUAAUUAGAGAGUUUUAGUUAGAAUUAGGUUAGUUGGUUGAGUGAAGGUUAGGGAGAGUUGCCUCUAGGUUAAUAGGAUGGUAUAGGAUAGGGAGAUGUUGGAGGGUAAGUUAGGAAUUCUCUAGAAGGUGGGUGAAGUAGUGAAGGAUAGGAGGAGGUUGAAGAGUAAGUUAGGAAUUCUCUAGAAGGUGGGUGAAGUAGUGUAGGAUAGGGAAAGGUUGGAGAGUAAGUUAGGAAUUCUCUAAAAGGUGGAUGAAGUGGUGUAGGUUAGUGGUGGCUUGGCAAGCAAGAGAGGGGGAAGAUAGGAAAAAAGGAAGAAAAGAAGUGGUUCUCUAGAGAAAGAGAAUUUGGGGAGAACUUUGAGAGAACUUGGAGAGAAACAAGGACAGCCAUGGAAAACUUGAGAGACCAUUAUCAACUUGAAAAACGUCAAGAUAAAACUUGGAUUUGGAAACACCUUGAGGUAAGAUUAUUUAAUUUCCUAACUUGAUUUUAUUUUCUAUAUCUUCUUCUCAUACUUCUCAUUUUCAUGAUUUUGGAUGUAUUAGACUAAAUUUGGUGUGGAUGUAUAGGCCACACGAAGUAUUGGAUUUUUUUAUGAUCCCUUGAUGUUGAAUCUUGAGAAUUUGGUGAAAGUAAUUUGAGGUUGAAUGCUUGAAAUUCAUUUAUGUUUACAUGUUGAUGAAGUUUGAGGAAUUUUUGGAGUGUUGAUGACUAUUAACUUAUUGAUCUUUUGAUAUAUGCAUUUUUUUAGUUUUAGAGAAUCAUUAAUGAUCAUAUAUUAAAGUUUGAUUGAAAUUUUUUGAUGAUUAGUGUGUGAAUGAUUGGUGUUAAAUAUUGUUUGAUACAUGAUUAAAAUUAUCUUUAGGAUCAAUUUAGAGAAUCCCUACAUAUGAAAUUUUCUAAAAGUUGUUUCUUUAUUACCACUGUUGAUAGUUCACUUCAGCUUUGAACUUGUAAAUUGGAAUCCGACCAUUCAAAAACUCUUUAAAUUUUUUCUAAUUAUUCUAUGAUAUUUUAGGCUUCUUGAAUUUGAUUUUAGAAUUUUGUUUGAGUGAUUUUUUUUUUUCAAUUUGAAGAUAGAAAUCAAUCUUUUAGAAGGUUUAGUUUUCACUCUGUUUUUGACACUCAAUCUCGUUUCUUAAAAUAAAAUUAUUAAAUGACCUCUUUAAUUUCUUUCGACAUCUUUCACUUAAUCUAGACUCCUUAAAUUCAAUUUUUGACAUAUAAAAUGUUAAGAAAUAAUUAUUGAAAUGAGAGAUAUGAUUUUUUCUUCUUCUUGCACUUACUGCACAGGUACUCUUCUAGAGCUACGAGAUGUUAAUUUAAUUUCAAAUAUGUUAUGGAAAUAAUUCUUACAUAAUAUUGAUGAGUUGCAUGAAUUUUUGUAGGAUUUUAGGACAUCUAAGUUAAUUAAAAAAAUAAUUCUCACAUGCUAUGGAAAAUUACUCUGUUCUGGACCUAUUAUGCUUCUUAUGAAAUCUGGCACUAAAUGGGAUUUAAUUAAUUAAUUUGACCACUUGGAUGAUAAACUAGACAUAUAGGAGAUAUUCUCUGAAAAAUUUCAUGAUAAAAUUCGACUUUUGGAUAUUUUUUUCAAAUUCAUUUUGUAGAGUCUUCUACUAUCACUUGCUGAUUUUCUUGUGAAGUAACCCACUUGUGAAUAAGUUUGGUAAUAAUUGUGAACUUUUUGUUGUCAUUGAUUCCUUGGUGAUUUAGUAACAUGCUUAGGUCUUUAAAUUGAUCUUUGAUGCAUGUUUAGGUUACUAACAAAGGUAGGUAUAGCUGCAUGUUGAUCUUCACAUUUCACACACACUAAUGCACAUAUUUAGCUUGAACAGGUGUUCUUUAUUUAUUUUGAUUCCCUUUUUUGGUCGUGUGUUUGUAAAAAUUGUUUUCAAGAAUUUCAAAAAUGAUCAUUCUCAUUUCUAAUAUCCUCUUACUUCCAUAGGUUCAAAAUGAGUUUUCAAAAACAUCAAUGCUACCUUUUUUUUUGAAUUGGUGUGCAUUUCAAAUUUGUUUUCAAAAUGAAUUUGUGACCUUUCAUGGGAAUGAAAUUUGAACAUGGCUUCUUAUGGAGUUCUUUAAUCAUGGAAGAUUUCAUUCAAGUUAAAUUGGGAAGUGGUAACUCCCUACAUGUUCAUUUUCGAGUUUUGAAAUCUUAGUUUUCAAGUAAUAGCUUAUUUUAGUGCCUUAUUCCGUACUUUCGAGAUUGAUCUAUGAAUUUAAAUUAGAAGAUGACAUGUUUAAUUCAUGAUUAUAUUUUUUUUCCUAAUAUUAAACUCUCUGAAUUUAAUUUUAGACACUUGCAUUACUUAAUUUGGAUUUUCCUAAUAGAAGAUAUAAUUUUGUCUUUAGGUACUUUGUACACAAGCUCUGUUUUGGGCAUUCUGAAUGGUAAAUUGAUUUUAAAAACGUUAGAUUCGUGAUUAUGCAUUUUUCCUUUGAAAUAGACAUUAUCAAUAUUGUGUAUGAAUUUUGGGAAACCUAGGUGGGUUAAAAAAAUUCAUUUUUGCAUGCCCUGUGCACUGACCCUGUUUUGAACCAAUUUGAUUGUUUUGAGUGCUGGUACUAUUUGACAUAUGAUUUGUGAAUUUGUCCAAUUGGGCUAGAAACUAUACUCCUUGGAGUUAUUGCUCAAAUUUUUAUUUUUAUUUUUUAUGUAAAAAUUCUACUUCUAGAUUUUAGCUGAAUUCAUUGUGUAUUGAUUGAUGGGAAUAAUUGAUUUGGCCUUUCGGACAUUGAUGUAGACUUAUUAAAGGCCAUACCUAAUUUUUAUCAUGAUGAAAUGAGCAUGUUUAGUAUUUGUUUUAGAUUUAUUUAGAAGACUUUUAUAUGCUAUCCUGUUUUGCUGUUUGCUGAAUGUAUAUCAUAAUUUAGUCAUAAUCUUUUAUGCAUGCCUCAUCACUUAGAAUUUGUAUCUUUUCUUCUAAUUCAUUCUUUGUUUACCAUGAUGCCUUGUAUAUAUGAUAUAACUCUUAGAUUUAUUACCUUGUUAAACUAACAAUUUCUUUUGAGGGAGUGCUUGCUUAUAUACUAAUAAGGUAUGUACUUUCAUCCUUUGUUUCUUUCGUAUAUAUUUUAUAUUCUUUGGAUUGAUUUGAUUUCUGUUGUUUGGUGUAUGUAUAUGUGCAUGUAUUUGAAUUUAUGUUUGAUUUUGUAUAUAUGCCUGUGACAUUUCAUAGAGAAAUAAACUAGUCCCUGUCAUUCUCAUGCAAAUGCAAGCAGUUGCUUGUCACCUAAAUGCAUAACGUCUCCAAAUGGUGAUAAAUAUCACUUGAGUUUUGUGAUUUUCGUUCUUUUGUAGAAUGAUGCAAGUAUUGCACACCUCGGAUAUAUUAUUAAAUCUUGUCGUUUACAUUAACCUCGGAUCAAAACCUCUAUAAAUCUACUAAUAAAAGAAAUAUGCCACUUCCAAGUCAAAACAAGAAGUAUUUAUCAAUCUACCAGCAGUUACAAACUUCUUUAUAUAUUGCAUCUAAAGUAGAGUGGUUCAAUUUCAACCCCCUCCAACUGAUCUCUUGAAGACAAUAAAAUCACAAACAACUAAACUAUUGGAGACCAAGGACUGAUUAACAACAAAAUUCAAAUUUUAACAAUUCAUUUUCCUUUCCAAAUGCAGUUAAGGGCUAAUACAAAUAGGUAAUGUCUAAUAAAAAGGACCCCUUUAUGGUGAAUUUUUAGAAACUUUGGUUAGUAAAAUUUGUGUCACAGGUUUAUUAUUGGCUGAAGAGGCUUAAUAAUAAAAGGUAAAAUUGUAAAUGAAUUUCCUAUUCUAUAAGAAAAUCUAUUUUGUGAAUAAAAAGAAAAAAGAAAAAACAAUUGUCAUUGUUCAGAGGUAUUUUUGAAUUUUUUUUAUACUUCUCUCAAUUUUGAAACUUUAUGGAUUUUCCUUACAAAAUAUCAACUGGACUGAUGCAAUUCUCAAACAUUUUGUAGUGAGAAAACUUCCAAAGUGUACUCAAGACUGCUUAAGAAAUAUUUACAAAACAAAUUUCCCAGUAGAUUUAAAUAGAAAUAUUAAAACCAAAAUUUCAAAAGAAGAAAUUUAUUCUGUAAAUAUUAAUUACCAAAAAUUCAGUUAGAAAGAGUUCUUAACUCCAUAUUAAUUGAUAAAUCAUUAAAAAAUUUACUAUCAGCAUGAAGUAGUGCCUUAUCACUUACGUUAUAAAUUCAUAUCUAUCAUAUAUUUAAUUAUUAUGUAAAAAAUAAAUAAAAUUAACUUAUUUGUAAUUAAUAAUAUUAUAUAUACAAUUAAAUGUGCAAAUCUAACAAAAAAAAAGGCCUUUCUUUUAGUGGAAUCUCAUCCCAUGCUUGAGCGCUAAGGUUUGACCUAUAGCCUUGUGGGUGAGCUUCAAUGAAUUUUUUAUGGGCUUAAGAGGAGCAGUCCUACAUCAAAAUUUUAAGAAAAAAGUAUGGUGCAUUUAAUAGACAAUGCCCCAAGCCAUCAUCACAAGCAAACCAUGGGUUGGGUAUGGACGGCAUAGACUCCAGGGGCCUUAAAAUUUUGAAGAACAUAAAUGCUGACGUGGCAGUGAAAUAGCCACAAUAAAUCGGGCAAAUAGUGAUGAAAUACCUUGAAAAUUAGAGCAAUGAGAUUUCCAUACCACAUUUUGACACCUUACCCUUGUACCUUGGUCCAACUUGUUUGUACCUUGGUUCAAUGACCUAGAUUUCAUUAUAAAUAUUCAAUUAUCCAAAUUUGGACUUAGCAUUUUCCUAGUUAUUUGGUUAUUUUGCAAAAGUGUUAAAAAUAGUAGGGUGGAAUGUAGGAAACCUUUCUUAUACACAUAAAGCCUGUAUAGGCAAAGUUACAAAUGACUCUUAGCUAGAAAUAAGGAAACAACCUGCUACUCAUUAGAAAAUAACACCCCACUACCACUACCACUACUUACGUGGAGAGACUAAGGACUAGCACCUCAUUAACCAUUUCUUAGAGGAUAGGGCAAAUGAAACAUACCACUAAGGUAAAAUAAAAUAAAUAAAUUUAAAACACAUACCAACCCGUUUCACAAAAAUUAGAACUCGCAAACAGUUGUUAAACAUAUAUUAGAUCCUUGACAUGAUUGAUAUGCUUCCGAGGAGAGCUGCCUUGUCCAUUAGCAACAAAGAAAUAUUGAUCCUUUUUCAAAUUCUAACAAAGAAUGUAUGUAGGCUGUAUAACAUUUUUAAGGACUAGGCAUAACCAACCAAACUUUUUUCGCUACUGAUUCUCAAGAUAUUACCUAAAAACAUGCAAAGACAAAAAAAUUCCAGACAUGAGCUAAAUCAAUUAAUCAAGAAAAAAUGGAUGAUUGAAAGAGAAAAUGAUGCAGUCCCUUUUCAGACUUGAUCAGUAACCUUCAUGUGGUUGAGCAAGUGACAAUGGUGUUGGCAUGGAUAUUGAAGACUUUGGGCUUUGUAACUUUUAGCAAAAGUAUAAAUAUAGUUAUGAAGGAGAUAAAAAAAACUUAUGUAAAUGACAUGGUAUUGAUCUUCAAUCUUAUCUCAAAAUAGAAUGAGAUAGAUUCAAAUAUAGGACCCGUUCUUUGCGGAGUCAGGAAGCAUAAUAUAAUGAAUGAUAGGAGUUCCAGAUUUUGACAUUCGUCACUAAGCCAACACCAUUCAUAAGCAGGUUUGUUUUAUUAUUGAAAAGAAACAUGAGAGGCAGAGCGUAGGCACCAGUACAAAAAAGACUUAUGAGCAUAAUACUUGGUAGAUGCUAUAAAAAAUGUGAUGGUGGCAGCAAUUAGCUUCCCAGCUUCAGGCUUUGUCGGGAAAAGUUGAGAUGCUAUCAACUUCAUAUGUUCAAAAAUUCGACAAAUAAUUAUAAAAAUAAUUCCUCUCUCACCAAGGAAAAUACUCUGAAAAAUUCCACUUUUGCUGCCUGUAUCAGCCAAAAAUAAAAUCAAGCUGACGAGAGUUAAAUAGAAACAUGGAUUCAAACAACACAAGUAAUAAUUACCUGAUAUGCAUCUCCAUGCUCAUGGUCAUCAUUUGGCUUUUUCCACACCUAGAGUGAUUAAAGUGAAUCAAUUGUUAGUUUAAGAUAAACUUGAAGCACCAUAACAUUUUGGUCACAUGCAAAGUCGUAUUCAUUUUCUCUUCAAUUACAAGAAGCAAGUCAACGAAAAAAAAAAAAAAAACAGAAAGAGUUAAUCCCCAAGUCUGAAUUCUCACCCUUCUCUAGAAAAACAGAGGAUAUGAAGACAAUGAGAAUUGAGACUCAUAGUUUUGCUGAUUCAAGUGGUACCAGAAGGUGUGACAGCACCAAUUAAGGCCACCACACUGCCUCCUUUCACUGCCUUCACUGCUUUAUCACACUGCCUUAUUAAUGUAGGAAUGAAAAAGUUGUGUUCAUCCACCAUCAAUUCACUCUAUCAAACAAGACCCAAACAGAUAUGGAGUAGAGGAAUUAAAUUUCAAUGAGCUAAAGUGGGAUAAAGGGCAUUUCAAAUAAAGGACAAUAGCGCAAUAAGUGACUCUUCAAAAUGAGCAAUAAAUACAAGAAUUUAUCAAAUGCAUAGUAAACUACAUUGAAUUUCUCUGCUAAAUCUUCAAACUUCUCCUUAGUGUAGUCAAUCGCCAAAUCAGUUCCCAAGCUCUUCAUUAGCUCCAGUUUUCCUGUGCUUGAAGUAGCAGCACGACUCUUGAGGCACCAAACUUGUUUUGCAUGCUGGCUCAAGCCAUAAAAAAAUGAGGAAAAAUGGAAUUAUUGUUUCUAUAUCGUAUUCAUUUGCCUUAUCCUAAUUAUUUAGGGGGCAACAGUAGCACAAAUUUUGUUCUGUUCGAUCUACUGAGAGCCCCUAUCUCGAUUUUUAACAACUAAUAAAUGGAGGAACCCCAACCAACUGCAACAGGAGGUUCAUAUUUUAGGUACAAAAGAUUUUUUUUCCACUGUAGGCCAUGAAUAGAUAACAUUUAAAAUGGAAAAUAAAUAAUUAGGAACUGAAAUUCAAAUGCCUAGAUGACAAGGCUUCCAACUCCACCAACACCACCCAAAACAAGAAUUGAUUUACCAACAGAAAAUCCAGUCCUUCCGAGACCAUCAUAGGUUGUCUCAAUUGUACGAGGAAGUCCAGCAGCUUGAACAAAAUCCAGAUUCUUUGGCUUUAGAGCCAACAGUUUCUCUUCAAUAGUAGUGCAUUUUGCAAAUGAGCUAAACUGCUUAGGCCCGUCCAAUGUUUUCUCAUUUAUGUUUCCAUAUAACUCUGAAUAGAGUAAAUAGAAAGGGAUCAUGCAGAAACCCCCAAGUAAUUGCGUAUUUCUUCUUUAAAAUGAAUUUCAGAAUUCUAUAGAUUGGUUACCAAUAGUCCAUGCAAGAACACACCUUCUCCAAAGUGAUGAAAACGUUUCCAAUCUCUGAUGGCAAUCUUCCUUUUAAAAACCUUUGAAACAAGCUUAAUUGCAUAGUAUUUCAUGGGGGAUGUCAUAUUUGGUAUCAAGACUUUGUCAUGCUAAAAGAAAAUGGACGUGGAGGGUAACAAUUUGGAAGGGAUGAAGAGGUCAAAGUUCAGCAUUUUUUUUUCCUCCAAAAUUUCUUGUUCUCGUGUAGGAUUCUUUAAGGGUAGGGCAGUUUGUCUUUUCCAUAUUUCAUUACUUGAGGUCAAGGGUGAUGGUUAAGCUUCUCUUGUUGAGCCCUUUUGUUUUUUUUUUUUUCCUUCUUUUUGGGGGUGGAAUUUUCUCAAUUUCUUUUGUGUUUUCAAAUAUGUUUUAGAAGUAAAUUUUAUGGAUAAUAUUUUAUUUUAAUCAUUCUUUAUCGUAUAAUUAUUUUUUAAAACAAUUCUCAUCAAAUAACAAAAAAAGUAAAAAUAAUUAAAAUAUAUUAAAAACAAACAAGGACCUUCUGAUCAUGGAUUCCUUGUUUGCUUCACUCCAUGCCUAAUAGUUUCCUCUUUCUUAGUAUUUAUUCUUCAACUUUACUUGUAUAAAUAAAUGGUUAGUUCCUUCAUCAAUGAAGGGUAGCUAGAGAACUAUCAAUACCAAUGAAUAGUGACACCAUAAUCACCCUUCAUUCUGCACAUUCACAUACACCUUAUCACCUCUAUGAAUCCGAAUGACCGGCCCUAGAAAGCUUUCAUUCACAGUUAGCAUGCUCUUUGUGCUGCACAACCUUGUCAAAUUGGACUUCUUUAGCUACAGGAGAUAAAAAGGAGAGGCAAUAUACAAUGUGACUAACAAAAAAGACCCUGGAUUCAGACAAAAACAGGCAAGUGUUAAGGUAAUACUCACAACAAAGUCAUAAAAAGAGACUUCCAAAGCAUAUUCAUGGGACAUGUAGCUACUUUCAUUAUUAGAACAAUUCAAUUAGUAGUUGUUUCAUUACAAGUAUGUAUAUACACACAUGCAAAAAAAAAAAAAAAAAAGGCCAUGUUAUGUGAGAAUCCACAUAUUUUUAGGAACAAAAGCUCACCAAAUGACCAAAUUACUAAAGGAGAAAGCAUCAACAGAAGAAAAAUGGAUACAAGAGAGCUACUCACCAUAACUGUGAAUAAUGAAAUAUUCACUAGAAGUGCAGAAGGGGUUGUUUUAUUUUAUUUUAUUUUUCCAUCAUAUGGACAGAUAACAUCAUAUGCAGGAACAGGUCUAAAGAGAGCAUUGGGCAACUCAGCAGAAACCACACUUGAUAAACUCACUUGGAUCAAGUAUUAAUGAUUAAAAUCAUUUAAAUACUGAUCUUUACAUUAUCCUAUAACGUUUUCUUUUCAUUUAAAUGCAUUGUCAUCAUAAUUUAUAAGAUGAAUGCAUUACUCCCAAAUCAACCCAUUUAAUUCUCAAUUCAUCAUAACCGAGGAGCUGUCUCAUUGAAGUCAUGUGUUGCUUAAGCACCAGUUUUAAUAAUUUAUCAUCCCAUAAAGCAACCAUAAGUUCAUGUUUAACUUCAAACCCACCAAAGAGGAAAUAAGAAUUUCCAAUACCUAACAAGUCAAAUUAUGAGCAUAAAUACAUACAUUUUAAGCAUGUGUGAUGAAAUAGAUAAUUCUAUUCCCCAAAAUUAACAUAAGAACAAUAUAAUAACAGAUGCAAAUAUAUUUUGAUUCAUUCAUAAUACAAAUAAGAGGCCUCUUAAUACAUACUUCUUAGGCCAUUGGCGUCAGAUUCUUUAAGUCUUGCAGUGAUAAUCUCCCUGGCAAACAACCAAAACAUAACCGAUCUAAAUUCCACCUGCCAAGAUACCAUGAUUUUCAAUUAUUAUAUGAGCAGAAACAUUGAAAGAGUUGGACAAUCCAUCAAAAUUGAUUCAGCCUAUCAUCUUUUUCGACAGCAGAAUAUGUAGGCAUGCCACAAUCCGAGAUAGAUAAAGUAUGAAAACCAAAUUUUAGAUUUAAGUAUACCGUAUAGGUUGAAGCACUAUUCCUAGGGAAGACAAAACCACCAACUAUAGACCUGAUAUCAUUAACAAAGAUACACAGCCCCAAAUUCGCAAUAUCCUUCAUUACAACACAUUCUUCUCAGUCCCUUAAAUGCUUUGAAAUCACAAUAACAAAUAAAAAGCGCAAAGAUAAUGCUCAAUCUCUAGACCUUGUCUAAGAAGAGACUCUCAAGCUCUCAUUUGAUGGCUCCACUGAGAGGAAGGUCCAGAAGAUGAGGUGGCAAUCCAUGCUUAAGACCUUUUAUAUAUAAUUAUUUUGUGUAAAAUUAAUAUUGAAUUAAUUAGGCUUAACUUGUAAUAUGAUAUAAUUCAAAUCAUGCAUUUGGGUUUUGUUUCAUGUAAUUUGAAAUGAAAUAAGAUAAAUCACUUUGUUUCUUAUGCAAUUUUUGUUUGCAUUUAAAAAUUUUGAGAUACUAUAAUUAUUUCAAGUAUGAGUGCUUUCCAAUAUUUAGUUUUUUUAUUCUCUUUUUUUCCUCCCCACAGUAGUAGACCGAGAAUUUCUUUUCCAAAUUAUUAUGGAGAUAAAACGGAAUGAUUGCACUAUUAUUUGUUCUUUAAAUGCACUUGUAAGAUAAAUUUUGUCUAUAAUGUUCUUUGGGAUCAUCAAAAGAUGCAUAUGGGUUCUCUAUUAGACUUCUACAUAUCUUGGGUUUUUAUCUUAUUCAUUUGUCUCUAAAGUUGUGUGUUUGUUUAUCUCUGUGUAGGGGUUAUCGGGCUACAAGGCUUAAAAACUAGCUCUCCCGACACUCAUGGUAAACAUAUGUAGUUGAAAACAUUUGUUUUGUCAUGCAUGAGAGAACCUUAGACGAGACUCAAAAACUUGAAAGAAUAAAGGGAAGAUGUUGUCCUUUAUGAUGGGAUGUAUGGCGUUAUGAUCUUAAAUCUUUUGUGUUAUUUCCUGGUUAUAUCUAAAACUUCCUCUGGUUUUGCAUGUCUCAUAUUAUUUUUGGUAGUUCUCUUAGCUUGGAUCUGGUAAGGAAUGAAUAAAAUAAAUUAAAGUAGAGAAAGAUUCAAUAUGCAUUGACAUUGAGAAUGAAAGUUUGGACGGUGUGUAUCAAAUAGGGAACAAAACUAUGAAUAUGAGGGUCCAAUGUGUUCAGAGUAUGUAGGAUAGCGAACCAUAGCUAUGUGGUAGCACCUUGGUUACUAGCCUUUCUAAUCAACCUCAGCCGAUUUAGACUUAUUUAAGUGGUAUCAUUAGUUGAAAAUGUGUCAUGGGGUAUGACACUAUAUUAUUCUGAGCUUAAAUUUUUGUGAUUUUGGAUGGGGAUAGCAUUGAGAUUGCUUAAUAAUACCCUAUUCAACUUCUUUUUUUUUUCUUUUUUUUUUCUAAUUUUGAUCUUCAUAGAAAUGUGAAAUUGAUAACCAUCUCUCUUUGUAAGGAAUCCCACUUUACGUUGCAUUGGCAUGGGCAUAGGCAUACAACAUAGGCUAGUGAAUGUGUGUCAAUUUUAGGUAUGAGGUGUGAAACAUGAGCUGAUUGUGGAUAUCUGCAUUGCAUGAACUUUAUGGUUUCGGGAUUCAUAUUCUUUUAUUUCUAAUAACCCAAACUUGUGAGAUGGGUUUGGGACAUGAGAGUUGGCCCACCCACCCUUUGGUUAAACACUUUUCCCUCCUCUUAUAAUCAGGAAAAAUAAGGGAUAUAAGUGAAAAAGAUUGCAUUUAGGGAUUGAACAAAAGAGAGACUAAAGAUGGAGGUAAAGAAAAUAUAGGGCUAAGUGUAACAAGAUCAUUAACAAAUGCAAUUUGAAUGAAUGAAAAUAUCUUGAGUGUGGGUAUCACAUGUAUGCUUUGGAUGGUUCUUGGGUCCCACUCUUACCAUAAAAAAUCCUUGGAUUACUUGGUGUUGGCUAUCCUUAUAUAUGUUAAGGCUUGUUUUUUUAGUCUAUUUUGAGCAAUUUUUACGCCUAAAAAUGAUUUUCCAAAUUGAUUUUUGACAUUUAGGAUUUUACUAAUUUCUUAACAAAAUAUCUCAUUUUUAUAAUAUAUUUUUAUUAUAAAAUUGAGUAAAUAAAAUAAAAAAUGAUUUAAAAUAUGAAAAAAUUAAAAAUAUAAAAAUAAAAUAUUUAUUUUUCAUUAUCAAUUUAUCAAUUUUUUAAAAACAUUUCCCUCUUUUCUUUAUUCGAAAGCAUCUCUUUCUAUAUCUAAUUGAUUGCUUAAGAAAAUUAAAAAAAUAUACAAAUGUGAAAUAUAGCUAGUGGUAAAAACUUUGUUCUUAAUACAAGCUCAUUGACAUUCAAAACAUUAAAAUUAAAAAAAUAAGAUUAUUUUAUAGUUUCUAGCUUAAAUAUAACAUUUGUUUGUACACAUCUUCUUUAUAAUAUCUUCAUUUUUUUCUCAUAAUCUAUUAUUUUAAUUUCUUUUCUUCACUUAGCUUCUCUCUUUUAUUAUGUUUUAAUUUAAUUUUUUUAGUACUAAUGUUUUUAUUAGUUUUCUUUCAAUGUUAAUUAGUUUUAAAAGUUUUACUUUAUGAAAUAGUGAUAAUGAGUUAUAUAAAUUAUUUGAGUUAAAGAUUUAAAUUAAAAUCCUGCUAAAUUUUAAUUUGUUUGUAAUUUUAAAAAAAUCUAAAUAGAGAAAAAGAUGUUGAAGAAGGAAAAGAUAAACAAAAGAUAUGAAUUAAUAGAGUGGUGAAUUUUUAUAUUUUAUUUUAUAUUUUCAUGUGGGAAUUUAAUAUUUUGUUUUUGUUAUUAGUUUUAAUCUUAUUUUUAAUCUUUCUUUAACAAUAACUAAUAAAAUUUGUAUUUAAUUUUAUAAUGGAAAGAGAUAAAAAGAUGUAUUUUUGUAAGAAACAUUAGAUGAUUAAAGUAUUUAAGUAUCAAAUUAUCGUGUUAUUCCAGGAUUAGGGAUGUCAAGUUUUCAUUCUUUUUUGUUGAAUGACUUAAGUUUCAUAAUAACGUUGUUUAGAACUUGAGUUUUAAAAUAGCAAACAUGAAAGAAGAUUCAUGAAUUUUUCACUUAAUGCAUGCAAAUUCUAGGUUACACUUAGGACAUCAUAUGGUGUCCCUCUAACAUAAUGGUAGUACUAAAUCAUUCCUCAAUUUGAGAACAUGAUUUACAAUGCUAAAGCUUGAUAAUAAUUAUGGUGUCAUCUAAAGCCUAAAUUGUUGGAUGAUCAAAUUGACAGGUUGUUAGUCCUAUUUAUUUAUUUAUUUUUCAAGUAAACUUUUCAUAACUCUUGAAGGGCUUGGAGGUUGCUUUAAAAUGCUAUCACUUUGGUUGCGUAAUUAGAGAUCAUAAUUGAGUAAGUUGCAAGUGAACUUGAUUUUCCUAACAAUUAAUAACCAACCAAACAUAAGUAGAUCAAUUGUUGCACAAUGAGCAGACAAGUGAAAGAGUCAUUUGGAUCAUGUUAUCUAAGGUCGAUUAUCUAAGAAGAACAUUCCAUCCAAUUAGACUCAUUUCAUAAAUCAACAAAUCUCAACUUGAAUGAUUGUAUUCAUGAGGCAUUCUCGAAUAUAUUUAACUAAAAUCAUGUCAAAGAUUCCUUUAUCAUAUGUAUUUCAUAAUUUAUGAAAUGUCAACACACGCAAUACAAGAAGUUGAAUACUCAUAAAUUAAAACUUUCAUCAUUGUGCAAGACCGCAUACUUAACAAAAACAUUUUGUUAGGGAUAUAACAAUGAACAUAACAAAAUGCAUAUGAAAAUCUAGCAUAUGUUUGAAGAAAUAAACUCUCUCGAAUGAAGGAAAUGAUUGAAGGAAACAUCAUUAACAAUUUCUCUUUCAAAUACUGCAUCUGCACUUCAUCUUAAAUAAGGCAAAACAUAAAGUAAAUCUAGUGUACCUAAAAAAAUGAAAAUAAUAAGAACAAAUAGGAAUGAUGCCAUUUCAAUAUAAAUAAAAGAAAAUCUAGUAAACCCAAAAAAAUGAAAAUGAUACCAUUUCAAUAUAAAUAAGGUAAAACUUCGCAAUAGUGUUUGUAAAAUAUAUUACAAAGAAAGAAAAAAAAAAAAAAACAAACCAUAUUCUUGCUUCUAGAUAAAAAGAUGGUUUCUAGCUCCAUCCUAUUAAUAUUUAAUGUUUUUUAAAAUUAAAAUUUCUUUAAUCUUGUUUUUCAUUUCCUUUAUAUUUUAUUUAUUAUUCACUUUUUAUAUUAUUUGAAAAUAAUUUUUUAAUUAAUGAAGUUUAUUAUUACAUGUUAAUAGUAAUCAUACAAAAUAUUAUUCUUUUUUUAGUAUUCAUCUUGAAAGUUAUAUUUAUCAUAAAUUUAUAUUCUAUCAUUCGCAUGCUAUACUAAUUUAAAUUACCAAAGGUUUUUUCAUUGUAAAAAAAGUGUAUUAUUUAGUUAAAUUAGAUUAAAAUAAAGGAAGUUAAUUAUUAUGAAAGUAAAGAGAUAGAAUAUUCACAAUUUUUUUAAUCUAUUACAUAUAAAUUCUAUAAUUUUUUUUUCAAAUAAGGGUGAUUUGAUUGUAUUUUGGAAGAAUGAUAAUUAAUCUCUUAUAUGAAAUAUAUUUAAAAUUAAAUUAAUUUUUUAAUUUAAUAAUUUGUUAUUAAACAUUAAUAUAAUCUUCAUACUUUUUUAUUUUAUUUUUAUAGAAUAUUUUUGUCAAUAAUUCCAAAAAAAAGUAUAGGGAGAAAUAAAAAGUAUGAGAGAGAAAAAUAAAAAGUACGGGAGAAAACUAACCUUUUCACGAAAGAGUACUACAUCUUUCGCAGGUCUUCCAUUCUACAAUUAGUGAUAUGCAACUCUUUGAGGUAUUGAAUAUUCAUGAGUGUCACAAGAGAGGAAAAAUAUUUCAUGCUAUCAUUCCCAUCUUUGAUCUAGGUAGAUUCUCCAUCAUCAAGGUUUCUAACUUUGGGAGGAUCUCGACAUUUCCAUCAAUUUCUUGAAGAACAAUCACAUGUUCUAGGAGUUCACAAUAUUGCACAUAUAUCUUUUUUAAAUUUUGGAAGGUGUGUAUCAAAUGAGUUGGGACAAGAUUGAGUAGACAUGGACAUUUGCACACCCUUAAGAUCUGUAGAUUGGAGAAGGAUUCAAACGGAAGUUGAUGAUGCCAUAUAUCCUUCAACUUGGGUAGAUUUUUGAGUGUUAACUCCUCUAACUUAGGGAAUGAAACCUAUAACAUGAUACAUGAAAUCAUCAAUUAGAAAGUUAUAAUAAAUAUAAAUAUAUUCCUUAAAUAUAAUUCAUCAACUUGGGAUUAUUCACAUGUAUACUUUAAUUAUGUUUAAAAAAAUGAAACAAGAAGGAUUCUCAUGCCACAAAUGAUUUUUAUUCAUAUCAAUAAUUUAUUAUUUUAAAUCAUAUACACUCUUUUAUUUUCUCCCAUUAAUAAAUUCUUGUGAAUGUCUUCUUUAAAUUUCAUUUUUCUUUUAAAAGAUUUUGAUGAUUUCACUCUUCAUUUUUUAUUUUUUAUUUUUUUGUAUUUAUUCCUAUAAACCUGACUUUUUUCUUAUUUAAAGUAAAAUACUAAUUUAAAUUACCAAAGGUUUUUUCAUUGUAAAAAAAGUGUAUUAUUUAGUUAAAUUAGAUUAAAAUAAAGGAAGUUAAUUAUUAUGAAAGUAAAGAGAUAGAAUAUUCACAAUUUUUUUAAUCUAUUACAUAUAAAUUCUAUAAUUUUUUUUUCAAAUAAGGGUGAUUUGAUUGUAUUUUGGAAGAAUGAUAAUUAAUCUCUUAUAUGAAAUAUAUUUAAAAUUAAAUUAAUUUUUUAAUUUAAUAAUUUGUUAUUAAACAUUAAUAUAAUCUUCAUACUUUUUUAUUUUAUUUUUAUAGAAUAUUUUUGUCAAUAAUUCCAAAAAAAAGUAUAGGGAGAAAUAAAAAGUAUGAGAGAGAAAAAUAAAAAGUACGGGAGAAAACUAACCUUUUCACGAAAGAGUACUACAUCUUUCGCAGGUCUUCCAUUCUACAAUUAGUGAUAUGCAACUCUUUGAGGUAUUGAAUAUUCAUGAGUGUCACAAGAGAGGAAAAAUAUUUCAUGCUAUCAUUCCCAUCUUUGAUCUAGGUAGAUUCUCCAUCAUCAAGGUUUCUAACUUUGGGAGGAUCUCGACAUUUCCAUCAAUUUCUUGAAGAACAAUCACAUGUUCUAGGAGUUCACAAUAUUGCACAUAUAUCUUUUUUAAAUUUUGGAAGGUGUGUAUCAAAUGAGUUGGGACAAGAUUGAGUAGACAUGGACAUUUGCACACCCUUAAGAUCUGUAGAUUGGAGAAGGAUUCAAACGGAAGUUGAUGAUGCCAUAUAUCCUUCAACUUGGGUAGAUUUUUGAGUGUUAACUCCUCUAACUUAGGGAAUGAAACCUAUAACAUGAUACAUGAAAUCAUCAAUUAGAAAGUUAUAAUAAAUAUAAAUAUAUUCCUUAAAUAUAAUUCAUCAACUUGGGAUUAUUCACAUGUAUACUUUAAUUAUGUUUAAAAAAAUGAAACAAGAAGGAUUCUCAUGCCACAAAUGAUUUUUAUUCAUAUCAAUAAUUUAUUAUUUUAAAUCAUAUACACUCUUUUAUUUUCUCCCAUUAAUAAAUUCUUGUGAAUGUCUUCUUUAAAUUUCAUUUUUCUUUUAAAAGAUUUUGAUGAUUUCACUCUUCAUUUUUUAUUUUUUAUUUUUUUGUAUUUAUUCCUAUAAACCUGACUUUUUUCUUAUUUAAAGUAAAAUAUUAUUGACAGUUUUUCCUUAUUUUUAUACUCAUUCCUAUUAAUAUUUAAUGUGUUUAAAAUUAAAAUUUCUUUUAACCUUAUUAGUUUUUCAACUCCUUCAUAUUUUAUAUAUUAUUCAUUAUUUUUAUAUUAUUUAAAAUGAAAUGUUUAAAUAAUUGUAACAUGGUGGAGUUUGGAAAGUGCAUGUGGGCCCACUCUAGUUUUUCUUUUGACUUAUAUUGACAUAAAGUGGUGCAAAAUAAAUAAAUAAAUAAAAUAAAACCAAUGAAAUUGGCUAAUAAGCUUUAACAUACCUUAUGACUGAAAAAUGAGCCUUCCGACCUUGCAUUUGUACUCAGAGAUGUGGAAGAUGUUGUUUCUAACUUAGAACUGAAGUUGAUGAGUUGCGGUAGAUUCUCGAGUUUCAAAGAUCGCAAUUUUGGGAAUAGUUGCAAGUUGGUCCCAACAUGUCCAUCUUUUGUUAUUUCUGACUCCCUUUCAUAUGUGAUUAUUUGUUGCAUUGCAUUGCAAUCUUUUAUUGUCAUUUCUUCAAGUUGGGAAAGGCCUCUAGCUGUGGAAAGCAAAAGGAGAAAUUUCAAUUUAGGACAUGAAUCCACAUUUAGAGUUUUUAAGUUACCAACAGACCCUAUUGGAAUUGGGCCAUGCCAUACUUCUUCCAAAUUUUUCAAAGUCUGAAGAAUCAAUGACUCCAAUAGAGGAAAGGCACCAUGUUGCAGAAACCAUUGAUCCUUUGAAUCAAUGAUAUAUUGAAUCUUGGGACUGUCACCAACUCGAAGAUGCUUCAGUUCACGAAAACUCUCCCUAUCUGAUGGGUAAAGAACAUAUUUAGUACNNNNNNNNNNNNNNNNNNNNNNNNNNNNNNNNNNNNNNNNNNNNNNNNNNNNNNNNNNNNNNNNNNNNNNNNNNNNNNNNNNNNNNNNNNNNNNNNNNNNGAAAACUCUCCCUAUACUGAUGGAUAAAGAACAUAUUUAGUACCACUUAAUUCCCAGAACUCUAGUUCUUCACUUCUCUCCAACAACUUGCUAAUUCCAUCCCCCAAGUAUAAGCUUCUAUUGACUUUCUUGAGCUUCAAUGCUCUUUUGGUUCUCAACCCCCAACAAUUACCCAUAGAUAUCACAUACCUUGUCAAGUUCUCAAAUAGAAUGUCUUUUGGUAGCAACUUAGCAUCUGGUAUUUUUAUAGAUAAAGUUGUCAAAUAAGACAAAUGAUUUAGCUCAGAUAAACAAGCAUUGCUUUCACCUUGAACCGCCCAUUUAGUAAAGCUAGAUAUCAUACUCAAACAUUCCAAUCGAGACAAACUUGAUAAGAUAUUUCGUGGAAUGACUUCAAGUUGUUUGCAAUCAUUCAAGUCCAACAACCUUAGAUUGGUCAAUUGCACCAUUUCAUUAGGCAAUUGUUGGAUUGUAGAACCCACCAAGCUAAGAACUUCUAGUUUCGUUAGUUUUCCAAUUAGAGCAAUGUCUCCCAACUCGCACCCAUCUAGACACAAUGUUCGGAGAUUUGCAAGGAAAUCAAGUGAUGAAGGUAAUGUUGUAAAAUGCAUAUGGGACAAAUCCAAAACUUUGAGUUUUUUCAUCCCUUCGAAAAAUGUGUUCGGGAUAUUCAAUGAAGGAUUUUUGCUAUGCAAUAGAAAAGAUUGAAGGUCCGGACAUACCAACCCUUGAGGAAGCUCACGCACAACUUUGCAAUUCAAAGAGAUGAAAGUGCACAUUUUGGAGUCAUCAGUCUCUGACCAUUCUUCAAAUCCAACAUCUUCUCUAACUACAAAUGGAUGAGGAUCCUUGGAUGCAAUUGCCCUGGCAACUUCACGAACAACACUAUGCAUCCUCACAAACUUGUUAUUAGCGUCCAUGAAAAGCAAACUUGAAGCUCUUUCUACAUUACAAUUGUGUCUAUCUUCAUGACAGUCAAGUAACAAGCCUGAGGCUCUAAGGAUUUCCACCAAUGCAAGUAGUUUAUUUCUUGCUUGCUCCAAUGAGUCGAUGUGGCCAAACAAAUCCAGACCCAUACCAUAUCGUAACAAGAGAUCCAAUGAAAUAUCACUAUGGUCCAGCAUCCCACAAAGUAAGAACAAUGACUUAACGUCAAUACCCUUCAAAUGGGUGUAGCUCCACUCCAGACAUGAGUAAACCUUAUCCACUGCUCUAAUGUUUGUUAGUGCACAACUCCUGAGUUGUUCCAAGGCAUUCUUCCAUACAGCCACAGUCUCAUCUUUUAAUGCCUUUGCAAUUGUUACAAUUGCAAUUGGCAGACCCUCACAUUCUUCAACUACUUGAAUGGCUAUGGGUUGCAGUUCAAGAUUCUCCUCCACGGAAUCACCUGUUGUCUUCUUAAAAAGACUCCAAGCUUCUUCUAGUGGUAAAUGUUCCACCUGAAAACAAAUUUGUGCGCCCAUGUAUUUGCAUAAUAGGUCUCCAUCUCUCGAAGCCAACACUAUUUUGCAUUGUGUCUCAUCGCCUUUAGAAGGAAUUCCUACUUCCUCCAAAUCAACUUCCGUCCAAAUAUCAUCUAAGAUAAUAAGGAUCUUCCCUUCCUUCAGUCUCUGCUUCAGUUUCUGCUUCAAUUCAUCCGCUCUUCUGGAUUCAUCCUUCCUCCUAAGUGUGAAGCCCAACGCUUUUGCAAUUCUUUGUCGAAGAUUUUCCGAGUCUGGAAUGGAAGAUAAAUCAAUAUAGGCUUGUCUAUUGAACAAAUGGUGUUGCUUAGCUUGUUGAGCCACUUGUUUCAACAGUGUUGUUUUGCCCACACCGCCCAUGCCCCAUACUCCAAUCAAGUUGAUAUUCUCGUCUCUUAAGGCAUCAAUAAUUUUGUUCAAAGUGGAGGCUCUUGAUUCAAGGAAUGAAGCCUGUAGCAAAAACACAACAUAAGGCAUCAAUUGGAAAGUUGUGAUGAUAGGCAUAAACAUAUUUCUUAAAUAUAAUUCAAUUCAAUUCUGAAAUAGUCUCUCGCAUGUUCACUUCUGUUACAUUAUAAAAUUUUCAUUAGUGAAAGAAAAAGUAAUUACCAUUCUAAACAAUUUCCCAAAAAAUCAAAUAACUAUUAUAAUAUUAAUAUCCUUCAAGAAAAACAAUUCAAAUGGGUUUAUGAACAAACUAUAAAUAAAGUAUGAAUAAUGAAAAAAAUUAAUCAAAAAAAUACAAAAUCACAAAACUUGCAUCAUUGAUACAAAGAAAAAACUUUUAACUUUUCUUUUUAAAAAAUGUUCCGUUUAUUUUGAUAUUAACAAAAAAAUAAUGCAUAAUUUUCUUUUAAGAAAAAGAGUAAAAGAGAAAAACUAUUCAUAUUAAAAAUGAUGUAUAUGUAUAUGUAUAAUUUCCAUGUAAAAAAUAAUAUUCAAGAUUGUAUUUUUAUAUUUUAAAAAAUAAAGUUUAUUAUUUUAAAAGAAUAAUAAUUACUCUCCUUAUAAGAAAUAAAGUAUGUCUUACUCUUUUUAUUUUUAAAAAUAAAAAAUUAUAAAAAAGAAUUCUUUAUGAAAGUUUUGUAAAANNNNNNNNNNNNNNNNNNNNNNNNNNNNNNNNNNNNNNNNNNNNNNNNNNNNNNNNNNNNNNNNNNNNNNNNNNNNNNNNNNNNNNNNNNNNNNNNNNNNNNNNNNNNNNNNNNNNNNNNNNNNNNNNNNNNNNNNNNNNNNNNNNNNNNNNNNNNNNNNNNNNNNNNNNNNNNNNNNNNNNNNNNNNNNNNNNNNNNNNNUAAAGUAUGUCUUACUCUUUUUAUUUUUAAAAAUAAAAAAUUAUAAAAAGAAUUCUUUAUGAAAGUUUUGUAAAAGCACAUAAUUUUUUUUUUCCAAAGAAAAAGAGUAAAGGAGAAAAAAAAAAGUCCAAAAUUUAAAAAAAAAAAAUGUACAUGUAGUAUUUCCACAUACUAUAUAUAUAUAUAUAUUGUCAUUUAUUAAUGUUAUAAUAUAUUUUCCAUGUCUCCAUGCUCUCCUCUACUAUUCUAUAUAUAUAUUUUGUCAUUGAAUUUUUAAUUUUUUAAGAGGGAAAAUAUAUUCUGUUACUUCAUUUUGAAGAAUUGUUUUAUCUUUAACGUAUUAUAUCCAUCAAUUGGAAAAUUGUGAUGGAAUAUUUUGGGGAAAUUCCGGUAAAUCAAGGAUUAAAAAUCGCCUAAACAUAGAGAAUUUAUUGGGCCCUCAUAAUACCCUUCUGUUCUUUUAUUAUUAUUUUCCGUUAAAACUAACAAAAAAGAGGGAUGACUAAAACAAGGUCAGACAAACAGGCCAACUGCAGUGCCAGCAAAGCAGUGAAAAAUGGAAAUAGGGUAUAUAGUUUUGGGAAGAGUUGGCAUUUAGACAACUGCUUACUUUUUGUUUCAUACACACAUUUCAUAUAUUAAAAUUACCCAAUAUUUCCGGGUGAAAAUCUCUCGAUUUGAUUUAUAACAAAAAAAAAUUCAAAAUUAUUUUAACAUAACUGGGAUUAAAAUAUUUGAAAUUUUUUUAUUAUUUUCUUUUAUUUUUCAAUAGAAAAUGAUUAAAAUUUAUUUUAUUUAAAAUAAAAAGAUUCAUUAUUAAAACUAAUAUUUAUGAUCUCCUAUUUGAUGACAAUUUUUUUAUUUUAUAAAAAUUAAAAUACCAUUUAAGAAAAAAAUUGUUUUUGUAAAAUUAAAGCACCAUAUAAAUAAAUAAAUUAUUAAUAAUUAAUUAACUUAUUGAUAUUAUUUAUAAAACCUUUAUAUAACAAAUGCAUAAAAUAAAAUUGAAUUAAACAUACUAGAGCAUGAUAAAUUUAAAUAAAAAUAAAAUCAUUUUAUACUAAAAAAUUCUUAUUAUCUUGAUGGUAGGAGAUGUACUUAAAAUAAAACAAAAUUUAAAUUUAAUUUAGAGCACAAUAAAAAAAUAGAACAUAUAUAUAUAUAUAUAUAUAUAUAUAUAUAUAUUUAGUUUUUCCAUUUGUUAAAUAAAAAGUAAUUUUCCCUCCACACAAUUUCCUAAAAAACCAAACAACUAUUAUAAAAUCACUAUCUGUCACGAAAUAUAAUUUAAAUACGGCUUCAGGAAAAACAUUAAAUAAAGUAUGAAUAAUUAUAAUUAAUCAAAACAUAUAAAAUAAAAUAUAAAAUUACAAACUUACAUAAUUGAUACAAAGAAAAAGUUCAUAACUUUGUUUUUUGAAAAAUAUUACAUUUAUUUUUAUGUUAACAACAAAAUAACACAUAAUAUUUUUUAAAUAAAAAAAAAUGAGAGUAAAGGAGAAAUGAGAUCCAAAUUAAAAAGGAUGUAUAUAUAUAAUUUAUAUGCAAUAAAUAAUAUCUAGGAUUGUAUUUUUAAUUUUUUUUAAAUGUUAAAAUAAAGAUAAUAAAGGCAAUUUAAUUGUUAUUUUAAAAGAAUGGAGUUUAAUAUUUCAAGAAAGCAGUAUAACGAAAAAUAAAAAAUAGUAGAGACAACUAACCUUUUCAUUGGAGAGCACUUCAUCAUUAGUAGAAGUAUUGACACUUCUGGUGUCUUCCAUCCCACAAUCAAUGAUAUGUAACUUUAUGAGAUUGUGAAAAUUCUUGAACAUUGAAGGAGACAAAACACAUCUCUUGCUGAUAUUCUUACCCUUGCAUAUAAUAUAUCUUAGUUGAGGUAGUUUCUCUAACCUUAGGAUUUUUAACUUUGGGAGGAUCCCAAAAUCUAUCUCCUUCAACUUUGGAAGACUUUCUAGAUACAACUCCUCCAAAUUAGGAGAGAAUGAAACCUAUAUGAGAAACACAAAAUACAAUAUGUGACAUCAUCAAUUAUAAAAGUGUAAUAAAUAUAAAAAUAUUGGGUUAAUAUAAUUCAUUAACUCUCAAAUCAUAUACAAACUUUAAUAAUUUUCUUUUUAAAUUUAUUUUUCCUAUUAAUAAUUUCAAUAAUUUCACUUUUAAAUUUAUUGCUAUAUUUAUUUCUAUUAACACUUAACCUUUUUUUAUUUAAAUUAGAAUGAAAUUUACAAUGUUUCUUUUUUGUUAUGUUUUUUAUAUUGAUAUUUAAUGUUUUUAAAAUUAAAAAUUCCAUUUUUAACUUUAUUCUUGUUUUCAACUCCUUUAUAUUUUAUUUUUUAUUCACUAGUUCUUUUUAUUUGUUUUUUUAUUUUUUUGAAACUAAAUAAUAAAAUUAUUAACUUUGAUGGUUAUUUUAAAUCAAGAUUAAUUAUUCUCCUUAUAUGUAAUAAAAUUUGUUUUAAUUAGUUUCCUUGUAUCAAAUAAAAUAUGUUUUGCUCUUUUUUAUUUUCAUCUAACAUCUUAACCCAAUUUUCCCAAAAGUUAUUAAUUUUAACUAUUCUAAAAUUUAAAUAAAAUAUUAUUAUUUCAAUUAAAUUUUCACUAGUUCUCAUUUCUAAUUCUUUGCAAUAUUUCUUUCAAUUAGUACCUAUUUUUUUUCCUUUCUAAAUUAAAGUAAUAACUACCAUUUUUCCUUAUUUUUAUAUUAUUUCUAUUAACAUUUAUCCUUUUUAAAUUAAUUUUUCACUUUAAAAUUUUAUUUUUUUCAACUCAUUUGUAAUUUACUUAUUAUUCACAAUUUUUCUUAUUUUAAAUUAAAUUUUAAAUUAAUUUAAUAAAAUUAUUAUUAAAGAUCAAUGUACUCUUUUUCAUAUUUUUUUUAAAAAAUUAUUUUUAUCGUAUAUCUCCCUAAAUAUUUCAAGUAGUAUAAGAAAAAAUAAAAACAAAUUGGAAAAAACUAACCUUUUCAUCCAAGAGCAUCCCACAAUUAAUGAUACUUAAGUCUUUGAGGUGAUGAAAAUCCUUGAACUUGGAAAAAGAUAAAAGGCGUGGACAAUUACACACACUUAGGAUCUCUAAUCUACGGAAGGAUUCAAGUGAAAGUUGAUGAUGCCAUAUCAUCGUCAACUUGGGAAGACCAUCGAGUGUUAACUCCUCCAAAUUAGGGAAUGAAACCUACAGAGAUACAAUGUAAUACAUAACAUCAUCAAUUAUAAAGUUACGAUAAAUAUAAAAAUAUUCUUUAAACAUAAUUCAUUAACUCUUAAAUAUUCACAUGUUCACUUCUAUUAUAUUUAAAAAAUAUAUAAUUUUACAAGAAACUUUGAUAAAUCAAAUUAAAACGAAUCAUGUUUCAUAAAUGGUGAUCAAGAGCUUUGCUUGGCAAACAAUCAUUCAUUUUCUUUCAUCUAUCAUAGAUAAGUUCUAUAUGCAACCAUUUAUUAUUUCAUUUUAAAUCAUAUACACAUUUUAACAAUUUUAUUUUUAAAUUUAUUUUUCUAAUUUAUGUUUUCAAAUUUAUUUUAUUAUUGAGUCUAUAUUAUAGAUAUUCUCAUACUAAAUUACUUUUAUUUAUCUCUAAUCAUUUAUUUCUCUAUAUUAAAUCAUAUACACUAUUGGAUUAUUUCUUAUAAAUAAAUUCUACUAAAUACUUUAUAAAAUUUAUUUUUUCAAUUAAAAAUUCCUCUAAUUUCCCUUUGCAAUUCCUUGCAAUAUUUAUUCCAACUUGCACCAAUUUUUUCCUUUUAAAUUAAAUAAUACUUACCAUGAUUCCUUAUUUUAUAUUAUUUCUAGUCAUAUUUAUUGCUUUUAAAACUAAAAUUUUGGUAUUAAGUUUUUUUUUUUUCAACUCCUUUAUAAUUUAAUUAUUAUUCACCAUAUUUUAUUAUCUAAAAUUAAAUUUUAAAUUAAUUUGAUAAAUCUAUUAUUAAAUAUUAAUAUAAUGUUCUCAUAAUUUUUUUAUUAUUUUAAUGGAAUAUCUUUUUUCAAUAUUUCCCAAAAUAGUAUAAGGAAAAAAAAUGGAAAAAAACUAACCUUUCCAUCGAAGAGCACUACAUCUUCCCUAGGAGUAUUGAUAUGUUCCUCAUCUUCAACUUUGUUCCCAUAAUCUUGGAUGGAUAGGAAUUUAAGGUUGUGAAAAGCCGUGGAAGAAGAGAAAAGACACCUCACGCUAUCAUUCUUGUCCUCAUCCUCAUUGCACACAACACGCCUCAACUUAGGUAGUGUCCAUAACCAUAAGGAUUCUAACCUUGGGAGAAUCCUAAUAUUUUCAUCAAGU
rnacentral:lncRNA from 1 species